UUACUUAUCCGGAUAUACAGCAACACUAAAGCAGAGCUACGUAAUCCUUGGCUUCAAUGUAAAUAUUAAGACAACGUCGUCUUUGGAUACACAGACGGACAAAUGAGUGAGUACCUUGCAGCGCUGUGCGACGUCUUGAGCAGCAAGCAUAGCAGCGUAAGGUGACGACUCGUCACGGUCAGCCUUCACCUUCAUGCCACCUACAGGGUUUAGGUUUAGCACAUCUCAGUUAAAACAAUAUACAUCUGCCACCUAGGUCGUGCAUGGCCCAAGGUUUUAGGAUGGUACCGGUGAUCCGAACCAGAGUUUCCCUCCCAGACAAAUCAGUGAUAUGCUGCAGAUAUUACAACAAGACACAGUUCAGUUAAACUUGGAGAAGUGAAUGAAAAGGUCUAACCACAGAUGGCGCAUAUGAUACUUACAAUGAAGGUGUCAUUGAAGGAUGCAAAGAUGUGAGCGACACCAAAGACAUACUCUCCUUCACGGACAGUGGGUCCAAGGGUGACGUUCUCCUCCUUGGGCUCCCUGGUCUUCCUCCUCGACUGCAAACACAUACAACUAUAAGAUGACACUGGGACAAGUUAGCCUGGAUUGCUAUGUUGUCGUGCUAACAACCUCCAGAAACUAUUCCACAGUACAAUUAAGCCUGAAUUGAUAUGUUGUCCCUGUAAGAGCCUAAGAGCUUCAAAAGGAUAGUAAUAGUAAUUGAGCACGAUCCACUAAUCAAGCUAACCACUUCAGGACCUCAAACAAAACUUGCAUUGCAUGAAAACUGAUAGUUGAUUUGCUCUAAUAAAAAGCUACUAAAAAUUGUACUGCAUGAAAACUGAUAGAUGACAUUCAGCAGCAAACCAGCUCGGUCCACUGAUCAAGCCAACCAUUUCAGGACCUCAAACAAGCCUUGCAUCACGAUGUAUAUGAAAUAAUUGAAAUUUUGCCACUUGAAACGUUGCCUCCUUGUUAUAAUUACCCAUGUGUCUAAGAAUUGUGGCUCCAUCUAUGUCUAUCAAUUGUAGGGUCCAUCUGUGUCUAUGAAAUAGAGAAUCUGAUAUUUGCCAUCACCACGAAACACGUUUGUAAAAUUGCCAUCAGACCCACACAUUUCAUAGACACAUAUGGACACACAAUUUAUAGACACAGUGGUAAUUAUAACAUGCCGGCAACGUUUUAUGUGGCAAAAUUCCAAUUAUUUCUGGUGGUAGCAGAACGUGUUUUGUUAUAAUGGCAAAUAUCAAAUUCUCUCGAUGUAUAUAGCCAACAGUUAUCCUAACAAAACAUAUACUUUCCAGCUCCGUGUGCAAAUCAACCCAAGCCAAAGGGCAAAGGCCCACAUAACCAGCAUUUCUCACUCUUAAUUUGUAAUAGUAGAUUCUAAUCAUAUCUAUGCUUCACCAAUUUAACAGCACAUCUCAAAUAUUUUGGCAGAUAAAAAAGGUUCAACAAGAAAACUCAUAAAUCGUGAUCAGAUUAGAAAAUAUGUUGCCACAGCAUCACUUCAAUCUUCAACUCAGGAGUAGGAGUAGCAGUCAACAAAUGUAACCAAGCACAGAUGUCAAAUUGCAAUUUAUCAGAUACAAUCCACCACGGGCAACCAGCCAAAACAACAGUAGCCCUAGUCAACAGCCAAACCUACGCUCUUAACCCAUCUCUAAACAAAAACAAUCGAAUCCAGCGCUACCGUGCUUGCAGCCGGAUCCGAAUCCACCGCUACCGUGCUUGCACCUACGUCCGCUUGCGAGCAAUAAGCAGACGAGAAGAGGCUCGCUUACCAUGGUUGCGUGGAGCGACGGGUGACCGGAGCGGAGGCACGCCUUGGGUUGAGAUCACGAGCACGCCGGCGCCGCCGAAACUUCCGUGCGGCGACGGAUGAGUGGUGCUGGUUUAUAUACGAGGCCGCAGCCCAUUAGGGUUUAGUAGACCCAGCCCAAAGAAAUUUCCUCUUUUGCCCUCUCUCUCUCUUCUGUCAAUGCGGCUGGGCCCCAUCUCUUACACGAGGACCGUGCUAUUAAACAAUUUUUAGGCUAUAUGGUCUGGACAAAAUACAGCUCAUUUUAGUGUCGUCCACUUUAUGGACUCGCUCCAACUAGGGGUGGAAGUUCGGGUUACCCGAAAUUUUCGGGUCGGGUAAUUCGAGUUUUUAAAAUUUCGGGUUUUAAUAAUCGAUACUCGAAAUUACAACGGGUUUUUCAAUACCCGAAAAUUCGGGUACCCGGAAUUUCGGGUUCGAGUUCGGGUAUUCCCGAACUAUCCGAACUAUUGUGUUGGCUUCAUAAAAACACAUACACCCUAUUAAAUUAGUAUAAAAAUAUAGUUUGAAUAAUGAUAUACAUGGACAUAUAAACACAAGCAAUCUACAAUCACAAGUUAUGCACACUUACACAUAAUUAUAGAUGUACAAAUUAAUAAUUAAGCAUGACAUGAGUACAUGACACAUGAAAGUUCGGGUAAUUCGGGUAUUUCGGGUACCCGAUUGUGAUACCCGAAUUACCCGAAAUAAUUUCGGGUUUUGCAAGUUGCUACCCGAAAUUCCCGAACAAAAUUCGGGUUUCGGGUAUUUCGGGUUCGGGUUCGGGUAUUCCGGGUUCGGGGUUUUUGCCCAACCCUAGCUCCAAUAGUGCAAGUAGCCAGUAGAGUUGCUUGGUGCUGGUGAAUCUGACUCAUUUUUAUGAUCUUUGAGUUCAGGUGGGAAGAGGGGGCAAUGAAAGGGAAAUUGACCUAAUCAUUUACUAUAAUCGAUUUUGGUGCUUGACAUCCAACACAAAUCAUAUGGACUAACUAGUUUGUCUAGAUAUCAUUUAUCUCAGGUGCAUAAGUGUCGGCGUUUCGAGACAGGGGGGUCCCUAAGCCGACGAGUGAGUGUGCUGCGUGCCCCAGCCCAGAUGGGUCGAGCGCGUGGGCGAGCGCGGAGGGGGGAGAGGCGAGGCGGCCGGAGCCGAGCGUGAGAGAGGUGGAAGUCCCGCGGCCUUCGUGUUCGUCCCGCGCCCAGGUCAGGUGCGCUUGCAGUAGGGGGGUUACAAGCGUCCACGCGGGUGAGGGAAGCGAGCGGCCCCAAGAGAGCGCCUGUCCCGUCCUCGGUCCCGCGCGGCCAACCUUCUCUGAGAAGGCCCUGGUCCUUCCUUUUAUAGUUGUAAGGAGAGGAUCCAGGUGUACAAUGGGGAUGUAGCAGAGUGCUACGUGUCUAGCGGAGGGAGAGCUAGUGCCCUAGGUACAUGCCGAUGUGGCAGCCGGAGAGAUCUGGGCAUCCUGCUGGCGUGAUGUCGUGGCUAUCGGAGGUGCGACGGAGCCUGAUGGAGGGACAGCUGUUGGAGCGGUCGAGUCCCUGCUGACGUUGUCCUGCUGCCGUAAGAGAGCUGGGGGCCGCCGUCGUCAUAGAGCUCGUGGAGCGCCAUCAUUGCCCCUCUGGCGGAGCUGGCCGGACGAGACGCCGGUCUUGUUCUCCGUGACCCGAGUCGAUUCGGGGUAGGAUGAUGAUGACGUUUCCUGUUGACGUGGCGGUCUGUGCUCUAGGCAGGGCGACGUGGGGUUUCCUCCGAAGCCGAGGUUGAGUCUUGCCUUCAGUUGCCGUGGCCGAGCCCGAGCCAGGGGGUCGGGCGAGGCGGAAGUCGUCCGGCCGAGGCCAGGGCGGAGUCCGAGCCCUGGGGUCGGGCGAGGCGGAGUUUCGUCGUCUUCCGGGUCUUAGCCCGAGUCCGAGCCCUGGGGUCGGGCGGAGCGGAGUUCGCCGUCUUCCGGGUCUUAGCCCGAGUCCGAGCCCUGGGGUCGGGCGGAGCGGAGUUCGCCGUCUUCCGGGUCUUAGCCCGAGUCCGAUCCCUGGGGUCGGGCGGAGCGGAGUUCGCCGUCUUCCGGGUCUUAGCCCGAGUCCGAUCCCUGGGGUCGGGCGGAGCGGAGUUCGCCGUCUUCCGGGUCUUAGCCCGAGUCCGAGCCCUGGGGUCGGGCGGAGCGGAGUUCGCCGUGGUGCCUUUGGCAAGGCCUAAUUGCCUGUCAGACUCACUCUGUCGAGUGGCACUGCAGUCGGAGUGGCGCAGGCGGCGCUGCCCUUCUGUCAGACUGGCCAGUGGAGCGGUGGAGUGACGGCGGUCACCUCGGCUCUGCCGGGGGCGCGUGUCAGGAUAGAGGUGUCAGGCCACCUUUGCGUUAAAUGCCCCUGCAAUUUGGUCAGUCGGUGUGGUGAUUUAGUCAAGGUUGCUUCUGAGCGAAGCCAAGGCCUUGGGCAAGCCGGUGAUGUGUCCGCCAUAAAAAGGGGGCCUCGGGCGAGACGGAAGUCUCUCGAGGUCGGCUGCCUUCGGCCGAGGCUAGGCUCGGGUGAAGCGCGAUCGAGUCACUCGUGUGGACUGAUCCCUGACUUAAUCGUGCCCAUCAGGCCUUUGCAGCUUUAUGCUGAUGGGGGUUACCAGCUGAGAAUUAGGCGUCUUGAGGGUACCCCUAAUUAUGGUCCCCGACAGUAGCCCCCGAGCCUCGAAGGGAGUGUUAGCACUCGCUUGGAGGCUUUUGUCGCACUUUUUUGCAAGGGGACCAGCCUUUCUCGGUUGCAUUUCGUUCCGGUGGGUGCGCGCGAGCGCACCCGCCGGGUGUAGCCCCCGAGGCCUCGGAGGAGUGGUUACACUCCUUCGAGGUCUUAAUACUUCGCUUAACGCUUCGGCUGGUCUGGUCGUUCCCUCAUGCGAACUGGCCGUAGCCCGGGUGCACGGUCGGGGCCCAAGCUCUCGGGCUGGUAUGUUGACGCUGUCAACGAUUUGGCCGGAGCCGGUUUUUGCGAGAGCAGCCCCCGAGCCUCUGCACAGGGCGAGAGGACGAUCAGGGACAGACUCGGCUUUUUACAUACGCCCCUACGUCGCCUUUCCGCAAGGAGGAGGGGGGGAGUGCGCCAUGUUACCCUCGAUGGGCACCGAACAUGGUGUCUCCGGUGAGCUGCAAGCGGGUAAUCCGAGUGGACGUCCGUGCCCCGUUCGUUGGGGGUCGGCUAGGGGCCCAGAGGCACGCCCAAAAGUACCUGCGGGUGACUUGCCGGACCCGGUCCCCUGGCGACGGGGUCCGAGGGCUCGAUGCCUCCCUCCGAUGGGAUUCCGUUACAAGAUCGUUCCCGCUGGUCUCGGAUAUGUCCUAGGGUACCUCGGGAGCGCAGCCCGAGCCUCGGUUAUGUAUCGAACGUACCCCUGGUCAUCCCUCGCUCGGUGUCUGAGGCGACUGUGAACCCUUCGGGGGCCAGCAUUCGAACCCCUGAUCAGUAAUGGGCGCGGAGCCCGAGUAGCCUGAGGCGGCCAUGGAGCCCUUCGGGGGGCUGGCCUUCGAACCCCUGACCAGUAGUGGGUGUCGGGCCCACGCGAUCUGAGGCGGCUGUUGAACCCUCGGGGGGCCAGCCUUCGAACCCCUGAUCAGUAAUGGGGGGCGCGGAGCCCGGUUCCUUCGCGGAGAAGGAUCCCUCUCGGGGUAUCCCCCUUCCCCAGUCCCUGUUGCAAGAGAUAGAGAAAGAGGAAAACGGAAAAGGAUACGAAAUCAGACGACGUGGCGUACCUUUUCUGACGCGGUUAUUAAGGCGAAGGUGAAGCGUCGCGCGCUCCUCCUGCCAGAAGCGCCGCGUGUCCCGCCGCGGAGUUAAUGCGACGGGGCGAGUGGUUGGCGGGGCGGCCGCUACGCGUGUGCGAGCCGUUUCGAGGAACGGCUGUGCCGCUUCGCGUUUUUCGAAUCCUGUAUCCGGUCCAGGCGGCGUGCAGGAAACGGUUUCGCCCUGGCCUUCAUAUACUCGAGAGGGGGCCCGGUGACGGUUCUUCACUCUGCUCCCUUCUUUUCCCUUCAGGUUUUCGCCACCCGGGAAACUUUAGCCGGAGGAGAGGGAAACCGCCUUCCCUGCCCCCCGCGCCGCCAUCUUCUCCAUCUUUGGUGAUGGCGGACCGAGUGACCAUAAUCCCCCCGCGCGAUCCGUGGCCCUUCUCCACGGUGACGGCGAGCGAUCUGGAGGAGCUAGUCGGCGAAGGUCUGCUCCGCCCCCUCACCGACAAGCAGCGGCCAGAGUGGAUUCCUCCCGUGGGCGGAGCCGCUCCGUCCCCACCGCCAGGGUAUGUUGUGAGCUUCGUCUCCUUCCAUGAGCGGGGAUUUGGUGCGCCGGCGGGCCGCUUUAUGCGGGCCAUCUUGUUCCACUACGGGGUGGAGUUGCACAACCUCUCCCCCAACUCCAUCUCGCAGGCCGCUAUUUUCGUAGCACUAUGCGAAGGGUACUUGGGGAUUGCUCCCCAUUGGGAUUUGUGGACUUACUUCUUCUUCGCCGAGCCUUUCGCCUUGUCGACGGGGGAGAGGAGGAUCCGCGCAGCGGUGCGGGCCGGCGGCUGCAUUCUCUUGUUGAGGCAGUCGCGGGCGUUGCAGUACAUUCCUGCCAUUCUCGCGUCUUCGAACAAGGGGCGGCAGCGCCGGUGGUUCUACCUCCGGAACGACGGUGAGUUGCUCCCACCGUUUUCCCAGCGAGUAGUUACAGCUGCCACCGACGCCUGGCGCCACGGGACCCCGCACGAGAGGCAAAAAAAUCUCGAGCCCCUUCUCCAGGCCCUGAAGGAGUUGCGGGAGGGGGGACUUACUGCUGCGGGAGUGAUCGCCGCCAUUCACCGUCGGAGGGUGCUCCCAUUGGCGGAGCGGCGGCUGUCGCUCUGGGAGAUGACCCCGGGAGCCGACUGGGAGGGCUCACGGAUGUCCCCGGAUCCUCUUUCUUCCGAUGCCCUCCAAUGGCGGGUGUCGGCCGCGAUGGGGAAGCCGGACCCCCGCGCAUACUCCCAGCUUCGGAUGCGCCCCGAUCAGGGGUGCGUGACUUUGGUGAGCGUCCGCUCCUCCUUUCUUCGUAUGUCUGGUUGCUCCAGGUCCUUAUGAUCGGGUUCCUUUCUCCCCUCCUUUUAGGAUGUGGGGUGUCACAAACCCUCCCUGCCACGGGUUCCGGAGGACGCGGUGGACCGUGCAGCGCGGCGGGUUGCCACGGAGGAGAAGAAGAAAAAGAAGGACGCGGAGAAGGCCCGGGCCCGCGAGCGGAGGCGGGCUCGGGACGCCUUAGAGAAGCGCCGCCGCCAGCAGGAGAGGGACGGACUCCCGAGGGAGCCAUCGCCGGAGACGCCCGACGACGAUGACGACGACGAUGAUGAUGAUGAUGAUGAUGUGGCCGCCCGUCUUGGCCUCAGCCUCGGCUUGGGGUGUGGCCCAGAGCCGUCGGCCCAGCCCCCGAGCGAACCGACUCCGUCAGCCCCCGAAGUCGGGGCGUCGGGCUCCCGACCCGAGGCGCGGGGGCGAACCGAGAGGCUACCUGACCCCUCCGCCGGAGGAGCUGAAGUAGUUCCGGGGGUCCAGACCAAGGCGUCUGUUCCCCAGAGGCCGCCGCUUGUGCUGGGGGUGGCCGGGAGUGACCCUCAGGUCGUCGCUGCCGUGCCCGAGGAACCUGUUUCCCAGGCGCCCCAAGCGCCGGCGAAGCGGACCUCGGUGGCCGUUUCGAGAGCUGGGAUCCAAGAAGGCUCUCCCCAGGCGCGGUGGAUCAUGGCCCGGAGUGGGUGAGUACCUCGGAAUGUCUUCGUCUUGGCCUCCCAUUCGUAUGUUUUGGUUGUGAUCCCCUUCCUUUUCUAUCCAGCAAGCGAAGUCACGGCCAGACCGACCUGGCACCCCGGAAGGCCCUCAAGACGGCGCCGAGCUGUGCGGCCAGCGCCAUUCAGCCGACCCUCUCGCGGGGCACCCCGACAUCGGGGGUUCGGGCGUCGCUAAUCUCGGAGGAGCGGGCUCCCGAGGUCGGCUCUUCAGCCGGAGCGGCGAUCGUGGUUGAGGAGGCGGCUGACGCCCACACGGCUCUGAGUUCGCCUGUCAGGCCGGUCAUGCCGGCGCCCGCCACCGCCGAGGCUGCCGCCGUCCUUGUCGAAGGGUGCCCAGCCGCCGCCAGUACCGGGAUGGCUGAUGCGUCGGUGCCCAAGACCUCAGAAGAGGUGGGCGCGGUCGCGCAACCUGUCCCGCCGGGCGACAGCCUCAUCGCCGUGCGGCGGAGCCCCGAGGCCCGGCGCCCGUUGCUCCGAUUCCGGACCCGCGAGGCCUCGGACCCCGUCUUUGUUCUUGAUGAUGAGCAGGAGGACCAGUCCUGGGGUGAGCUCCGCGAGUGCGCAGAGACGACGAUGGGGUCGCUCCGGGCGUCGCUGGAGGUCUUCUGCAGAGACGUCCCCAAAAUCCUCCAGGUAGCGGUUUCGGGCAUCCCUUUCUUCCUUCUGUAUGAUACUCGCUGUGACGCCCUGUUUCCUUUUCCCAGGAUCUGACGGACCGGAGCGCCGCUAAGUCGUCAUUCAUCCGCCGUGAGGUUGAUGUCUGGGGCUCACUGCGAUCCCUGAGGUCUUCGCUUGCCGGGGCUACCACGCGCCUUUCCCAGCAAGAUGCCAAGGUGGCGGAUCUCUAGCUGUUAUGCGCCGACCUGAGAGCCGAGGCGGCAGCGGCGCGUGCGGAGGCGCAACAGCAGCGAUCGGAGCUCGCCCGGGUCGUCGAGGAAUGGAACCGGCUUCAAGGCCGGGCUGCCGAGGCCGAAAGCCGAGCCGAGACCCUUGCGGCCGACUUAGCUGCAACCCAAGUCGCGGCCUCGGAGCAUCGUGCCCGAGCCGGGAGUACGUCUCGGUCCUCCCUAGUUCUUUUUCUUGUCCGUUUCCCUUGCUUGUACUUGAGGUAUCUCUCCUGGCUAUUUGCAGAGCUUGAGUCCACCCUUGAUGAGUCCGCCAAGGCGCUUGCUGAGGCGCUUGCCGGAGCCGCUGAGCAGAGGGAGGCGGACCUCGCGGUCAUGUCCGAGGCCGUCUCGGACUUUUACCGUGCCCUCGGCUCUGAUGACGUCCCUUCAGAAAGCUCCCCUCAGAGCCGCCUUCGGGCCUUGAGUGGUCACGCCCGCGGCAGAGUCCGCGAAGCGCUGCACCAUGGCGUCAGGCGGGCCUUCGCCGUGCUCGCCUCUCACUACGUUGUGGAUCUGGAGCGGGUUAGUGAGGGGUACUGCCUUCCUGACGAAGACGAUGCUGCUUUGGCGGAGGUGCAGCGGCUUGACGCGGUUGCCGCUGGCCCAAGCGCGGUGCUGGCGACCACCUUUGAGGCGGAGGUCCUUCCUCCUGUGACGUCACCGGAGGCCGAGAGGGAUCUCACCGAUGGCGGGGGUGUAGCUGAAAGCGCGGCUCCUUCCCAAGGCGGCACCUGAUUCUCGUUUGAACAGUUUCUUGUUGAACGUGUGUCUUACCACGGCCGCUGAGGCCUGAACACUUUUGUCUUUCUUGCAUGGAGUCGUACUCUCCUCUCUUUCCGUCUGCGUGUUCGUCCUAGCUCGUCGAUAAUAGAGUGGCUUCUCGAGUUGGGCCAUUCUCCGCGGCAGGUGAUGAGUGAGGUAUCCCUAACCCGGAGGUACGGGAGUUCCUCGGCUCAAUCGGCCUUGCCAUUUUCAUGAACCCGUGUUCGCUCCUCGAGACCCGGCUUCUGACAUAGCCAGGAGAACGUAGCUGGGAGGACGCAAGAGGCUCCCCCUUUUUUUUGAUUAAAAAGAUCUCGACGCCGAGGGAUUCGAUCUCGACGCAGAGGGGUUCCCCCUUUUUAGCCCCCGAGGGAGGGUCGGGCUCCGCUAUGGCGAGGCCGACCCUUCCUUGAUGAUCAAGGCGCAGAGGCUGCCUGACGAGUCGGGCCCCGGCCCAAAUAUCCAGCGAGUGUUCGGCGGCAUCCCUCGGUAUGUCGGGCGUGUCCGAGGGACUCCACGCAAAGACGUCGGCGUUUUGCGCGGAGGAAGUCGACGAGCACUGCUUCCUAUUUGGGGUCGAGCCCGGGACCGAUUCGGAUCUGCUCGGUGGUGUCGCCACUGGGGCCGAGGGGGACGGCCUUGACCGUCUCCGCUGGCUCGAAGUUGCCGGCAUGGCGCUUCACGUCUGGGACCUCCUUGGAGGGGUUCUCCGGGUCGGCGAUGAGGGCCUCGGACUCGGCGAGGGCCUCGGUGCACUCCACGCACUCCACGUCGCAUUCGAACGCGUGUUUGUACGUGGGGCCGACGGUGAUGACCCCGUUGGGGCCCGGCAUCUUGAGCUUCAGGUAGGUGUAGUUGGGGACGGCCAUGAACUUCGCGUAGCAUGGCCUCCCUAACACGGCGUGGUAGGUUCCUCGGAACCCGACCACUUCAAACGUCAGGGUCUCCCUUCGGAAGUUGGAGGGUGUCCCGAAGCAGACUGGGAGGUCGAGUCGCCCGAGGGGCUGGACGCGCUUCCCAGGGAUGAUCCCGUGGAAGGGCGCAGCGCCUGCUCGGACGGUGGACGGAUCGACGCGCAGGAGCUUGAGGGUCUCGGCGUAGAUGAUGUUGAGGCAGCUGCCCCCGUCCAUCAGGACUUUGGUGAGCCUGACAUCGCCGACAACGGGGUCGACGACGAGCGGGUAUUUCCCCGGGCUCGGCACAUGGUCGGGGUGGUCGGCUCGGUCGAAAGUGAUGGGCUUGUCGGACCAGUCUAGGUAGACUGGCGCCGCCACCUUCAACGAGCAGACCUCCCGGCGCUCUUGCUUGCGGUGCCGAGCCGAGGCAUUCGCCGCAUGCCAUCCGUAGAUCAUGAAGCAGUCGCGGACCUCGGGGAAUUCUCCUGCUUGGUGAUCUUCGUUCUUGUCGUUGUCGCGGGCCCUGCCACCCUCGGCGGGUGGCCCGGCCCUGUGGAAAUGACGCCGAAGCAUAACGCACUCCUCGAGGGUGUGCUUGACGGGCCCCUGAUGGUAGGGGCACGGCUCCUUGAGCAUCUUGUCGAAGAGGUUUGCGCCUCCGGGGGGCUUCCGAGGGUUCUUAUACUCGGCGGCGGCGACAAGGUCCGCGUCGGCGGCGUCGCGUUUCGAUUGCGACUUCUUCUUGCCUUUCUUCUUGGCGCCGCGCGGAGCAGACGCCUCGGGGGCUUCUUCCGAUGGGCGGCCCUGGGGCUGCUUGUCCUUUCGGAAGAUAGCCUCGACCGCCUCCUGGCCGGAGGCGAACUUGGUGGCGAUGUCCAUCAGCUCGCUCGCCCUGGUGGGGGUUUUGCGACCCAGCUUGCUCACCAGGUCGCGGCAAGUGGUGCCGGCGAGGAACGCGCCGAUGACAUCCGAGUCGGUGAUGUUGGGCAGCUCGGUGCGCUGCUUCGAGAAUCGCCGGAUGUAGUCCCGGAGCGACUCUCCCGGCUGUUGCCGGCAGCUUCGAAGGUCCCAGGAAUUCCCGGGGCGCACGUAUGUGCCCUGGAAAUUGCCAGCGAAGGCUUGGACCAAGUCGUCCCAGUUGGAAAUCUGCCCCGGAGGCAGGUGCUCCAACCAGGCACGAGCAGUGUCGGAGAGGAACAGGGGGAGGUUGCGGAUGAUGAGGUUGUCGUCGUCCGUUCCACCCAGUUGGCAGGCAAGGCGGUAGUCCGCGAGCCACAGCUCCGGUCUCGUUUCCCCCGAGUACUUUACGAUAGUAGUCGGGGGUCGGAACCGGGUCGGGAAUGGCGCCCGUCGAAUGGCCCGACUGAAAGCCUGCGGACCGGGUGGUUCGGGCGAAGGACUCUGAUCCUCCCCGCUGUCGUAACGUCCCCCACGCCUGGGGUGAUAGCCUCGGCGCACCCUUUCGUCGAGGUGAGCCCGACGGUCGCGUCGAUGGUGCUCGUUGCCGAGGUGGCCCGGGGCCGCAGGCGCGGUGUUGCGCGUGCGCCCGGUGUAGACCGAGGCUUCCCGCAUGAAUCGGGACGUCGCGGCAUGAGGUUCCGAGGGAUAUCCUUGCCUUCGGGAUGCAGUGCUUUCGGCCCGCCGGGCCGCGGCGCCUUCCAGGAGAUUCUUGAGUUCUCCCUGGAUCCGCCGACCCUCGGUGGUUGACGGCUCCGGCAUCGCGCGGAUGAGCAUUGCUGCGGUUGCCAGGUUCUGACCGACCCCGCUGGAUGCGGGCGGCGGCCUGAUCCUGACGUCGUUGGCGACGCGGUGCUGGAGACCUUGGGGCAGAUGACGUAUUUCUCCGGCCAGGGGUUGGCCCACCCAUGCCUGUCCGACGUCCCGACGGAUCGGCUCAAGCGCUCUCGUUCCCUCGUUGAGCCUGGCCUGCGCCUCGCGGACUUGCUCGAGUUGUGGGUCGUAACCCCCCGCCGGAGCGGGGACCACAGCUAGCUCCCGUGGGGUGUCGGCGCGAGGCACCGGCCUAGGGAGAUCACCAUCCUCCGGCAUGCCAAGAUGGUUGCCUUCGGUGGGAUUCCCUAGCUCGAUGUGGAAACAUUCGCAGCUUGGGCCGCAGCUCUCGUCGCCAAGGCUGCGGCUUGCAUCGGAACAGUCGGACAGACAGUAGUCACAUGCGGCCAUGAAGUCCCGCACGGCACUGGGGUUGCCAAGUCCGGAGAAAUCCCAACCGAUGCUGGGGUCGUCAUCUUCCUCGGACCCAGAGGGCCCGUAGGUCGAGACGUCCGUCAGUCGGUCCCAAGGCGACCGCAUACAGAACCUCAGUGGGGUUGCACUCGCCUUAAUGAGGGCGCCCGCCAAAACGAGGUCGUUUGGCGGGUUGAGGCCGAGUCGAAAUGACGCAAGAUGGGAGUUAGUCGUUACCUUUGGGUCGACGAGGAGCGACGUAGUCACAUCAGGGACUGGUUGCGCCGUCAUCUCUGGUUCGAGGGCGACGUCCUGCAGGCUUUCCGCGAGCGCGCCGGCGUCGUCUUCUUGCUCGGGGUCGUCGUGCCGCGGGGGGGACGGCGCUUGCCUCCGUCUUGAACGCGAGGUCGAUGUCCGGCGUGCCUUCCGUCGGGGCGUCGGGGGCGUCGAUUCGCUCGACGGCCGGCGAAGCGCGGUCUCCCGUCUGGCCUUGACGGCCCCGCCUCCUCCUCCGUUGGCGGGGGAGAGAACGGAGCGAGCCCGAAUGUUGCUUUUCCACCACGCGGGGUAGACGUCGUCGAUUCCGCCGCCGGCGGGCGGGUUGUCGGCCGCCAUUGUCGUGGUCGCACGGCGGUGGAAGAAGUAUCAUGUCGUAGCUGCCGUCGAAGGACAUGAACUCGAGAGCCCCGAAACGAAGCACCGUCCCGGGCCGGAGAGGUUGCUGGAGACUGCCCAUCUGGAGCUUGACGGGGAGCUAUUCGUCAGCACGCAGCAGGCCCCUACCUGGCGCGCCAACUGUCGGCGUUUCGAGACAGGGGGGUCCCUAAGCCGACGAGUGAGUGUGCUGCGUGCCCCAGCCCAGAUGGGUCGAGCGCGUGGGCGAGCGCGGAGGGGGGAGAGGCGAGGCGGCCGGAGCCGAGCGUGAGAGAGGUGGAAGUCCCGCGGCCUUCGUGUUCGUCCCGCGCCCAGGUCAGGUGCGCUUGCAGUAGGGGGGUUACAAGCGUCCACGCGGGUGAGGGAAGCGAGCGGCCCCAAGAGAGCGCCUGUCCCGUCCUCGGUCCCGCGCGGCCAACCUUCUCUGAGAAGGCCCUGGUCCUUCCUUUUAUAGUUGUAAGGAGAGGAUCCAGGUGUACAAUGGGGAUGUAGCAGAGUGCUACGUGUCUAGCGGAGGGAGAGCUAGUGCCCUAGGUACAUGCCGAUGUGGCAGCCGGAGAGAUCUGGGCAUCCUGCUGGCGUGAUGUCGUGGCUAUCGGAGGUGCGACGGAGCCUGAUGGAGGGACAGCUGUUGGAGCGGUCGAGUCCCUGCUGACGUUGUCCUGCUGCCGUAAGAGAGCUGGGGGCCGUCGUCGUCAUAGAGCUCGUGGAGCGCCAUCAUUGCCCCUCUGGCGGAGCUGGCCGGACGAGACGCCAGUCUUGUUCUCCGUGACCCGAGUCGAUUCGGGGUAGGAUGAUGAUGACGUUUCCUGUUGACGUGGCGGUCUGUGCUCUAGGCAGGGCGACGUGGGGUUUCGUCCGAAGCCGAGGUUGAGUCUUGCCUUCAGUUGCCGUGGCCGAGCCCGAGCCAGGGGGUCGGGCGAGGCGGAAGUCGUCCGGCCGAGGCCAGGGCGGAGUCCGAGCCCUGGGGUCGGGCGAGGCGGAGUUUCGUCGUCUUCCGGGUCUUAGCCCGAGUCCGAGCCCUGGGGUCGGGCGGAGCGGAGUUCGCCGUCUUCCGGGUCUUAGCCCGAGUCCGAGCCCUGGGGUCGGGCGGAGCGGAGUUCGCCGUCUUCCGGGUCUUAGCCCGAGUCCGAUCCCUGGGGUCGGGCGGAGCGGAGUUCGCCGUCUUCCGGGUCUUAGCCCGAGUCCGAUCCCUGGGGUCGGGCGGAGCGGAGUUCGCCGUCUUCCGGGUCUUAGCCCGAGUCCGAGCCCUGGGGUCGGGCGGAGCGGAGUUCGCCGUGGUGCCUUUGGCAAGGCCUAAUUGCCUGUCAGACUCACUCUGUCGAGUGGCACUGCAGUCGGAGUGGCGCAGGCGGCGCUGCCCUUCUGUCAGACUGGCCAGUGGAGCGGUGGAGUGACGGCGGUCACCUCGGCUCUGCCGGGGGCGCGUGUCAGGAUAGAGGUGUCAGGCCACCUUUGCGUUAAAUGCCCCUGCAAUUUGGUCAGUCGGUGUGGUGAUUUAGUCAAGGUUGCUUCUGAGCGAAGCCAAGGCCUUGGGCAAGCCGGUGAUGUGUCCGCCAUAAAAAGGGGGCCUCGGGCGAGACGGAAGUCUCUCGAGGUCGGCUGCCUUCGGCCGAGGCUAGGCUCGGGUGAAGCGCGAUCGAGUCACUCGUGUGGACUGAUCCCUGACUUAAUCGUGCCCAUCAGGCCUUUGCAGCUUUAUGCUGAUGGGGGUUACCAGCUGAGAAUUAGGCGUCUUGAGGGUACCCCUAAUUAUGGUCCCCGACAAUAAGGUUCAACCCAAACCAAGAAAGAAAUUCAGUUAGAGACACAAUCAAAUUUGGAGCAAAGGACUUAGAGUGUGCUGAAAAUUGGCGCACCGGACAAGGUGCACCAGGCGAGGCACCCAUCAAACAGGCCACUCUCGGGAAUUCAAUGGGCUCACUCCGCUAUAAUUCACCGGACUGUCCGGUGUGGCACCGGACUGUCCAGUGAGCCAGCGGAGCAACGACUCCCUGCGCGCCAACGGUCGACUGCUCAGAUGAAUAGUGCCAAACAGUGCCGCGUAGAAGUCAGAGGUCACCGAACUGUCCGGUGCAGCAAAAAGACAAAGAUCUCCAACGACCAACAACUUCAAACCCUAACGGACGCGUUGACGUGGCGCGCACCGGACAGUGAACAGUGACUGUCCGGUGUGCCCAUCGCUAGAGGACUUUGCCAACGGCUAGGAAGUGGUUGGGGGUUAUAAAUUGUCGGGUACCAUAAUUAGGGGUACCCCCAACACUCCUAAACACGGUUGGUAACCACCAUCAGCACAAAUCGCAAAGACUAAUGGGCACGAUUCAGGUCAAGGCUUCGUCUACCCAAGGGACGCAAUCUCGCCUCCCCCGAGCCCAGCCUCGGGCGGGAACAGUAGUCGCGGACGAAUUCACGCCUCGCCCGAGGGCCUCCUCAGGCAGUGGGCACACCCUCGGCUCGCCCGAGGCCCAGCUCGGGCAGGCUUCAUCGAGAAACAACCUUGGCCAAAUCGCCUCUCCAACCAACCGUAUCGCAGGCGCAUUCAAUGCGAGGAUCGCCUGACACCUUAUCCUGACAUGCGCGCCUCAGUCGGCAAGGUCGAAGUGACCGCAGUCACUUCGCCCUUUCGCUGACCGAUCUGACAGGAAAACAGUGCCGCUCACCCCGCUCCGACUGUUGUGCCAGCCACCCGGGCAAGGCUAACAACAGCAAGUUCAGCCUCAGGCGCAACAGGAAGCUCCGCCUCGACCGACCUUAGGCCUCGGCCUCGGAAGGUGGUCUCCACCUCGCCCGACCCUAGGGCUCAGCCUCAACCUCGGCCUCGGGAGGAAUCGCGUCCUCACCCGACCCAGGCCUCGACCUCAGGGGAAGUCUCCGCCUCGCCCGACCUUGGGCUCGGACCGACCGCGCCACGGGGGAUACAUCAUUACCCUACCCCUAGCUAGCUCAGGCUACUAGGGAACAAGACCGGUGUCCCAUCUGGCUCGCCCCGGUAACAAGUAAUGAUGGCUCCCCACGUGCGUCCAUGACGACGGUGGUUCUCAACCCCCUACGGAAGCAAGGAGACGUCAGCAAGAUCCCAGCAGCACCGACAGUUGUGCUUCUACAGGGCUCAGGCACUUCUCCGACGGCCACGUUACCGUGUACACAGGGCUCAGGCACCUCUGUGCCAGACACGUUAGCGCAUAGCUACACCCCACAUUGUACACCUGGACCCUCUCCUUGCAUCUAUAAAAUGGAGGUCCAGGGCCUUCAUGCGGGAGGGUCGCGCGGGAGAACGAACUAACGAACAGGCUCACUCUCUCUCUCUCUCUCGCGAACGCUUGUAACCCCUACUACGAGCACACCCCCCUGGUGCGAGAUAACACGAACCGCGUUUCCCCCUUGUGUUCCAUCUUGCGCCAACCCAUCUGGGCUGGGACACGCAGCGACAAAUUUACUCGUCGGUCCAGGGACCCCCUAGGGUCGAAACGUCGACAGUUGGCGCGCCAGGUAGGGGCCUACUGUGUGUUAACGAACAACUUCCCGUUGAGUUCCAGAUGGGUAGUCUACAGCAACCUCUUCAGCCCGGGACGGUGCUCCACUUCGGGAGUCUCGAGUUCAUGUCCCUCGACGGUAGCUACGACAUGGUACUCCUCCCCCCGCAGCGCGGCAGCAACCACGACGGUUGUCAGCUCGCCCGGCGGCGGCGGACUCGAUGACGUCUUCCCCCCGUGGCGAAAGAGCAGCAUCCGGGUUUGUCCCGCCACCCUCCUCGCCGCAGGAGGAGGAGGCGGGGCAACCAUGGCCAGGCAGGAGGCAGCACCACGUCGGCUGUCGAGCGAGUCGACGACACCGACACCCCAGCGGGGGACAUGUCGGGCGUUGUCCUCGCGCCUGAGACAACGACGGGCGUCAUUUCCCCGCAACGUGCCAACCCCAAGCGGGCAGAUGACGCCAGCACACUCGCAAAGGGCUUACUGGGCGUUAGCCUCGUACCUGAGAUAACGGUGUAGUCCGUCCCCGACGCGACUUCGUCAUCGUCCAUCGAUCAAGAGGUACCAUACGUUUUCCACCCUGUGCCUUUUAGAUUCAGCUUCGAUCCACCAAACGACCCCGCUUCGGUGAGCGCUUUUGUAAAGGCAUACCCUAACCUUCCAGGGUACCACAUGUGGUCAACCUGGGACCGACUGACGGCCGUCUCAACCUAUGGGCCCCCAGGUUCUGAGGAAGAAGAUGAGACUGACUCUGGUUGGGAUUUCUCUGGGCUCAGUAAUCCCAGUGCCAUGCGAGACUUCAUGACCGCAUGUGACUACUGCCUCUCCGAUUGCUCCAAUGACGGACACAGCCUUGACGACGAGGGUUGUGGCCCAAGUCACGAAUGUUUCCACGUCGAUCUAGGGGGUCACGACGAAGGCAACCACCUCGGUAUGCCGGAGGAUGACGAUCCCCCUGGGCCUGCGCCUCGCGUUGACAUCCUGCGGGAGCUAGUUGUGGUCCCAGUCCCUGCGGGGGGUCAGGACACACAGCUCGAGCAAAUCCGUGAGAUGCAGGCCAAGCUCGACGAGGAAGCAGGGCAACUUGUGCAGCUCCGGCAAAUCAUCGAGCAGGAGUGGGCAAGCCGAGCACUCGCCGGAGAAGCAUGUCAUCAGGCCCGGGACGUCCAACGUCGUAUUGUUGACAAUGCCAGGGCAAGGUUGUCCCCGGCCUCCAGCGGGGUCGGCCAGAAUCUGGCUGCAGCGGCAAUACUACUCCAAGCAAUGCCGGAGCCAUCCACCACCGAGGGGCGGCGUAUCUAGGGAGAACUCAAGAAUCUCCUGGAGGAUGCCGCGGUCUGACGGGCCAAAAGCUCUGCCUCCCGAAGGCAAGGGUGCCCCCCGGAGCAUCGCGCAACAACUUCCUGACUCGUGCGGGAGGCCUCAGUCCACACCGGGCGCACGCGGGACGCGACGCCUGCAGCCCCGGAUCGCUGUAGCAUCCCAAAAAUCCUAACCCAGGUUUGAAACCCUAAUCUACCCCUUUCCCCUCCCUUCAUCCUUUAAUUCCAAUACCUCCACUAGUUUUCUUUCAUCAUAUGCAUACAUUUUGUUUGAUCACAAAGCACCUCACUUAGAUUCUAUUUUCUAAACACUUAGAGUAUUCACAAAGUAUUUUUGUUCAAAGAAAAAGGGGCAAAAUGGGAAAUAGAAAUUAGAAAGUAAAAAGAAAAAGGGAAAAAGCUCUUUCCUCCCCUGCUGGACCGAAUCCCGGCCCAAGCCCGCGACCUCUCCCUCCCCACGCGCCCGCAUCCGGCCCAACUUCGGCCUGCUUCCGCGCGCGCGACAGCCGCUCCACACCUCGCCCUCUCUCUCGCUGACAAGGCGUCCCCACCCGUCAGCCACCCGCUCUCUCGCUCGCUCGCUCCCUCUGACCAAGCGACCCCACGGGUCAGCUGCUUCGUCGUCCGUCCGCCGUCCCCUCGCCGAAGUCACCUCCGGCCGUCGCCUCCGUCCUCCCCUCUACCAUCCUGCCGCACAGGGAAGUUUGGCACCGCUCCGUCCUCCUCCCCUUGACCAGCGUCCUCGCCGGUGCCACCUCGCCGUAGCGUCCCCUCGGCAGCGCUGUGCGCCAUUUAUGGCGGCACUGGGAAGCUCGCCGGAGUCAGGGAGCUCCACCGCCCCCCCUUCCCCCGCGCGCCUAUAAAAAGCUCCCCCCGAGCUCCUUCUUCCUCGCACCAGCUUCGGCCAUCCCCCUCCUCCCCUUCCCCGAGCUCAAUUCACAAGGCGUCGGCGUCAUCUUCCUCUCCGGUGAGUCUUUUCCUUCUCCUCCCUCUCCUUCUCUGUUGGUCCGGCAAGGAAUUGAGUGAGCCGAGUAGCUCCCUCGCGUAGCCACGAACCCGAAGCGCCACUUUCCAGCCCCCGUUCCCCACCCAGAGCCCACCGGCGGCGAUCCCCGCCGCGGAACUCCGCCCCCUCCCCGUGGGCAGCCCCCUCCCGACCCCCUCUGGCCAAAUUGAACCUACCAUAAGAAUCGCCAACUGCCGCCGUGCUAAACCACCUGCUCACUGUCCAAAAACCGGGCCACCGGCGGCGAACCGCCGCCGAGCCCACCGGCAGCCGGGUCCUCCCCCGCGGACGGCCGGUUCAUCCCCCCCGUCAACCUGACGCCGUUCUCUCCCCCCUCCCGUUCUCUCUGGCACGUGGGGCCCGCGGCGACGCCGUCACCUUCGCGCGCCCGCGCCGUCCCUUGCCCUGGGCCGCAACUGGGCCGGCGCAUUCGCGCCCGCGCGCGCUCGCGCCUGGCUGGGCCAGAUUCCUUCCACCCGGCCCACCAGAGCUGAAACCCUUUUUCUUUUUCCUUUUUCAGCAUUUUCCUCCUUUAAUUAGUCUCCUCAAUAUUUUAUGCACUAAAAAUUAUCAAAAAUAAUUUCUAAGGUCACAUGCAAUAAUGAUGUUAGAAAAUGACACACUAUAAUUUGUGAAUCCUUGUUGAUGUAUUGUUUUAUUGCCUGUUUUCCUAGAGGAAGCGGGGACCGUUAAUCCGGAACCCGUAGCCCCGGAAGAGGGACCAGAGCCCGAACUUCCGGAAGUAGAUCUUCUGUGCCAAGAGAGCUUCAACGAAGGCAAGUCCAUCCUUCCCUUGAUGCAUAAAUUACCUAUUCUCUCUACCACUGCCUAGGCCGGGAAUCAUGGGGGAACAUUGCAUUGUGAGUGAGAGAUGGCCCACAUUAACAUAUUAUUUCCGGUUACGAAAUGUGGAUCUGGAAGUAGGGCAAAGUGUUUCUCCAAAUAAAACCUAUUUUUGAAAAGUUAUGCGAUGAAGGGUACUCACCCUCAUCACCUUGAGAGUGGGAUGAUCAGGGACUCCCUGGUUUAGGGGAGGGCCUAAGGUGUUGGCUCAGCUGGUUUAGGCGUGAGCAGAAGGAUUGUCCCCUCAUAUAAGGACCGGCUUGUCAUUUUCACUACCUGUACUCCUUUAUCGUACAACCACUCGAGACUGUGUGGGCAGUCACUCGAUCCGAACUCGUAUGGUCCAACCCCAGGGUUAAGAAGGCUGGGGAGCACCGGGAGGAUAAGGAGGGGGAAAGUUUUGUCCGGUUUGGGCAUGGUGGUGGCCUGACUCCUUCCGGAUAACCGUUAAGGUUAGGACGUACGGGUAAGGAAAGAGAUCCGGCAUUCGGGUCUCGCGACGGUGAGAUCGCAGAAACCGGGCUAGUGGGUAAAGUGUACCCCUCUGCGCAGAGUUGAAACCUAUUCGAAUAGUCCGUGUCCACUGGUAUGGAUGAGUCCGGUAUGGUAUGACAAUUAGAACUUUCUCUAUGAAUUUCAAGAAAAGGGGGAAUGUGUGAAUGAGUAAGUGUUAAGAAAGAACUAAGGCCACGGGAGCGGGAAGCUCAGUGGUGGUUGAGUUUUUGGUUACUUUUAAAGACUAUGGGGUAGACCUUCAAGCAACUGCCUUUCUCUAAGAAAAUGAUGAGUGACAUCAACUCCACCAAAUUGAGCAUGUACAUCAUAGGUCUCUUUCUCUCUACGGGAGCGGGGUGGGCUUGCGGAAUACCUAGUGUAUUCACCCAGAUUUAUUUAUGUUUUUCAGCAGCCGAGGACUUCUUUUCUGCUAUGCUUGAUUAAGAGGGCUGUGUCUGCACCCAGUUCUGCCUGUGGCUUGGGCUAGUGUAUUUUCCUACUGCGUUUCUCUAUUUUGCUCUCUCGAGCUUGUACCCCGGUAUUGUAAUAAAUUUAUCUAAACUCUGUACUAUUUGAAGUAAGGAAUGUGUUUACUAGCCUCCUGGGACUAGUAAUUGAUUCACAUUUGAGUCCCAAAGGAUCGGGACGCUUCAAUCGCCUCAGCAACAAGCAUCACCGUCGCGACCGUCGAGCCCACCUCGACGAGAAGGUGCGCCGAGGUUACCACCCCAGGCGUGGGGGACGCUACGACAGUGAGGAGGAUCAGAGCCUCGCCCAAACCACCAGGUCUGCAAGCCUUCAACCGGGCCAUACGACGGGCGUCGUUCUCGACCCGGUUCCGGGCCCCGACUACCAUCGCCAAGUACUCGGGGGAAACAAGGCCGGAGUUGUGGCUUGCGGACUACCGGCUGGCCUGCCAGCUGGGAGGAACGGACGAUGACAACCUCAUCAUCCGCAACCUCCCCCUGUUCCUCUCUGACGCUGCCCGGGCCUGGCUGGAGCAUCUGCCUCCCGCACAGAUCUCCAACUGGGAUGACCUGGUCAAGGCUUUCGCUGGAAACUUCCAGGGCACGUACGUGCGCCCUGGGAACUCCUUGGAUCUCCGAAGCUGCCGCCAGCAGCCAGGGGAAUCCCUGCGAGAGUACAUCUGACGGUUUUCAAAGCAGCGCACCGAGCUGCCCAACAUCACCGACUCGGAUGUCAUCGGGGCGUUCCUCGCCGGCACCACUUGUCGUGACCUGGUGAGCAAACUAGGCUGCAAGACUCCCACCAAGGCGAGCGAGUUGAUGGACAUCGCCACCAAGUUUGCCUUUGGUCAGGAGGCGGUCGAAGCCAUCUUCCGGAAGGACAAGCAGCCUCAGGGACGCCAGCAGGAAGACGUCCCCGAGGCGUCCGCCCAGCGUGGCACAAAGAAGAAGGCCAAGCAGAAGUCACAAGCGAAACGCGACGCCGCCGACGCAGAUCUUGUCGCUGCCGCCGAGCACAGGAACCCUCGGAAGCCUCCCGGAGGGGCCAACCUGUUCGACAAGAUGCUCAAGGAGUCGUGCCCCUAUCACCAGGGUCCCGUCAAGCACACCCUUGAGGAAUGCGUCAUGCUUCGACGCUACUUCCAUAAAGCUGGGUCCCCGGUGGGAGAUGUCAAAGGCCAAGACAACAACAAGAAAGAGGGCAACAAGGAAGAGGAGUUCCCCGAGGUCCACGGCUGCUUCAUGAUCUACGGUGGGCAAGUGGCGAACGCCUCGGCUCGGCACCGCAAGCAGGAGCGCCGGGAGGUCUGCUCGGUGAAGGUGGCGGCGCCAGUCUACCUGGACUGGUCCGACAAGCCCAUUACCUUCGACCAAGGCGACCACCCCGACUGCGUGCCGAGCCCAGGAAAGUACCCGCUCGUUGUCGAUCCCGUCAUUGGCAACGCCAGGCUCACCAAGGUCCUCAUGGACGGGGGCAGCAGCCUCAACAUCAUCUACGCCGAGACCCUCGGGCUAUUGGGGAUCGAUUUGUCCACAAUCCGGGCUAGUGCUGCGCCCUUUCACGGGAUCAUCCCCGGGAAGCGCGUCCUGCCCCUUGGACAACUCGAUCUGCCCGUCUGCUUUGGAACUCCCUCCAACUUCUGAAAGGAAACCUUCACGUUCGAGGUGGUCGGGUUCCGAGGGACCUACCACGCGGUGCUGGGGAGACCGUGCUACGCCAAGUUCAUGGUUGUCCCCAACUACACGUACCUCAAGCUCAAGAUGCCAGGCCCCAACGGGGUCAUCACCAUCGGAUCCACGUACCGACACGCGUACGAAUGCGACGUGGAGUGCGUGGAGUACGCUAAGGCCCUCGCCGAGUCCGAGGCCCUCAUCGCCGACCUAGAGUGCCUCUCCAAGGAGGUGCCUGAUGCGAAAAAAGUGCCACGCCGGCAACUUCGAACUGGCUGAGGCGGUUAAGUCCAUCCCUCUCGACCCCAGCAACGACACCUACAAGCAAGUCUGGAUCGGCUCCGAGCUCGACCCCAAAUAGGAAGCAGUGCUCGUCGACUUUCUCCGUGCAAAUGCCGAAGUUUUUGCGUGGAGUCCCUCGGACAUGUCUGGCAUACCGAGGGAUGUCGCCGAGCACUCACUAGACAUUCGAGCCGGUGCCCGACCCGUGAAGCAGCCUCUGCGUCGUUUCGACGAAGAAAAGCGCAGAGCCAUAGGCGAGGAGGUCCACAAGCUGAUGACUACAUGGUUCAUCAAAGAGGUAUUCCAUCCCGAAUGGUUAGCUAACCAUGUGCUUGUGAAAAAGAAAGGUGGGAAGUGGAGGAUGUGCGUAGACUACACUGGUCUAAACAAGGCAUGUCCAAAGGUUCCCUACCCUCUGCCUCGCAUCGAUCAAAUUGUGGACUCCACUGAUGGGUGCGAAACCCUGUCAUUCCUCUAUGCCUAUUCAGGUUAUCACCAAAUCAAGAUGAAAGAGUCCGACCAUCUCGCGACUUCUUUCAUCACACCUUUUGGCAUGUACUGUUAUACUACUAUGCCAUUUGGCUUGAGGAAUGCAGGUGCAACAUACCAAAGGUGCAUGAACCACGUGUUCGGAGAGCACAUCGGCCGAACGGUCGAGGCUUACGUCGAUGACAUCGUUGUCAAGACGAGGAAAGCCUCCGACCUCCUCUCUGACCUUGAAACGACAUUCAAGUGUCUGGGAGCGAAGGGCGUGAAGCUCAAUCCCGAGAAGUGUGUCUUCGAAGUCCCUCGAGGCAUGCUCCUAGGGUUCAUCGUCUCUGAGCGGGGCAUCGAGGCCAACCCAGAGAAAAUCGCGACCAUCACCAACAUGGGGCCUAUCAAAGAUUUGAAAGGAGUACAAAGGGUCAUGGGAUGCCUUGCGGCUCUGAGCCGCUUCAUCUCGCGCCUCGGUGAAAAAGGCCUACCCUUGUACCGCCUCUUAAGGAAGGCCGAGCGCUUCACUUGGACCCCCGAGGCCGAGGAAGCCCUCAGAAACUUAAAGGCGCUCCUUACAAACGCGCCCAUCUUGGUGCCCCCCGCUGCGGGAGAAGCCCUCUUGAUCUACGUAGCCGCAACCACUCAGGUGGUCAGCGCGCGAUCGUAGUCGAGAGACGAGAAGAAGGGCAAGCACUGCUCGUCCAGAGGCCGGUUUACUUCGUUAGUGAAGUGUUAUCCGAGACCAAGAUCCUCUACCCGCAAAUUCAGAAGCUACUGUACGCAGUAAUUCUGACGCGGCGAAAGUUGCGACACUACUUCGAGUCUCAUCCGGUGACUGUGGUGUCAUCCUUCCCCCUGGGGGAGAUCAUCCAGUGUCGAGAGGCCUCGGGUAGGAUAGCAAAGUGGGCAGUGGAGCUUAUGGGCGAGACAAUCUCGUUCGCUCCACGGAAGGCCAUAAAGUUCCAAGUCUUAGCGGAUUUCCUAGAGGAAUGGGUCGACACCCAAUUGCCAACAGCUCUGAUCCAACCGGAACUUUGGACCAUGUACUUCGAUGGGUCGCUGAUGAAAAUGGAAGCAGGUGCUAGCCUGCUCUUCAUCUCACCCCUUGGGAAACAUCUCCGCUACGUGCUGCGCCUCCAUUUCCCGGCGUCAAACAACAUGGCCGAGUACGAGGCUCUGGUUAAUGGGUUACGCAUCGCCAUCGAGCUAGGGGUUCGGCGCCUCGAUGCUCGUGGCGACUCACAGCUUGUCAUCGACCAAGUCAUGAAGAACUCCCACUGCCGCGACCGGGAGAUGGAGGCCUACUGCGAUGAAGUUCGACGCCUAGACGACAAGUUCUAUAGGCUGGAGCUCAACCACAUCGCUCGACGGUACAACGAGACUGCGGAUGAGCUGGCGAAAAUAGCCUCGGGGCGGACAACGGUUCCCCCAGACGUCUUCUCUAGAGACAUACAUCAACCUUCCGUUAAGAUCGACGACACGCCCGAGCCCGAGGAGGCCUCGGCCCAGUUCGAGGUAUCCUCGGCCGCCGAGGGUGAGGCCCUGCGCAUCGAGGGAGAGCGAAAUGGGGUUGCGCCAAACCAAAACUGGCAGACCCCGUACCUGGAAUAUCUCCUCCGAGGAGAGCUACCCCUCGACAAGGCCGAAGCUCGGCGACUAGCGCGGCGCGCCAAGUCGUUCGUCUUACUGGGUGAUGAAAAGGAGCUCUACCACCGCAGCCCCUCAGGCAUUCUCCAACAAUGCAUAUUCGUCACCGAAGGACAGGAGCUAUUGCAAGAAAUACACUCGGGGGCUUGCGGUCACCAUGCAGCACCUCGAGCCCUUGUGGGGAACGCCUUCCGACAAGGUUUCUACUGGCCGACCGCGGUAGCCGAUGCCACUAGGAUUGUACGCUUCUGCCAAGGGUGUCAAUUCUACGCAAGACAGACGCACCUUCCCGCUCAGGCCCUGCAGACAAUACCCAUCACCUGGCUGUUUGCUGUGUGGGGUCUGGACCUCGUCGGUCCCUUGCAGAAGGCACCCGGGGGCUUCUCGCACCUGCUAGUCGCCAUCGACAAAUUCUCCAAGUGGAUCGAGGUCCGACCCCUAAUCAGCAUCAGGUCCAAGCAGGCGGUGGCGUUCUUCACGAACAUCAUCCAUCGCUUUGGGGUCCUGAACUCCAUCAUCACCGACAAUGGCACACAGUUCACUGGGGAAGAAGUUCCUGGACUUCUGCGAGGACCACCACAUCCGUGUGGAAGGGGCCGCCGUAGCUCACCCCAUGACGAAUGGGCAGGCGGAGCGUGCCAAUGGUAUGAUUCUGCAGGGACUUAAACCGAGGAUCUACAACGACCUCAACAAGUUCGGCAAGCGGUGGAUGAAAGAGCUACCCUCGGUGGUCUGGAGUCUGAGGACGACGCCGAGCCGAGCCACAGGUUUCUCGUCGUUCUUUCUAGUCUAUGGGGCCGAGGCUAUCUUACCCACACACUUAGAAUACGGUUCCCCGAGGACAAAGGCGUACGACGACCGAGGCAACCAGGCCAGCCGAGAAGACUCACUGGACCAGCUAGAAGAGGCUUGGGACGUGGCCUUACUGCACUCGGCGCGGUAUCAGCAGUCUCUGCGACGCUACCACGCUUGAGGGGUUCGGCCCCGAGGCUUCUAGGUGGGAGACUUGGUACUUCGGCUGCGGCAGGACGCCACAAGCUUACUCCUCCCUGGGAAGGGCCAUUCAUCAUCGCCAAGAUUUUGAAGCCCGGAACAUACAAGCUGGCCAACGAUCGAGGCGAGGUCUACAACAACACUUGGAACAUCCAACAGCUACGUCGCUUCUACCAUUAAGAUGUUUCAAGUCGUUCAUAUACCUCGUUUUUUUCUUUACAUACAUAAAUAAAGUCUAACCGUCAAGGAAGGAUCAGCCUUGCCUCGGCAAAGCCUGACCCUCCCUCGGGGGCUAGAAGGGGGGAACCCCCUCUGCAUCAAAAUUUUCCUCGGAAAAGUUUUCUACCCAAACGACUUUCGUGCUUUCCGACUAUAUCGAUAACAGAAUCCUGCAAGCGAGUAAGAGCGCACGUAAGCGGCAAGGCCGACCGAGCUGAGGGACUCCUACGCCUCUGGGAUACGGAUACCUCACUCGUCACCUUCCGCAAAAAGUAACUCUUGCUCGGAUAAGCGAUUCUGCUACCGACGAACAAGUCUGGAUACUCGAAACGAGAGGAAAGGAAACACAGCUUUAUAACACGACAAUAAGAUGUUUAGGCCUUGUUGGCCACGAAAAACACGUGCAUACUCCAAACAAACUGCUCCGGUAGAAUCAGACAUCGCUAGGGGGAGGAGCGGCACCCUCGGCGUCGUCUCCACCCUCGAUGUCGUCUCCACCCUCGGCAAGAUCUAGCCCGGCCCCAGACGGCGACGCAAGCGAAAGGAUCUCCACCUCGAAGGAGGACGCCAGCACCACGCUUGGGCCCGCGACGGCCGCGUCAAGCCUCUGAACCUCGGCUAAGGCAGCCUCAUCUUCAUCGGGUAGGCAGUACCCCUCGCUGACCCGCUCCAGAUCCACGUCGUAGUGGGAAGCGAGCACGGCGAAGGCCCGCCUAACGCCGUGGUGCAGCGCCCCGCGGAGUCUGCUGCGCACAUGGCUGCCCAAGGCCCGCAGGCGACUCUGGGGGAGCUACUCGAGGGGAUGUCAUCAAGGUCAAAGGCCUGGCAAAAGGCCGAGAUAGCCUCGGACAUUGCCACACGGUCGGCCUCCUUCUGCUCAGUCGCCUGGCCAAGUGCCUUGACGGACUCGUUAAGAGCCGUCUCGAACUCUGCAGACAGCCGAACAAAAUUCUUCAGACACGAGUUGAAGAAUGAAGCUGAAUCGAAGUCACAAAGCGAUCAAAACGUACCUUCGGCCCGGGCACGCUGCUCCGAGGCUACGGCUUGGGCGGACUGAGCAGACCCGACGGCCACGGCCAGGUCCUCCGCAAGGUCUCCGGCCCGAGCAGAUACCUCGGCCAGCUGACCCCCAAGGGCCUCAGCCUGGCUCCGAGAUUGGUCCCGCUCGCCAAUGACCUGGCCAAGCUCUAGCUGCCACUGCUACGCCUCCGUCCGUGCCGACGCUGCCUCUGCCUGCGCCGCCGCUACCUCCGCCUUCAGCUCAUCACGAAGCACCCGAAGGUCCGCCACCUCAGUGCUCCGUUGGGCAAGGCGUUCAUUAGCCUCGGCAAGCGCGGCCCUCUGGGACCGCAGCAAACCCCAGACGCCGCUCUCGCGGCGGAUGAACAACGACUUGGCGGUCCUCACAUCCGCCAGUUCCUGAGGAAGGAAAGCAGGGUGUUACAAAAAAUGCCCUGGUCACGCAAGGGGUAUGCCUAAAAUCCUUACCUGGAGGACCCUGGGAACGUCCCUGGAAAGAAUCUCCAUGGUCGACCGAAGCGACCCCAUCGCUGCCUCGGCAUACUCACGUAGCUCAUCCCGAGACUGCUCCUCCCGCUCAUCGUUGAGGACGAAGAGGGGUUCCGAGGCGCCGUGGCUCUAGAACCGGAGCGCCUGCCCACACCACGCAUUGGGGUUGCGCCGCGCAGGGAUAAGGUCGCUGCUCCCCAAGACAGCCACGGUUUUGCGUGCCCCUCCUCCAAGGCGUCGGGACCCCCUGCAGUCGACGCAUUGGGUACCAUCGCUGUCGACGUACUGGGCCUCCCCUCGGCUAAGGAGGCGGGCCUCCGAUCACCGACCUCGGCAACGGCGGCCGCCCUCUCCUUAUGGCUGAGACUGGGGAGGUCGGGGACGACCUCGAGCAGUGGCGCCUCAGCCAUCCCAACAUCAGCGGCGACGGGCGGCUCCACCGGCAAAUCAACGACGACCUCGGCAGGAGUUGAUGCCGGCACCGGCAACACAUCAGAUGGGCUCGGGGUCGCGGCCACGUCAGCAGCCUCCCCCAGCACGAUGGCCGCCCCGAUGGAGGGGUCAGCCUGGGAGGCUUGCCCCAUGGCAACUCGUGCCGCCUAGGCCCCCCGCUCGAGGGCGUCUUGUGCGGAGGCCAGCCAACCGGCAUGGUGCGCCGCGACACUGUCUUAAGGGCCUUCCGGGGGCCAGACCGGCCGAGCCCUGCCUCCGUUUGCUGAAAGGAAGAGAUAAAGCAAGAUCAGGGCACACGGAGAAAGAGCCAAAAUAGAGGUAUCCUCAGAUACUUACCCGCUCCGGACCAAGGCUAAUCGUGCCUGCGAGGAGGCCCCUCGGGCCUCGGUCCCCGCAGGCGCUGCCGAGGAUUGGCCCGCUGCCGGCUUCGGCGCUGUUCCCACCUCGGGCACCCGAGGCGCCGAAGGGACGGCCUACCCAGGCGUCGUCACGACGGCCCGAGGAUCAACCUCCUGUACAGCCGGCGCGGGCGCUUGUUCUUGGGGAGCGAGCGGAUCGACCUGCCUCCCCGGAGUCACCUCAGUUACCUCAGCCAAGGGGUCAAGUACCCCCCAGCCUGCCUCUGCUCCUCGGACCGGGACCUUGAUGUGCCGGCCCCAGAUGCUGAUGGCGCCAGCCCACUUGGCUGGCUCGGCGACCACUGUCCCAGCCUCAGAUCCGAGCUGAGGCCAAGACGGGCCGCCAUGUCGUCGCCCUCGUCAUCAUCAUCAUCGUCAUCAUCGUUAGGCAUCUCCGACGACGGCUCCCUCGGGAGCCCGUCCCUCUCCUGCCUCCGACGACGCUUCUCCAAGGCUGCCCGAGCCCGCAUCUGCUCGCGGGCCUGGGCCUUUUCCGCGUCCUUCUUCUCCUUUUUCUUCUCCGCAGCAGUCCUCCGCGCGGCUCGAUCCACCGCGUCCUCCGGGACCGGUGGCAAGGAGGGUUUGUAAAACCUCAACCCCUAAGGACAAACAAAAGCCCCAAUAGUAAGAAUCAAAGGCGACUCGGUGCAAAACAGGAGAAGGAUUGGCACUUACCAGAGAAACGUACUCGUGGUCGGGGCGCAUCGCGGGCUGGGUAAGGGCGCCGACAUCCAGCCUCCCUACCGUACCCGCUACCCGCCUGCGGAGGUCGUCAACGGGGAGGGAAGCCGAGGAUGUCUGCGAGCCCUCCAAAUAAACCCUCGGUUUCAUCUCCGAAAGAGGCAGCCGCCGCUCCGCCAAAGGAAGCACCCUCCGGUGAUGGGUAGCGGCGACGACCCCCGCGGCGGUAAGACCCCCAUCUCGUAACCUCUGCAAGGCCUCCAGAAGAGGCUGGAGCUUCUCCUGUUUCUCGCGCAUGGCCCCCCAGCGCCAGUUGCUGCCGACGGCGGUCACCACUCGUUGAGAAAACGACGGGAGCCUUCCGUCGUCGUUCCGGAGGUAAAACCACCGGCGCUGCCACCCCUUGUUCGAAGACACAAGGAUGGCGGGGAUGUACUGCUGCGCGCGCCCCUGCCUCAACUGGAGGGUGCAGCCACCGGCCCACACCGCCAUGCGGACCUUCUUUUCCUCCGUCGUCAAGGCGAAGAGCUCCACGGAGAAGAGAUGGGUCCACAGAUCCCAGUGGGGGUCAAUCCCCAAAAAACCCUCACAAACCUCCGCGAAGAUGGUCGCUUGCGCAAUGGAGUUGGGGUUGAAGUUGUGUAGCUCCACCCCAUAGUAGUGCAGGAGCGCCCGCAUGAAACGACUCGCUGGAACUCCGAACCCUCGCUCGUGGAAGGAGACAAAACUAACCACAUACCCCGGCGGCGGAGUCGGGUCGGCCUUGCUCGCAGGUGCCAUCCACUCCGGCUGCGGGUCACCGGAGAGGGGACGGAGCAAACCAUCGGCGACGAGGGCCUCCAGAUCGUCCACCGUGACGUUGGAGAAAGGCCAUGGAUCGCGAGGCGGAACGAUGGUCACCUUGUCAGCCAUCGCUGAACGAAGGGGGUGGAGGCGGAGGGGACAAGGUGCGCGGUUUUCUUUUCUCUGGCUAUUCUCUUAGGUUGCAGAAACCAAAGCAGAAGGCAGGCACAAAUGGCAGAGUAAAGAACCACCGCCGACCCCUCUUCCGGGUAUAUAAAGGCCUGGGCGAGAUCCAUUCAAAACUUCGCCCGAACCCACCACGAAAUUCAAACUCGAAGGCGAAACGCCCAUUCCUUGAACGACUCGCGCACGCGCAACGGCCGCCCCGUGAAUCGCCCGUCCCGUCGCGUUAACUCCUCGGCAGGGCAAGCAACACCUUUGGCAGGCGAAGCGGGCGUCGUUUCACCUCCGCCAUGAUGACCGCGGCAAAAAAGGUGCGCCACACUAUUUAAAUUCAUAUCCUUUUCCUCUUCCCCUUUCUCUCUCUUGCUAACAGGGACUGGGAAAGGGGAUAUUUCGAAAGGGAUCCUUCUCCGCGAAGGAAGCGGGCCCCGAGCCCUCCUACUGAUCAGGGGUUCGAAGGCUGGCCACUCGGAAGGGUUCGACAGCCGCCCAGAGCACUCGGGCUUCAAGCCCAUUACUGAUCAGGGGUUCGAAGGCUGGCCCCUCGGAAGGGUUCGACAGCCGCCCUAGAGCACUCGGGCUCCGCGCCCACUACUGAUUAGGGGUUCGAAGGCUGGCCCCUCGGAAGGGUUCGACAGCCGCCCCAGAGCACGCAGAGUGAGGGAUGACUCUGGGUACGUCCGUUACAUGGCCGAGGCUCGAGCUACGCUCCCGAGGUACCCUAGGACAAUUCUGAGACCAGCAGGAGCGAUUUUGUAACGGAAUCCCAUUAGAGGGAGGCAUCGAGGCCUUGGACCCUAUCGAACGGGUCCGGGUCCAGCAAAUCACCUGCAGGUACUUUUGGAGCGCGCCUCUGGGCCACUAGCCGACCCUUAUCGAACGGGGCACGGGCGUCCACUCGGAUCACCCGUUAGCAACUCAUUGGAGACACCAUGUUCGGCGCCCUUCGAGGGCAACAUGGCGCUUCCCCCCUUCCUCCUUGCGGAAAGGCGACGAAGGGGCGUAUAAUAAAAGUCGAGACAGUCCUUGAUCAUCCUCUCGCUCCGUGUAGAGGCUCGGGGGCUGCUCUCGCAACCCGGCUAUGGCCAAACCGUUGACAGCGUCAACAAACCAGCCUAAAAACUCGAAACCUAACCAUGCACCCGGGCUACAAUCAGGUCGCAUGAGGGAACAACCAGGCCAGCCAAGGCAUCACGAAAGGCAUUAAGACCUCAGAGGAGUCAAACCACUCCUCCGAGGCCUCGGGGGCUACACCCAGCGGGUGCGCUCGCGCACACCCACCGAAACAAAGUAUAACCGAGAAAGGCCGGUCCCCUCGCAAAAAAGUGCGGCAAAGCCUCCAAGCGAGUACCAACACUCCCUUCGAGGCUCGGGGGCUACUGUCGGGAACCAUAAUUAGGGGUACCCCCAACACUCCUAAACACGGCUGGUAACCACCAUCAGCACAAAUCGCAAAGACUAAUGGGCACGAUUCAGGUCAAGGCUUCGUCUACCCAAGGGACGCAAUCUCGCCUCGCCCGAGCCCAGCCUCGGGCGGGAACAGUAGUCCCGGAUGAAUUGACGCCUCACCCGAGGGCCUCCUCAGGCAGUGGGCGCACCCUCGGCUCGCCCGAGGCCCAGCUCGGGCAGGCUUCGUUGAGAAGCAACCUUGGCCAAAUCGCCUAUCCAACCGACCGUAUCGCAGGCGCAUUCAAUGCGAGGAUCGCCUGACACCAUAUCCUGACACGCGCGCCUCAGUCGACAAGGUCGAAGUGACCGCAGUCACUUCGCCCUUUCGCUGACCGAUCUGACAGGAAAACAGCGCCGCUCACCCCGCUCCGACUGCUAUGCCAGCCACCGGGGCAAGGCUUACAACAGCAAGUUCAGCCUCAGGCGCAACAGGAAGCUCCGCCUCGACCGACCUUAGGCCUCAGCCUCGAAAGGUGGUCUCUACCUCGCCCGACCCCAGGGCUCGGCCUCAACCUCGGCCUCGGGAGGAAUUGCGUCCUCGCCCGACCCCGGCCUCGGCCUCAGGGGAAGUCUCUGCCUCGCCCGACCUUGGGCUCGGACCAACCGCGCAACGGGGGAUACAUCAUUACCCUACCCCUAGCUAGCUCAGGCUACGAGGGAACAAGACCGGCGUCCCAUCUGGCUCGCCCCGGUAACAAGUAAUGAUGGCUCCCCACGUGCGUCCAUGACGAUGGUGGUUCUCAACCCUGUACGGAAGCAAGGAGACGUCAGCAAGAUCCCAGCAGCACCGACAACUGUGCUUCUACAGGGCUCAGGCACUUCUCCGACGGCCACGUUACCGUGUACACAGGGCUCAGGCACCUCUCUGCCAGACACGUUAGCACAUAGCUACACCCCCCAUUGUACACCUGGACCCUCUCCUUGCAUCUAUAAAAGGGAGGUCCAGGGCCUUCAUGCGGGAGGGUCGCGCGGGAGAACGAGCUAACGAACAGGCUCACUCUCUCUCUCUCGCGAACGCUUGUAACCCCUACUACGAGCACACCCCCCUGGUGCGAGAUAACACGAGCUGCGUUUCCCCCUUGUGUUCCAUCUUGCGCCAACCCAUCUGGGCUGGGACACCCAGCGACAAAUUUACUCGUCGGUCCAGGGACCCCUCGGGGUCGAAACGCCGACAUAAAUACUCCCAACCACUUCAUUCAAAGUCAUCCAAGUGUUCUGAAUUCAACAUUCAAUACAAGAGCAAAAGACUCCACUCCAAGACACAUUCAAUAGAUCAAAAUCCUCUACAAGUCCCAAAAUCAACUCCACCACUUAGUGACUUGAGAGAGAGAAAGAGAGUUUUUGUGUUCAUUUGCGCUCUUGUUGCUUGGAUUGCCGUCUUCCUUCCCAUUCUAAUUCUUAAGUGCUUUGUAAAGCUAAACAAGAGACACCAAGUGUGUGGUGGUCCUUGCGGGGUCUUAGUGACCCGUGUGAUUAAGAGAAGGCUCACUCAGUCUAAGUGACUGUUUGAGAGAGAGGGAAAGGGUUGAAAUAGACUCAGCCUUUGUGGCCUCCUCAACGGGGACUAGGUUCUUUGGAACCGAACCUCGGUAAAACAAAUCACCGUGUCUACUCGGUUUGAUUCUCGCUUGAUUUGUUUGCCCUCUUUCCUCUCUCUAACGUUUCAUUGCUAGUUUUGAUUUGAGUUUGCUCCCAUACGUCAUACGCAUCCUUUGAGCAACUCUUAGCAAGAGAAACAAUCUUUCGGACUUGAAUUUAAUUCUAACGCUUACCCCGGCCUUAGUGCGUGUUUAAGUUUAUAAAUUUUAGGUUUCGUCUAUUCACCACCCUCUAGGUGACUUUCAAUUGGUACCAGAACCAGUGUUUCAUUAAGAGUCUAAGCAACUCGAAGUGAUGUCUGGAGAUCACGCCAAGAGGGAGAUCAUGACCGGCGACAAGCCCACGGGCUCCGGGAAGACUCCAUCAAGGGAGUCCAGCAACAAGUAUAAGGAGGAAUCCUCUUCCUCUAUCAAGUCACAUAGGAGGGGUGACAAGAAGAAAAAGAAGAUGAAAAAGGUGGUCUACUACGAGACCGAUUCUUCAACACCCUCCACAUCCGGCACCGAGUCGUCCACUACUUCUAAGCGCCAUGAGCGCAAGAAGUAUAGUAAAAUGCCCCUACACUAUCCCCGUAUUUCAAAGCGCGCUCCAUUACUUUCAGUACCCCUAGGCAAACCACCAUAUUUUGAUGGUGAAGUUUAUUGCAUGUGGAAUGAUAAAAUUAGGCACCACCUAACCUCACUCCACGAAAGUAUUUGGGAUAUUGUUGAGUUUGGAGCGCAGGCACCUCAAGUGGGGGACGAGGACUAUGACUCGAAUGAGGCCGCCCAAAUAAGGCACUUCAACUCCCAGGAAACUUCUAUACUCCUCGCCUACUUGUGUCGAGAGGAGUAUAAUAAGGUGCAAGGGUUGAAGAAUGCCAAAGAAAUUUGGGACAUCCUCAAAACCGUGCACAAAGGGGACGAGGUGACCAAGAUCACUAAGCGUGAAACGAUCGAGGGAGAGCUUAGACGAUUCGUCCUCAACAAAGGGGAAGAGCUGCAAGCCAUGUACAACCAGCUCAAGACGAUGGUCAAUCAAGUGCGCAACCUCGGGAGCACAAAAUUGGAUGACCAUGAAAUGGUCAAGGUUAUUCUUAGGUCCCUUGUAUUUCAUAAUACUACUGAAGUUCAAUUAAUAUGUGGGGAUCUUAGAUACAAACAGAUGUCUCCCGAGGAGGUGAUUGGUAAGUUUGUGAGCUUUGAACUUAUGAUCAAAGACUCCAAACACAUUGUCAACCUGGAGCAAGGCGCCACCUCUACACCCAAGGUGCAACCCGUUGUGUUCAAAGCAACGGAAGAAAAGAAGGAGAAGUCUACACCAAGUAGGCUUCCAAUCUACUCCUACAAGCUCGACAACGAGGAGAUGGCUCUCAUCAUUAAGAGCUUUCGCCAAAUCCUCAAGCAAAGGAGGAGGAAGGACUACAAGCCCCGCUCCAAAAGGGUGUGCUACCGAUGUGGUAAGUCCGGUCACUUUAUUGCUAAAUGUCCAUAUUCUAGUGAAACUGUGAAAGGGAAAUGAGCCCUUGGGCCAUUUCUAAGUAUUUUGGUGAUUGAGUGCCAACUCAAGUGCUUAAAUGUGAAUUUAUGCCAUGGAUGAAUAAAGUGCAAAUCAAGAGCAAAGGUAUGUUUCUAAGUCUUAGUACAUUGGUUUUGUGUACUAAUAUACUUGUCUAAGUAUUGGAAACAGGAAGAAAAAGAAAAGAAAAGAAUUGGCUGUGUACAGCCAGAAGGCUGCUUCGGUCUGGAGCACCGGACUGUCCGGUGGUGCACCGGACAGUGUCCGGUGCGCCAGGCUGCCUCGGCCGAAGAGGCCGCUCUCGGGAAUUUGCUGACGGCGUACGGCUAAAAUUCACCGGACUGUCCGGUGUGCACCGGACUGUCCGGUGAGCCAACGGUCGGCCAAGGCAACGGUCCGCCGCGGAUUCUGCGCGCGACACGUGGCCAAGCCAACGGUCGGAAGGGGGCACCGGACUGUCCGGUGUGCACCGGACAUGUCCGGUGCGCCAACGGCUCCCAGAUCUGCAACGGUCGGCUUCGCCAUUUAAGGAAAGGAAUCGGGCACCGGACACUGUCCGGUGUGCACCGGACUGUCCGGUGCGCCCGAUGACAGAAGGCAAGGAUGGCCUUCCAGAUUUGUUCUCAACGGCUCCUAGCUGCCUUGGGGCUAUAAAAGGGACCCCUAGGCGCAUGGAGGAGGACACCAAGCAUUCCUACAACAUUCCUAAGCACCAAGACAUCGAUCUCACGCAUUCGUUUCAUUGUGAUAGCAUCUAGAGCUCUUGUUGAGUUGCGAACUCUUUGAGUUGUGUUGCGAGCUUUUGUUGCGACUUGUGUGCGUGUUGUUGCUCUGAUCUUUUGAAGUCUUGUGUGCGUUGCUCAUUCCCCCUUUGCUCUGUGUUCUUUGUGAACUUCAAUUGUAAGGGCGAGAGGCUCCAAGUUGUGGAGAUUCCUCGCAAACGGGAUUGAGAAAAAGCAAGCAAAACACCGUGGUAUUCAAGUGGGUCUUUGGACCGCUUGAGAGGGGUUGAUUGCAACCCUCGUCCGUUGGGACGCCACAACGUGGAGUAGGCAAGCGUUGGUCUUGGCCGAACCACGGGAUAAACCACUGUGUCGUCUCUGUGAUUGAUCUCUUGUGGUAUUGUGUUUUGUUGAGACUCCUUUCUAGCCACUUGGCAUUUAUUGUGCUAACACUUAACAAGUUUUUGUGGCUAUAAGUUUAAGUUUUACAGGAUCACCUAUUCACCCCCCCUCUAGGUGCUCUCAAACUGACAGGGACGAAGACAAGAAAGGGAAGAAGAAAGAGAAGAAGAGAUACUACAAGAAGAAGGGCGGCGAGGCGCACAUAGGGCGGGAAUGGGACUCCGACGAGAGCUCCAUCGACUCCUCUUCCGACGAGGACACCGCCAACAUCGCCGUCAACAAGGGCCUCCUCUUCCCAAACGUCGGUCACAAGUGUCUCAUGGCAAAGGACGGCAAGAAGAAGAAGGUAUACUCUAGAGCCACCCCUAAAUAUACUACAUCUGAUGAUGAGGGUAGCUCUAGUGAUAAUGAAGAUGAUUUAAUUUCUCUCUUUGCCAACCUUAACAUGGACCAAAAGGAAAAAAUAAAUGAAUUGAUAGAAACCAUUAACGAGAAGGAUGAUCAAUAGGAAUGCCAAGAGGACUUGCUCGUUAAGGAAAACAAAAAAAUUGUUAAAUUGAAAAAUGCUUAUGCUCUAGAAGUAGAAAAAUGUGAAAAUUUGUCUAAAGAGCUUAGCAUAUGCAAUGCUUCAAUUUCUAGUCUUAGAAUUGAGAAUGAAAAUUUAAUUACUAAGAUUGAAGAAUUGAAUGAUUGCAAAGCAUCUACAUCUAUUGUUGAUCAUGUUGUUAUUUGUACUAGAUGUAGAGAUAUUAAUGUUGAAGCUAUUGAUGAUCACCUUGCUAUGAUUAAACAACAAAAUGAUCACAUAGCUACAUUAAAUACUAAAAUUGCCGAGCAUGAACUUGAAAAUUUGGCACAAUUGCACCCUUGAACUCUAAGGCCUUCGCCGCGGUGGCGAUUGGAUUUGCCGCCUGCCUUGUUGGCGCCAGUGGAUCCGCGUAUGGUUCUGGCGGUAUGCACCAGCUCAUUGCUGAAUAGCGUGGAUGCUGGCUAGAUAUUGUACGUAUAUCGUGCCCGUACUGUUUCUGUUAUCUGCAUCAUGUGCUGUAUUUUGCUCUUCGUGUAGUAUACUACUAUUAUGCCACACAUAUAUCAUGUAUGUAUUGUUCGUGUAGAGUCUACAGGUAUAAUGUAUGUCAUACAUAGACUAUGCAUGCAUAUAUGGUUUGUCUGAGGAAAUUAUGGCAAAGCUAGAGUAAAAUAAAAUGUUCCCUUUUAUGAGUUCACCAUGUGGAUUAUGUUUUUUUACUUCGAUCUGUUGUACAACCAGGGGGAUCCAUGUUGGGCCUAACUAUUUUUAGGGAACCGGAUCAUUGAAAAAUAGGCAGGGUUUUAUGGUGGAAUUAUUUAGGAGGGUACUUAACCAUGUUUGAGAAAUUGUAAUGUUGCUUUUAUUUGGCACAAUUAUCAAAUAGGAAAAUGAAUUUGAGAUUGACACAAUAAGGAUCUGUUCAGUUUCCUAUUUGUUGAUUAUCUUCAUCUCCUCCUUUGUUAGGGUCCUUUGAUCAAGUAGGGUGCUGUUUCGGGAGCCUAAGCAAUAGUUGCCUCCUUUGUUAGGGUCCUUUGAUCAAGUAGGGUUUUCUGGAUAUAUCUUAGCUAUGAAGUAGAGCUUGAGUUUUUAGAAUGAGAGGCUACCAUUUUUGGGCAGCUGAAAGGGAAGUGUCCAGUGCAUUUUUUAUAUCCUUUAUGUUGGAACAAUGCUUCACAUUUUGGGACAAACUCCACAAUUUAUUUACUCUAUGCAUGAUUCUCCUUGACGCCAUUAUACAGAGUCUGCUAAUAUUUAUAAAUGUAUAAUUUACUGUGAUGGUCUUAGCAUUUAAAUGAUGCAACUGACAAGAUAUUAUUAAAAUCAUAUAUGAUACUGAUCGUUACAAUGUAGUGUUGAAAUAGCUAGAUUAAAAUAACAAAAUUUAUAAAUAGCUAGAAUCACAAAUAGAUUACGAAACCUUUUCUCAUAACAAUAUAACGCACAUUUGUACAUAAGUUAUUGCGGUAUUAUAUGUUCCCGUUGCAACGCACGGGCACUCACCUAGUGAAAUUAUUAAAUUGGUUUAAUUCAAAGUAACCUAUGCACUUAUACUAUGUAAACUAGUUCAAUUCUGCACUUACAUAUUUGCUUUGGUUUGUGUUGGCAUCAAUCACCAAAAAAGGGGAGAUUGAAAGGGAAAUAGGGUUAACAUUUUCCCAAGUAUUAAUUUUGGUGGUUGAAUGCCCAACACAAAUAUUGGACUAACUAGUUUGCUCUAGAUUAUAUGUUCUACAAGUGCAUAAAGGUUCAACACAAACCAAUAAAAGAUUGAAGAUAGGGUUCAAAUAAAAAGGAGCAAGAAACCGCGUGUGCCCUAGUUUGGCACACCGGACUGUUCGGUGUGCCACCGGACAGUGUCCGGUGCACCAGGACCGUGCAGAGUCCAAACAGCCACUAUCGGGUUUCAACCAGCGCGCUCCGCUAUAAUUCACCAGACUGUCCGGUGUGCCACCGGACUGUCCGGUGCACCAGCGGAGCAACGGCUACUUCGCGCAACGGUCGCCUGCAAAAGCUGAAGAACAGAGGAACAGUGCACGAUAGAGCAGAGCGCAGAGUUAGAGGCGCACCGGACACUGCACAGUGCCUGUUCGGUACGGCACCGGACUGUCCGGAGCCACUAGAGGACAAAGCCUCCAACGGUCAGAUGCUCCCAGACCCUAACGGUUGGGUGACGUGGCUAGCGCACCGGACAGUGUCUGGUGGCGCACCGGACUGUCAGGUGCGCCCAUCGACAACAGCCUGCCCCAACAGUCCUUUGGUGGUUGAGGGCUAUAAAUACCCCCCAACCACCACCACUCCAAGCAUCCAAGUUUUCAGCACUUCACAUUCAAUACAAGAGCUAGUGCAUUCACUCCUGGACACAAAUCAAAAGAAUCAAAGCCUCUCCAAGUGCCAAAAUUCAUUCCACUCACCUAGUGACUUGAGAGAGAGUUUGUUCGUGUUCUUUGUGCUCUUGUUGCUUUGAUCGCUUUCUUCCUUUCUCAUUCUUGUUCUCAAGUGACUUGUAAUCAAAGCAAGAGACACCAAGUGUGUGGUGGUCCUUGCAGGGUCUAAGUGACCCGUUUGAUUAAGGAGAAAGCUCACUCGGUCUAAGUGACCGUUUGAGAGAGGGAAAGGGUUGAAAGAGACCCGGUCUUUGUGACCACCUCAACGGGGACUAGGUUCUUUAGAACCAAACCUCGGUAAAACAAAUCAUCGUGUUCAUUCGCUUUAUUUCUUGGUUGAUUUGUUUUCCCCCUCUCAUUCGGACUCGAAUUCAUUUCUAACGCUAACCCCGUCUUGUAGUGUGUGCUUAAGUUUAUUAUUUUCAGAUUCCGCCUAUUCACCCCCUUCUAGGCAACUUUCAAGAAGUUUCUAUGCAUUUUUGUUCAUAUUCCAUGUCUGAAGACUGAGAUAACUUUAUCUCGAAGGUGAUCUGUAGUGAACUCUUCUCGGGACAGUUACAGAAGUAAUGACCUUCACGUCGACAUUGAUAGCAAGCUUUUCUUGAAGUUAUUUCUUGACUUUUUCCAUGUUUCUCUUUUCGUUUCUUGGUCCUGAUACGACCACGAGGCUGAAACUGUGUGCAAGUAAUAGUCCAUCCAUCAAUGUAACACUCAUGUGUUUCUUCUUGGGGCUGGGCAUCCUUGUGAUGUUUCCUUUUUGGAAUACUUUGCAAUUCAUCAACUGACAGUGCAUUAGGUAUGAGAGAAUCUACUAUUAGUUGUUCAGGGGGAGACAUCUGUCUUUUUAUGCAAGAAAAUAAAAUCUGGUUCUUCUGUUUUGUAGUUUCACUUUCAUUUGCAUUGAUUUGGCGACAAGGAAUUCCAUAGUACUCACAACAACAACAUGUUCCAAGGUCACUUGUCUGUUGGUUUAGUUGUGCAUCCUUUUGUGUCUUGAAUGUCUGUUCAUCGGCUGUUUUAUUUAUAGUGUUGUUUUUACUUGCCAACACACCACAUUCUUUGCACUUAGUGACAUCACUUGUAGUUGACAUUCCAAGGUCUGACAUCUGUAUGGGUAUGGAAGAAUGGAAGGGACAAAAGGGUUGAGCAAAGACAGAUUAUAGAGAGCAUAGAAAACCCAUCUUUCUAAGGUUUUACCUAGAUAACUGAUGCCAUUGUGGACAAAAGUCACACAAUACACCAACAAUCAUUUCUGAAAGGGAAUUAGGCUUACACCUUUUUCCUAAUUGAUUUUGGUGGUUGAAUUGCCCAACACAAAUAAUUGGACUAACUAGUUUGCUCUAGUCUAUAAGUUUUACAGGUGCCAAAGGUUCACAAUAAGCCAAUAAAAAGACCAAGAAAGGGUUCAAACAAAGAGAGCAAAAGACAUCCCUGAAGGCACCAUGGUCUGGCGCACUGGACUGUCCGGUGUGCCACCGGACAGUGUCCGGUGCACCAGGGAACUCAACGAUGAACUCGCUACCUUCGGGAAAAUCAGAGGGCGCUCCGCUAUAAUUCACUGGACUGUCCGGUGUGCCAGCGGAGCAAUGGCUACUUCGCGUGCAACGGUCGACUGCAACGCAUUUAAUGCGCGCCUGCGCGCGCAGAGGAUAGAGCACGCGCAGUUGGCGCACCGGACAGUCUACAGGACCUGUCCGGUGCACCACCGGACAGCCCAGAGGCCCCACCUAUCAGAGCUCCAAUGGUCAAACCCCAACGGCCUGCUGACGUGGCUGGCGCACCGGACAGUGUCCGAUGGCGCACCAGACUGUCUGGUGCGCCAUGCGACAACAGCCUUCCAACGACCAUAUUUUGGUGGUUGGGGCUAUAAAUACCCCCAACAACCCACAUUCAAUGGCAUCCAAGUUUUCCACCUUCAACACAUUACAAGAGCUAUAGCAUUCAAUUCUAGACACAACCAAAGAGAUCAAAUCCUCUCCCAAGUCCGGAAUCACUCCAAAUCAAAUAGUAAUUAGAGAGAGCGACAUUUGUGUUCAUUUGAGCUCUUGCGCUUGGAUUGCUUCUUUUCUUUGUCAUUCUUCUUGUGAUCAAACUCAAUUGUAACCAAGGCAAGAGACACCAAUUGUGUGGUGGUCCUUGCGGGAACUUUGUGUUCCAUUUGAUUGAGAAGAGAAGCUCACUCGGUCUAAGUGACCGUUUGAGAGAGGGAAAGGGUUGAAAGAGACCCGGUCUUCGUGACCACCUCAACGGGGAGUAGGUUUGAAAGAACCGAACCUCGAUAAAACAAAUCAUCAUGUCUCACUCUUUAUUUGCCCGCGAUUUGUUUUUCACUCUCUCUCUCAAACUCGUUUACAUUUCUAACGCUAACCCGACUUGUAGUUGUGCUUAAGUUUAUAAAUUUCAGAUUCGCCCUAUUCACCCCCCUCUAGGCGACUUUCAAUUUCAAAGAAGCAAAUCAAACAUGAACACAAAGGACAAUGAAUUCAAGCAUACUAGCACAACACAAUCUAAUUCUACUCAUUCAACCAAAACAAAAGGUGAGACAAGGUUUGGAAUAAGAAAGAUAUCAUAACAUCAAGGAGUUGGGUAAGAAUUAUCAAGGAGUUAGACAAGACAUAUUUGUCGGUGGCCAAGAGUGAAAUAAGAUAACCAUGAACUAUUAAAGUGAGGAUAAAUGAUAUAACCAAGGAUAUGAAGUGAGUUAGGGAGAAAGCGUUAUCAAGGACAAAAGUAGAGAGGCAAAUGUUUAAUAUAUCAAGGUAGAUAUUGCGCAAGGGUGGCAAUACAAUGGCAAGAAAACAAAAGUAUAAGAAGUCAAGGGUUAUAUAGCAAUAUUAGGGAUUAGAAAACCACUUAUAAUAUAAUAUCGCCAUUAUCGAUCUAGUCGAAAAUCUUAAUACUAACCAAGAAGUCAAAUAAUCCUAUCAACCUAACCAAGAAGUCAAAUAAUAGAUCUAGGGGAUCCGUAACAAAACUUCUUGCGGAGUGGGGAUAAGACAGAGAAUAGGGCAUCGUCAAUAGCUUCGAAAGGGUUUCUUCUGGCAAACUUCGCUUCAAGUUCCACAAUCCUAACUUGAUCAUCUUGUAGUGCUUCUAUGUAGAGCCUUCUGAUAGACCAAGAAUCAAACUAGAAGAGUUGAAGAUAAAUGGGACGAGUUUUGAUAUAAAGUAAGUUUUUAUGGAGGAAAAAUAACUCAAGUUUUGAAAGACUGACUAGGUUUUCCAUUUCUAACUAAUCUAGCGACCUACGGUCACAUUGCUUUGAUACCACUUCUCUCACACCCGUUUCUGGUGGGCAGAGCCAGGUGCAUAGCAUAUGUGUGCUAGGAUCUAUUCCACGCAUAUGUUGACGUCACAAGUGUAAUAUAUCAAAAGAACAAUGCAUAAAAGCGUAAAUAACGAUUAUAUCAACAUAUUACACUUCGAACAGACAUAAUGUCUUAACCUUUAUUUAUCAAAGUACAACGAAACAAGGACAUCCAUCCACAGGAAGAUGACCGAGGGUAUCACUAGAUUAGCAUCCAUGGAGCUCAACAUCAUAACUUCAUCUGCAAACUUCUGAUCAAAAUUUAAGCAAGGAUGAGCUCACUUAUGGUCGGGGCUUAGCAAGUCGGGGGGAUAUUAAUGCAAGUUUAACAAGGUGAGGCUAAGGUUGAGCAGUAAGCAUUUUAGUUGGUCAACAUUUUAUUAACAACACUUGUCUUACUAAUAAGUGUGAAUCCCAAGUAUUCCCAUUAAACAAAGGUAUAAGAGUAUAUCAAAAACACUUAAGUGAAAACCACUUAAGCAAACCAUUGGCAGAUCAUCGGAUCUCAAUUUAUUUCCAUCUUUAAGUUUAAUUAUCAUGUGAGGAGUCAAGGCUGCUCAUAACUGUGAGCAUGGCUGAUAUAUCAGUUUUACACUCUGCAGAGGUGGUGAAAGGGAAAUAGGGUCAAACCUUUUCCUAAAUGAUUUUGGUGGUUGAAUUGCCCAACACAAAUAAUUGGACUAACUAGUUUGCUCUAGAUUAUAAGUUCUACAGGUGCCAAAGGUUCAACACAAACCAAUAAAAAGUCCAAGAAAGGGUUCAAAUAAAAAGAGCAAAAGACAACCGAAAGCUGCCCUGGUCUAGCGCACCGGACAGUGUCCGGUGCACCACCGGAUAGUGCCCGGUGCACCAGGGUGGAUCAACUCCAACUUGCUACCUUCGGGUUUUCGGGGAGCCUCUCCGCUAUAAUUCACCGGACUGUCCGGUGUAGCACCGGACUGUCUAGUUGUCGGGGACCAUAAUUAGGGGUACCCCCAAGACUCCUAAACUCGGCUGGUAACCACCAUCUGCACAAAGCUACAAAGGCCUGAUGGGCACAAUUCAGGUCAAGGCUCCGUCCACUCAAGGGACAUGAUCUCGCCUCGCCCGAGCCUAGCCUCGGGCAGGAACAGUAGACCAAGGCAGAUGCACGCCUCGCCCAAGGGCAUCCUCAAGUAACGGGCGCACCUUCGACUCGCCCGAGGCCCAGCUCGGGCAGGCUUCGCAGUGAAGCAACCUUGGCCAGAUCGCCGCGCCAACCGACCGCAUCGCAGGAGCAUUCAAUGCAAGGAUCGCCUGACACCUUAUCCUGACGCGUGCUCCUCAGUCGGCAAGGCCGAAGUGACCGCAGUCACUUCGCCCCUCCACUGACUGACCUGACAGGAAAACAGCGCCGCCUGCACUGCUCCGACUGUUGUGCCACCCGCCAGGGUGAGGCUGAUAGCAGCCAAGUCCAGCCUCGGGCGCCAUAGGAAGCUCCGUCUCGCUCGACCCCAGGGCUCAGACUCAACCUCGACCUCGGACGACGGUCUUUGCCUUGCCCGGCUCGGACUCAACCUCGACCUCGGACGAUGGUCUCCGCCUCGCCCGACCCUAGGGCUCGGACUCAACCUCGACCUCGGACGACGGUCUCCGCCUCGCUCGACCUCAGGGCUCGGACUCAACCUCGACCUCGGACGACGAUCUCCGCCUCGCCCGACCCUAGGGCUCAGACUCAACCUCGACCUCGGACGACGGUCUCCGCCUCGCCCGACCCCAGGGCUCGGACUUAGCCUCGACCUCAGAGGAGCCUCCGCCUCGCCCGACCUUGGGCUCGGACUGACCACGUCGCAGGGGGGUACAUCAUUACCCUACCCCUAGCUAGCUCAUGCUACGGGGAACAAGACCGGCGUCCCAUCUGGCUCGCCCCGAUAAAACAAGUAAUGAUGACACACCGCGUGCUCCAUGACGACGGCGGUUCUUAGCCCCCUACGGAAGCAAGGAGACGUCAGCAAGGUCCCGACAGCCCCGACAGCUGUGCUUCUACAGGGUUUAAGCGCUCAUCCGACGGCCACGACAUCACAUGAACAGGGCACCAACACCUCUCCGACAGCCACGUCGACAUGUACAUAGGACUCUAGCUCCUCUCUGCCGGACACGUUAGCACACUGCUACACCCCCAUUGUACACCUGGGCCCUCUCCUUAUGUCUAUAAAAGGAAGGUCCAGGGCCCUCGUAUGAGAAGGUGGCCGCGCGGGAGGACGGGCUGACGAGCAGGCUCUCUCUCCCUCGCGAACGCUUGUAACCCCCUACUGCAAGCGCAUCCGCCCUGGGCGCAGGACAACACGAGCCGCAGUUCCCCUUAUUGUUUCCCCCUUGUGUUCCGUCUCGCGCCGACCCAUCUGGGCUGGGACAUGCAACGACAAUUUACUCGUCGGUCCAGGGACCCCCCGGGGUCGAAACGCCGACAGUUGGCGCACCAGGUAGGGGCCUGCUGCGUGUUGACGAACAGCUUCCCGUCAAGCUCUAGAUGGGUAGUCUCCAGCAACCUCUCCAACCCGAGACGUUGCUUCGUUUCCGGAGUCUCGAGUUCAUGUCCCUCGACGGCAGCUACGACAAGGUACUCCUUCCUCUGCCGCGCGACAACGACAAUGGCGACCGUUAGCCCGCCCACCGGCGGCGGAAUCGACGAUGUCUUCCCCGCGUGGCGGAAGAGCAACAUCUGGGUCUGUCCCGUCACCUUCCCCGCCGACGGAGGAGGAGGCAGGGCAACCAUGGCCAAGCAGGAGGCAGCACCUCGUCGGCUGUCGAGCGAGUCGACGAUGCCGAUGCCCCAGCGGGGGACACGUCGGGCGUCGACCUCGCGUCUGAGACGAAGACGGGCGUCGUUUCCCCGCAACACGCCAACCCCAAGCGGACAGAUGACGCCAACACACUCGCGAAGGACCUACUGGGCGUUAGGCUCGUACCUGAGAUAACGGUGCAGUCCGUCCCCGACAUGACUCCGUCACCAUCCGUCGAUCAAGAGGUACCAUCUGUUUUCCACCCUGUGCCUUUUAGAUUCAGCUUCGACCCACCAAGCGACCCCGCUUCGGUGGACACUUUCAUAAAGGCAUAUCCGAACCUUCCGGGGUACCAUAUGUGGUCAACCUAGGACCGAUUGACGGCCGUCUCGACCUACGAGCCCCCGGGUUCCGAGGAAGAUGACGAGCCCAACUAUGGUUGGGAUUUCUCCGGGCUCGGGAACCCUAGUGCCAUGCGGGACUUCAUGACCGCAUGUGACUACUGCCUCUCUGAUUGCUCCAAUGGUAGCCACAACCUCGGCGACGAGGACUGUGGCCCAAGUCGCGAAUGUUUCCACAUUGAUCUAGGGGGUCUCGACGAAGGCAACCACCUUGGUAUGCCGGAGGACGGCGAUCCCCCUAGGCCUGCGCCUCGCGUCGACAUCCUUCGGGAGCUAGCUGUGGUCCCAGUCCCUGUGGGGGGUCAGGACGCACAUCUCGAGCAAAUCCGCGAGAUGCAGGCCAGGCUCGAUGAGGAAGCAGGACAACUUGUGCAGCUCCGGCAGAACAUCGGGCAGGAGUGGGCAGGCCGAGCACCAGCCGGAGAAGCGUGUCAUCUGCCCCAGGACGUCCAACACCGCAUCGCUGACGAUGCCAGGGCAAGGCUGCCCCCGGCUUCCAGUGGGGUCGGCCAGAACCUGGCUGUAGCAGCAAUACUACUCCGAGCGAUGCCGGAACCAUCCACCACAGAGGGGCGGCAUAUCCAUGGAGAACUCAAGAAUCUCCUGGAGGAUGUCGCGGUCCGACGGGCCGAAAGCUCUGCCUCCCGAAGGCACGGGUACCCCUCGAAGCAUCGCGCCGCGACUUCCCGAUUCAUGCGAGAAGCCUCGGUCCACACCGGGCGCACGCGGGACACAGCGCCUGCGGCCCCGGGUCGCCUCGGCAACGAGCACCAUCGCCGCGACCGUCGAGCCCACCUCGAUGAGAAGGUGCGCCGAGGCUACCACCCCAGGCGUGGGGGACGCUACGACAGCGGGGAGGAUCGGAGCCCCUCGCCUGAACCACCCGGUCCGCAAGCUUUCAGCCGGGCCAUACGAUAGGUGCCGUUCCCGACCCGGUUCCGAACCCCGACUACCAUCACCAAGUUGUGGCGGAACCGCCCAAAUUAUUCCAGAAGUGCCCAAGUCGCACCCUUAGAGGCGGCAACACACUUAAAUCGGAAUAACUCGUCAGUCCCUCGGAUCUAGUCCGAUAAAGCCACUUAUCCAGGAUCGAAUACCACUAGCUCACUCGAAGGAGAGGCACAGAGAAAUACAAUAAAACAUAAUACCACCAAUUUAAUAAGUAUCAUUAGUGAUUACAUUAUCGGAGUUUCAUAAAUAAUAACCAUAAAUUUUAAUGCAGCGGAAAUAACUAAUGGAGAAAACCGAGUAACAUGGCGAAGCCUGGCCACGCUACUCCUCCUGGUCCUCUCCUGCGGAAGCAGUAACCCACUCGACCGUCUAUCUCGGUGGCAGGGAUGAAGGCCAAGUCACACCAUCAACCAAUCAAGGAGGUACCUGCAAAAAUUAUGCCACAAGCAAGGCUGAGUAUACUAAUACUCAGCUAGACUUACCCGGUGUGAGGAGUCUACUCCUCUACCUCUAGACAUGCAGCUGUUUGGCUGAGGGGUUUGGUUUGCCAAAAGCACUAGCUGAGUCUAAAAUCAAGUUUUAGCUUUCAAGUUUUAGUAGAAUCCUUUAGACUAGAUAAGAACCUAUCUAUUCAUACAUGGUAUCAAACAUUAUAUCAAUCAAUAUCUUUUGCCAGUAACCUCAUUUCCACUUAUUACUCAAUGCAGUACAAUGGAUCAAGCAGUCUCAUUAGCUGCGAGAAGCAGACGAUUCGAAUCGAGUUUUUAACCUUGCAAGGUAAACCUAAACACACGACAUGUCAGGGCACUCCGUCCCCACACAUGUCAACCGUCCCCAUCGAUUCCCCGUUCGCGUCCAGGCCUCACCGCCUUGGCAUACAAUGCUCCACUGACCCCGACCACCGCCGUGCAGUGGCCGCACUUGUACCCACCAUAUCUAGAAUGGGAGACCCAGUCUCAGGUCGCGUGAGGGAUAAAGUCCGCGCCCGGCUUCACUCAGGUACUAGGUUUACCGGUUACCAUUUUUCCCGACAUGUGCUUAGUACAUUCAAACGCUUGACACAGGUAUCCGCACGUUAAUCCUUAUUCCAAUUUUGUCUCAUAGACAACGCAUCCCCAUGGAUCCGUGUCCACAGACCAUCAUCCUUCUGUUAUCAAAAUGGAUACAACCAAUUCCUGACCUCGCGCGAGUGCUAGAAAAAUCACUCGACUUCUACCGAGAUCCUGAUUUAGCAUAGCAGCUACUCGACCUAGCAUACUAGUAUCCAUCUCAAAAGGAAUCCUGAGUUCAUGCAACUAGGGUUUCAGGCAACUCCUACACUUAAGUGCACGGUACAAGCCUACAAACAUUAAGUGUAGUAAAAUAGCAUAUAUAACGGUUAUGCAUAAAACCGGGGCUUGCCUUUAAUUUAACACUUAGAUAGUGUUUGCUGGGGGUACUCGCUUGGCGAGCAUCCACUGGUUAAGUCCAUCCUUCCUUGGGUCGUCCGCCGUCUGCAUCUUGUGGUUGACACCACAUCACUUGCACGAUCAUCCUCUCGGUCCUAAAUGAGAUGCAAGAUGCAUGUGUAUGAAUAUGAUGAAAAAUACCACAAGAUAUACAAAGACAUAGUAGCGAACUGACAUUAAUUUAGAAGACACCGUAAACCACCACACGUUAGCAUUAGUUAUCUACACGUCAUCGGGCAUACGUAGUCAAUCAUCACUGGAAAACAACAAACACUUCCUAUAAUUAUCUAUUGCAAACACGACAUCAUAAGUACAAGCAUUCGCCACAUUCACUUUUAUCAUUCAUUAGUUACUUAUUAUUAAACUAGUUAAGUACGCAUAAAUUUACAAUGACUUACACAUAGACAGACUUAGUUAAAAGGAAUAGUUGCUUAAUCGGGUUUUACAAUCAUUCACAACCUUCUAUUGCAAGCAUACACCCCAGAGAACACACAUGAGGAGAUAGUUUAUUCAUAAUUACAAAUUGUACUACUUUAAUGAUGUUGGUUACUUAGUAGUAUUAGCAGAAAGCCAAAGACAUGACAUUAUUUAUUUUGUUUCCCUAAUAUAUAACUGCACUUGCUAACUGUUGAUUAAACUAAGCUACUUAUUAGACCUUAACCAAUUAAGUUCACUAACUUAGUGAGAUGUGUACUAUUUACUUAUAUAUAACCCCAAAUUAUAUUAGUCACUUUCAUUAUUACUCAUGUUCAACUAAAACCAAAACAAGCAAGCAAUCACUCAAGUCAAACACAAUAGAAUAGAGCAAUCAAUCACUUCUAACACAUUUAGGACAGCAGCACAGCAGUUGCUUGUUUCAGUCAUAACUCUUCAAAUAUUUAUCCAAAAAUAGUGAACAAAUACUUUUUGGAAAGUCUAAGAAGUUCUCUACAACUUUGGUAUUAUCGUCUCAACAUGAUUAGACUUUUAGCAAAGUCGAACUGUGCAAAAAUAACAGGUCUGUCCAGGUUGGACAGAUUCAGACUUGCGACUUCAAAAAUUCAUAACUACAGGUUCAGACAUCCAAACAAAUUGAUCCUAGACUUUCUGGAAAGGUAAUAAAAUUGUCUACAUAUCAUUUAUAAACAUCUCAAGGUGAUUCAAUAUUUAAGUAAGGAUAAAAGACACUAGAAGAGCUUGCUGUCCAGAAUUGGACAGAUUCAGUCUUCAGACUUUAAACAUUCAUAACUAAAUCUUCAGACCACCAAAAAGAGUGAUCCAAGACUUUUUAGAAAGCUCAGCAAAAGAACUACAUAACUUUUAUAAUCACCAAGAAGUGAUUCAAUGUUUAACUAAAUCAAACAACACAGUUUUCGAAAUCUGUUCUGAUGGUGGACAGAAUAUAACAACCAGUUUGUAAAAUUCAUAACUCCUAAUCUGCCAGGCCUAUGGUUAUGAAAUUUUAACACAAGCAAGAUAAAAAAAGCAUAUACAACUUUCUUAUAACGACCACGAACAGAUUGUAACAUUAAUUUAAGCAAACAAUUCAAUCUCUGAAAUCUGUAUAGAAAUUGGACAGAUUCAGUUACUGAAUUUGUAAAAAACAUAGCUCCUAAACGAUCAGACUUAUGGCUGUCAAAUUUUAACAUAAGUAAGAUAAUAAAGUUAUCUACCACUUUAUUAUAUGGCUUUUCUACAGAAAACAUAAUUUAGUUCAUCAAACAAACAGCACGACGAAAACAGUACGUGCAGCCCAAAACAGCAACCAAUAAAAUUCAGCUCCUAUUCACUUCAAAAAUUGCCGCGUUCUAGAGUCUUGAACCAUUUUAACACUUUACCAUUUGUUGGAGUUGAAACAAUCAAAUUAGUACCAACAAGUAGACUUACUAACUUUUUAUCCAAGUUAUUUCGUGCGCUAGAAUUACCACACAAUUAACAAACACAUUCACCAAAAUAAAACACUUCGGCACACAUGUCCGACAUCACACAAAAUCAUGAUGAAGCACUAUUAAUAUUUAUCUUUUAGAACACCAUAACAUAACCAUUAAAUCUCUAAUUAGUUUUAAGGUAUAACUCAAGCAUUCCAUGAACAUGCAUGAUUUUAUUUACUCCUAAUUUUUCACUAAGUCUUGCAAUUAUAAAAUAGGUGUUAUUUUAGCAUCAUAUGAAACUAUCUAAUUUAGGGCUGACAUUUUUAUGAGGCAUAGGUAAUGACCAAUUAUGAACAAUGUACAAAUUUCACAUGCUCAGAUUUUAUAUUGCAUUUACUACAAAAAUAACAAAUUGUUAAUGCAAUAAAGCAUGUGAGAGCAAGUUAAAUCUAAAACUAAUUAUUUUCUGUGGAUGUAUGACCAUAUUAAGUUUUCUUAGGCUACUAUAGUAUCAUGCAAGGACAGUGGAACACCAUUUUACAUUUUUGCAUCUAUACAUUAUUUUUAAAUCAUUUAAAACUACUUAAGGUGCAUUAAACAAGUUAAAUCACUAACUUAAUCAUACAUGCACAACAAUUCAUAAAAUUUUUACUAGUCACCAAACAUCACACCAAGAGUCUACUGUAAAAAGUUCAACCUAUUUGGAGCACCAGAGCUACAGAUCCAAAAAUAACAAUCAACACAAUCAUCUUUUUCCUAUUUAACAUGUUUUAAUUAACACACCAAGAAAACAGUGAACAACCUGUAAGUUUUAUAUUUUUCCUAGAUGGAGUAUGACAACAUCUAACUAACAAAACAGGUUUCAUCAUUUUUGGAUUUUUAUAAAUAAAAUUAUGGAGAGAAGCAAGUUCGUUUAUUCUCUAAACCAGUUUUUAAAUACGAAUUUCUACAGAAAACUUUUCCACUAAAACAUGCUAACCUAUAGAUCUAAUAUACAGAGAAUUUCAUAAGGAAGACAACAAAAUAGGUUUCGUGAUUUUUGGAGCUACCAAACUAAAGAUAUGAAUUUUAGAAGAUAAUACGAAAUCUGGAAUUUGAAGCAACAUUACCCUUGGCCUUGGGCCCACACGUCAUAGAGGGGGGGUCAUCUUCUUCCUUGACGUUACUGCAGCAUGCUGAAAGAGGACGGCUGAGCAGCCAUGGGAGAGGAGCUCGGCUCGACGCGGAAGGGAGCAGAGAGGGGCGUCGGUCUGCCCUUCUCAAGGAAGAAGAAGGGCGCCGCUGGGACUUCCCUGGCUGGUAUGCUGCUGCGUCCAAGGAGCUGAGCAGAGGGGCAGCUCGCCGCGGCCAUGGCGAGCGGUAGUGAGCUGGAGCUCGGCUGCCAGAGAACUGCAGGGUAGCCACGCCAUGGAAGAUGGAGAAGGGGCGCCAGCUGCUGUGAGGGAGAGGGAGAAUGGCGUGGGGGAGAAGAAGAGGGCAGGGGGGCUGCCAUUUAUAGAGCCAAGCUCUGGACAUGGCAGACUGCACCAGCAGGUGGCAGGUGUGACAGUGCCAGCAUUGGGCGGCAGUUUUCGUCCUUUUUCUGUUUGGAAUCGGAUCAAGGUUACUGCACAAAAUAUCUUCCUUGAUGUACACUCUACAAAUCUUGUACAGCACUUGAGGUGAUUCGAGCACUGGUUAGAGAGUUAUAGACCCACGAAAAUUGGGUUGUCAGUGGGUCAGAAAUCAGUGAAAACUUAUGAAAACUGAAUGUCAAAGCAUGUCAAAUGAAAUCGGAUGAAUGCCAUCUUUUAAUAUGUUGUGGCCCUAUUAGUUAUUAACAACUUUUAUAUUUGGGAAAACUUGAGUUGUUUAGCAAGAAUUUGGGAACGCGAGACGUCGACCCGAACGAUGCUGAUUUCAGACUUAGAAGAAUUCGAAUUUUGAAAUCAGAUUUUUAUUCUGUCUUGAAGGCACUGUUUGAGAUACUUAGAGAUUGAAUCAAGACUUGGUUUAAAUAUAAUAUUUGUUGUAUAACACCUGUUCUCCAACUUUUAUUAAAGGUCAAACCCUAUAUCUUGGCUGGAAAUUGAUAUUCCACUUUGGUCAAUGUAUUAUCAUUAUAAAGGUCAAAUUAUAUUUUUAAGGCAAUCGGAGUAUUUUCUCGACAUUUUCUUGGCAUGGAGCCUCAAUAACUUUUGUUGUAGAGUUGAUUUAGAGUGUUUUGGGAAAGUUGCCAUAACUUGGUUGAAUUUCUAAAUUUGCAUUUGUUCAGACGAGCAGUUUCGGGCAUGUAUAGGUUUUAUCUUUUCAUGUGAGUAUUUGCUUUAAACUUCUAGAAUUCUUUAGAAUACACUUGAUAGCUAGAGAGGGAUGAUAGCAUAGAGAUAACAAGUCGAUUUGCAUAAGAAAUAUUUAGAGGUUGACACUACAGAGAUUCCGCUGGAGAAUGCGGAUUCGGACUACGUAUUUGGACGUAGACCGACUAUCGAGAAAGCGGAUUCGGACACCGAUUGAAUAACAUAACAACUAUCCAGAGUCCGAAUAAAUGAGUCUGGACAGAAGUUACGGGACGAUAUUGACUUUUGAAUUUGCAUUUGCUCCGAGAAAUAAAAGUUUUAAUAGGCUCCAAAUUUGGCUGUUCUUGAGAUCGAAUAAUUCCAAAUUUGGUGAAACAUUUCAUGAGUAACUUGAUGAAUGGAUAUAAAUGUGACAAAGAGAUAGAAAUUUUCACUGAGCAUCCGAGAUUAGGAUAAAUCUACCGACAUAACGCGAAAUAGACACCUGGGGUGUCACAGCCUUCCCCCCUUAAAAGAAUCUCGUCCCGAGAUUCGAAUGAGGAUCUUUAAGGGUGGAGAAGCAUGUAACUCCAGGCUGAGGAUAGAUGCAAAUUCAUGAUAUGGUAUCUGACGAGAUACAAAAGAUAGAUUUGGACCGAAUACCGUGACAUAUUGCGACAAAAUGCCACGACCACUUUGAGAGAAUGUUCACAAAACACAGCACAUCGGUGUAGUUCCAUAAUGGAUCACAACUAUUAACCGUGAUACCUGCGCGUGCCGAGCAGCUCAACCAUGUGUGCACCAUAGUAGGCUCUCGGUUUCGUCGCGGCACCAUCAGUUGUUGGUCAUAAUACCAUUAUCAAACGCAACCAAUGAGAAAUCCACAUAGCACAGAUAGAUGGAGCCCAUGAGAGUAUGGCUCAGAAAAUAAGAAUGUGAUCGAAGUUGAAAUAGAGAUUAUUGGCAAAAGGACAUCACAUUAGAAUUUUCUUUAACUCAGAGAACUAUUUUAUGAUCAACAUGGAGACUACCAGGCAAGAGACUAGUACGAGAUGGGAUACGAGAAGGAAGCACUCAAGAGAUCAUGAUUACUGAGCUUCUUAGAGACACGAGGGAACCAAGACAACAGCAACAUCCAUUGAACCUAAUGGACACACUGUCUAGAGAGAAAAAAUUGAUAAAACAGCGUCAUGAUCCUCAGAGAAGAGUAUGAGAACGAUCGUAUUGAGAUAUUAGACUGAUCCACAUUUGAUACAUGAGAACAGGUUAUAGCAGAUAACCAGAGAACGGGUCAGAGUCAUUAAGGGAUCCAGAGAUUCGAAUGAUAAAGUCGCAACAUGAUUCACAAGGAAAAGAUUACUAGAUCCAGGUGAAAAGAGAGGUCAUCAACGCAGAUGGCUUCUAGGUUGAGCAUAGGAGAAUUUAAUGAGAAUUUUGGACAAGGCUUCCAAGAAGAAUUUGGGACUGGAUAUUGUUUUGCGCAACAGACACCAACCAAAGUUUUAUUAUUUUUUUAACAUAAACAAGUUCACAAGGAAGCUUUAGGUUGAACUAGCGGUCCAGCUAUGGGGUUCUAUAAGCUGUGCAGGUGUAAAUUCAAGGGUAAACACAUGAGGGCUAGAAAACACCAACACCAUCAUGAUUUUUUUAAAGAGGUUUCACUUGCUAAACUCAAGGUUGUUUGGAUUGGGGUCUUUUUAUGAAUAGAACAGACAACAUUUUUUUGUAAAAAGGGUUGAACAAUUACAAUACCACCGAGAUAGCAAGACAAGAUAAACACAUAGCACGACCUAACAAGACUUACCAAUCUGACACGAGGUAAGGCAUUUCUAACAUAGCAGUACAUCACAUUAUUCACAAGUUCUUAUUAUUGGAAUAAGGGUGAGGGAAGCAUGUUGGUGCACAAGAGACAAUGAAAAUGCGACAAUCAUGAUGCAUGCUCAUUCUAGUCGUCUUCUCAGACCUAACUAAUUUUUUGGGUGCUUCUACAGCAUCCCUAUUAAUAGUAUUAGUAGCCUUUAUGGCCUACAUAAAUAGCCACCUAGCUACCCAUCUAUUUCCUAAGGCUUCACGUCCUAGGUCUAUCCUUAUCGUCCUGAUAUCUAUCCAACUUUGGUUUCUAAGCAAGUUUUACUUUAGAAAGGGUUGGUAAUCAUGACAUAUUGACUUCUCUGUACUGGUAUUCGCUCCGAUACCAGCUGUGGCGGAACCGCCCAAAUUAUUCCAGAAGUGCCCAAGUCGCACCCUUAGAGGCGGCAACACACUUAAAUCGGAAUAACUCGUCAGUCCCUCGGAUCUAGUCCGAUAAAGCCACUUAUCCAGGAUCGAAUACCACUAGCUCACUCGAAGGAGAGGCACAGAGAAAUACAAUAAAACAUAAUACCACCAAUUUAAUAAGUAUCAUUAGUGAUUACAUUAUCGGAGUUUCAUAAAUAAUAACCAUAAAUUUUAAUGCAGCGGAAAUAACUAACGGAGAAAACCGAGUAACAUGGCGAAGCCUGGCCACGCUACUCCUCCUGGUCCUCUCCUGCGGAAGCAGUAACCCACUCGACCGUCUAUCCCGGUGGCAGGGAUGAAGGCCAAGUCACACCAUCAACCAAUCAAGGAGGUACCUGCAAAAAUUAUGCCACAAGCAAGGCUGAGUAUACUAAUACUCAGCUAGACUUACCCUGUGUGAGGAGUCUACUCCUCUACCUCUAGACAUGCAGCUGUUUGGCUGAGGGGUUUGGUUUGCCAAAAGCACUAGCUGAGUCUAAAAUCAAGUUUUAGCUUUCAAGUUUUAGUAGAAUCCUUUAGACUAGAUAAGAACCUAUCUAUUCAUACAUGGUAUCAAACAUUAUAUCAAUCAAUAUCUUUUGCCAGUAACCUCAUUUCCACUUAUUACUCAAUGCAGUACAAUGGAUCAAGCAGUCUCAUUAGCUGCGAGAAGCAGACGAUUCGAAUCGAGUUUUUAACCUUGCAAGGUAAACCUAAACACACGACAUGUCAGGGCACUCCGUCCCCACACAUGUCAACCGUCCCCAUCGAUUCCCCGUUCGCGUCCAGGCCUCACCGCCUUGGCAUACAAUGCUCCACUGACCCCGACCGCCGCCGUGCAGUGGCCGCACUUGUACCCACCAUAUCUAGAAUGGGAGACCCAGUCUCAGGUCGCGUGAGGGAUAAAGUCCGCGCCCGGCUUCACUCAGGUACUAGGUUUACCGGUUACCAUUUUUCCCGACAUGUGCUUAGUACAUUCAAACGCUUGACACAGGUAUCCGCACGUUAAUCCUUAUUCCAAUUUUGUCUCAUAGACAACGCAUCCCCAUGGAUCCGUGUCCACAGACCAUCAUCCUUCUGUUAUCAAAAUGGAUACAACCAAUUCCUGACCUCGCGCGAGUGCUAGAAAAAUCACUCGACUUCUACCGAGAUCCUGAUUUAGCAUAGCAGCUACUCGACCUAGCAUACUAGUAUCCAUCUCAAAAGGAAUCCUGAGUUCAUGCAACUAGGGUUUCAGGCAACUCCUACACUUAAGUGCACGGUACAAGCCUACAAACAUUAAGUGUAGUAAAAUAGCAUAUAUAACGGUUAUGCAUAAAACCGGGGCUUGCCUUUAAUUUAACACUUAGAUAGUGUUUGCUGGGGGUACUCGCUUGGCGAGCAUCCACUGGUUAAGUCCAUCCUUCCUUGGGUCGUCCACCGUCUGCAUCUUGUGGUUGGCACCACAUCACUUGCACGAUCAUCCUCUCUCGGUCCUAAAUGAGAUGCAAGAUGCAUGUGUAUGAAUAUGAUGAAAAAUACCACAAGAUAUACAAAGACAUAGUAGCGAACUGACAUUAAUUUAGAAGACACCGUAAACCACCACACGUUAGCAUUAGUUAUCUACACGUCAUCGGGCAUACGUAGUCAAUCAUCACUGGAAAACAACAAACACUUCCUAUAAUUAUCUAUUGCAAACACGACAUCAUAAGUACAAGCAUUCGCCACAUUCACUUUUAUCAUUCAUUAGUUACUUAUUAUUAAACUAGUUAAGUACGCAUAAAUUUACAAUGACUUACACAUAGACAGACUUAGUUAAAAGGAAUAGUUGCUUAAUCGGGUUUUACAAUCAUUCACAACCUUCUAUUGCAAGCAUACACCCCAGAGAACACACAUGAGGAGAUAGUUUAUUCACAAUUACAAAUUGUACUAUUUAAUGAUGUUGGUUACUUAGUAGUAUUAGCAGAAAGCCAAAGACAUGACAUUAUUCAUUUUGUUUCCCUAAUAUAUAACUGCACUUGCUAACUGUUGAUUAAACUAAGCUACUUAUUAGACCUUAACCAAUUAAGUUCACUAACUUAGUGAGAUGUGUACUAUUUACUUAUAUAUAACCCCAAAUUAUAUUAGUCACUUUCAUUAUUACUCAUGUUCAACUAAAACCAAAACAAGCAAGCAAUCACUCAAGUCAAACACAAUAGAAUAGAGCAAUCAAUCACUUCUAACACAUUUAGGAUAGCAGCACAGCAGUUGCUUGUUUCAGUCAUAACUCUUCAAAUAUUUAUCCAAAAAUAGUGAACAAAUACUUUUUGGAAAGUCUAAGAAGUUCUCUACAACUUUGGUAUUAUCGUCUCAACAUGAUUAGACUUUUAGAAAAGUCGAACUGUGCAAAAAUAACAGGUCUGUCCAGGUUGGACAGAUUCAGACUUGCGACUUUAAAAUUUCAUAACUACAGGUUCAGACAUCCAAACAAAUUGAUCCUAGACUUUCUGGAAAGGUAAUAAAAUUGUCUACAUAUCAUUUAUAAACAUCUCAAGGUGAUUCAAUAUUUAACUAAGGAUAAAAGACACUAGAAGAGCUUGCUGUCCAGAAUUGGACAGAUUCAGUCUUCAGACUUUAAACAUUCAUAACUAAAUCUUCAGACCACCAAAAAGAGUGAUCCAAGACUUUUUAGAAAGCUCAGCAAAAGAACUACAUAACUUUUAUAAUCACCAAGAAGUGAUUCAAUGUUUAACUAAAUCAAACAACACAGUUUUCAAAAUCUGUUCUGAUGGUGGACAGAAUAUAACAACCAGUUUGUAAAAUUCAUAACUCCUAAUCUGCCAGGCCUAUGGUUAUGAAAUUUUAACACAAGCAAGAUAAAAAAAGCAUAUACAACUUUCUUAUAACGACCACGAACAGAUUGUAACAUUAAUUUAAGCAAACAAUUCAAUCUCUGAAAUCUGUACAGAAAUUGGACAGAUUCAGUUACUGAAUUUGUAAAAAACAUAGCUCCUAAACGAUCAGACUUAUGGCUGUCAAAUUUUAACAUAAGUAAGAUAAUAAAGUUAUCUACCACUUUAUUAUAUGGCUUUUCUACAGAAAACAUAAUUUAGUUCAUCAAACAAACAGCACGACGAAAACAGUACGUGCAGCCCAAAACAGCAACCAAUAAAAUUCAGCUCCUAUUCACUUCAAAAAUUGCCGCGUUCUAGAGUCUUGAACCAUUUUAACACUUUACCAUUUGUUGGAGUUGAAACAAUCAAAUUAGGACCAACAAGUAGACUUACUAACUUUUUAUCCAAGUUAUUUCGUGCGCUAGAAUUACCACACAAUUAACAAACACAUUCACCAAAAUAAAACACUUCGGCACACAUGUCCGACAUCACACAAAAUCAUGAUGAAGCACUAUUAAUAUUUAUCUUUUAGAACACCAUAACAUAACCAUUAAAUCUCUAAUUAGUUUUAAGGUAUAACUCAAGCAUUCCAUGAACAUGCAUGAUUUUAUUUACUCCUAAUUUUUCACUAAGUCUUGCAAUUAUAAAAUAGGUGUUAUUUUAGCAUCAUAUGAAACUAUCUAAUUUAGGGCUGACAUUUUUAUGAGGCAUAGGUAAUGACCAAUUAUGAACAAUGUACAAAUUUCACAUGCUCAGAUUUUAUAUUGCAUUUACUACAAAAAUAACAAAUUGUUAAUGCAAUAAAGCAUGUGAGAGCAAGUUAAAUCUAAAACUAAUUAUUUUCUGUGGAUGUAUGACCAUAUUAAGUUUUCUUAGGCUACUAUAGUAUCAUGCAAGGACAGUGGAACACCAUUUUACAUUUUUGCAUCUAUACAUUAUUUUUAAAUCAUUUAAAACUACUUAAGGUGCAUUAAACAAGUUAAAUCACUAACUUAAUCAUACAUGCACAACAAUUCAUAAAAUUUUUACUAGUCACCAAACAUCACACCAAGAGUCUACUGUAAAAAGUUCAACCUAUUUGGAGCACCAGAGCUACAGAUCCAAAAAUAACAAUCAACACAAUCAUCUUUUUCCUAUUUAACAUGUUUUAAUUAACACACCAAGAAAACAGUAAACAACCUGUAAGUUUUAUAUUUUUCCUAGAUGGAGUAUGACAACAUCUAACUAACAAAACAGGUUUCAUCAUUUUUGGAUUUUUAUAAAUAAAAUUAUGGAGAGAAGCAAGUUCGUUUAUUCUCUAAACCAGUUUUUAAAUACGAAUUUCUACAGAAAACUUUUCCACUAAAACAUGCUAACCUAUAGAUCUAAUAUACAUAGAAUUUCAUAAGGAAGACAACAAAAUAGGUUUCGUGAUUUUUGGAGCUACCAAACUAAAGAUAUGAAUUUUAGAAGAUAAUACGAAAUCUGGAAUUUGAAGCAACAUUACCCUUGGCCUUGGGCCCACACGUCAUAGAGAGGGGGGUCAUCUUCUUCCUUGACGUUACUGCAGCAUGCUGAAAGAGGACGGCUGAGCAGCCAUGGGAGAGGAGCUCGGCUCGACGCGGAAGGGAGCAGAGAGGGGCGUCGGUCUGCCCUUCUCGAGGAAGAAGAAGGGCGCCGCUGGGACUUCCCUGGCUGGUAUGCUGCUGCGUCCAAGGAGCUGAGCAGAGGGGCAGCUCGCCGCGGCCAUGGCGAGCGGUAGUGAGCUGGAGCUCGGCUGCCAGAGAACUGCAGGGUAGCCACGCCAUGGAAGAUGGAGAAGGGGCGCCAGCUGCUGUGAGGGAGAGGGAGAAUGGCGUGGGGGAGAAGAAGAGGGCAGGGGGGGCUGCCAUUUAUAGAGCCAAGCUCUGGACAUGGCAGACUGCACCAGCAGGUGGCAGGUGUGACAGUGCCAGCAUUGGGCGGCAGUUUUCGUCCUUUUCUGUUUGGAAUUGGAUCAAGGUUACUGCACAAAAUAUCUUCCUUGAUGUACACUCUACAAAUCUUGUACAGCACUUGAGGUGAUUCGAGCACUGGUUAGAGAGUUAUAGACCCACGAAAAUUGGUUUGUCAGUGGGUCAGAAAUCAGUGAAAACUUAUGAAAACUGAAUGUCAAAGCAUGUCAAAUGAAAUCGGAUGAAUGCCAUCUUUUAAUAUGUUGUGGCCCUAUUAGUUAUUAACAACUUUUAUAUUUGGGAAAACUUGAGUUGUUUAGCAAGAAUUUGGGAACGCGAGACGUCGACCCGAACGAUGCUGAUUUCAGACUUAGAAGAAUUCGAAUUUUGAAAUCAGAUUUUUAUUCUGUCUUGAAGGCACUGUUUGAGAUACUUAGAGAUUGAAUCAAGACUUGGUUUAAAUAUAAUAUUUGUUGUAUAACACCUGUUCUCCAACUUUUAUUAAAGGUCAAACCCUAUAUCUUGGCUGGAAAUUGAUAUUCCACUUUGGUCAAUGUAUUAUCAUUAUAAAGGUCAAAUUAUAUUUUUAAGGCAAUCGGAGUAUUUUCUCGACAUUUUCUUGGCAUGGAGCCUCAAUAACUUUUGUUGUAGAGUUGAUUUAGAGUGUUUUGGGAAAGUUGCCAUAACUUGGUUGAAUUUCUAAAUUUGCAUUUGUUCAGACGAGCAGUUUCGGGCAUGUAUAGGUUUUAUCUUUUCAUGUGAGUAUUUGCUUUAAACUUCUAGAAUUCUUUAGAAUACACUUGAUAGCUAGAGAGGGAUGAUAGCAUAGAGAUAACAAGUCGAUUUGCAUAAGAAAUAUUUAGAGGUUGACACUACAGAGAUUCCGCUGGAGAAUGCGGAUUCGGACUACGUAUUUGGACGUAGACCGACUAUCGAGAAAGCGGAUUCGGACACCGAUUGAAUAACAUAACAACUAUCCAGAGUCCGAAUAAAUGAGUCUGGACAGAAGUUACAGGACGAUAUUGACUUUUGAAUUUGCAUUUGCUCCGAGAAAUAAAAGUUUUAAUAGGCUCCAAAUUUGGUUGUUCUUGAGAUCGAAUAAUUCCAAAUUUGGUGAAACAUUUCAUGAGUAACUUGAUGAAUGGAUAUAAAUGUGACAAAGAGAUAGAAAUUUUCACUGAGCAUCCGAGAUUAGGAUAAAUCUACCGACAUAACGCGAAAUAGACACCUGGGGUGUCACACAAGUACUCGGGGGAAACAAGGCCGGAACUGUGGCUCGCGGACUACCGGCUGGCCUACCAGCUGGGUGGAACGGACGAUGACAACCUCAUCAUCCGCAACCUCCCCCUGUUCCGCUCCGCCGCCGCCCGAGCCUAGCUGGAGCAUCUGCCUCCCGCACAGAUCUCCAACUGGGACGACCUGGUCAAAGCCUUCGCCGGAAACUUCCAGGGCACAUACGUGCGCCCUGGGAACUUCUGGGAUCUCCGAAGCUGCCGCCAGCAGCCGGGAGAAUCCCUGCGGGACUACAUCCGGCGAUUUUCGAAGCAGCGCACCGAGCUGCCUAACAUCACCGACUCAGAUGUCAUUGGCGUGUUCCUCGCCGGCACCACUUGCCGCGACCUAGUGAGCAAGCUGGGUCGCAAGACUCCCACCAGGGCGAGCGAGCUGAUGGACAUCGCCACCAAGUUCGCCUCUGGCCAGGAGGCAGUCGAGACCAUCUUCCGGAAGGACAAGCAGCCUCAGGGAUGCCAGCAGGAAGAUGUCCUCGAGGCGUCCGCUCAGCGCAGCACAAAGAAGAAGGGCAAGAAGAAGUUGCAAACAAAACGCGACGCCGCCGACGCAGAUCUUGUCGCCGCUGCCGAACACAGGAACCCCCGAAAGCCUCCCGGUCCCGGAGGGGCCAACCUGUUCGACAAGAUGCUCAAGGAGUCGUGCCCCUAUCAUCAGGGUCCCGUCAAGCACACCCUUGAGGAGUGUGUCAUGCUUCGGCGCUACUUCCACAAGGCCGGGCCACCGGCGGAAGGUGGCAAAGCCCAUGACAAUGACAAGAAGGAAGGCCACAAGGCAGAGGAGUUCCCCGAGGUCUAUGACUGUUCAUGAUCUACGGUGGGCAGGUGGCGAACGCCUCGGCUCAGCACCGCAAACAGGAGCGCCGGGAGGUCUGCUCGGUGAAGGUGGCGGCGCUAGUCUACCUAGACUGGUCCGACAAGCCCAUCACCUUCGAUCAAGGCGACCACCCCGACCGCGUGCCGAGCCCGGAGAAGUACCCGCUCGUUGUCGAUCCUGUCAUCGGCAACAUCAGGCUUACCAAGGUCCUCAUGGACGGAGGCAGCAGCCUCAACAUCAUCUACGUCGAGACCCUCGCGCUCUUGUAGAUCGAUUUGUCCACGAUCCGGGCCGGUGUGACGCCCUUUCACGGGAUCAUCCCCGGGAAGCGCGUCCAACCCCUUGGGCAACUCGAUCUGCCCAUCUGCUUCGGGACUCCCUCCAACUUCCGAAAGGAAACCCUCACGUUCGAGGUGGUCGGGUUCCGAGGAACCUACCACGCAGUGUUGGGGAGACCAUGCUACGCCAAGUUCAUGGCCGUCCCCAACUACACCUACCUCAAGCUCAAGAUGUUGGGCCCCAAUGGGGUCAUCACCGUCGGAUCCACAUACCGACACGCGUAUGAAUGCGACGUGGAGUGUGUGGAGUAUGCUGAGGCCCUCGCCGAGUUCGAGGCCCUCAUCGCCGACCUGGAGAGCCUCUCCAAGGAGGUGCCAGAUGUGAAACGCCACGCCAGCAACUUCGAGCCAGCAGAGGCGGUUAAGUCCGUCCCUCUCGACCCCAGCAACGACGCCUCCAUGCAAGUCCGGAUCGGCUCCGAGCUCGACCCCAAAUAGGAAGCAGUGCUCAUCGACUUUCUCCGCGCAAACGCCGAGGUUUUUGCAUGGAGUCCCUCGGACAUGCCUGGCAUACCGAGGGAUGUCGCCGAGCACUCACUGGAUAUCUGAGCUGGAGCCCGACCCGUGAAGCAGCCUCUGCGUCGAUUCGAUGAAGAAAAGCGCAGAGCCAUAGGCGAGGAGAUCCACAAGCUGAUGGCUGCAGGGUUCAUCAAAGAGGUAUUCCAUCCCGAAUGGCUAGCCAACCCUGUGCUUGUGAAAAAGAAAGGUGGGAAAUGGCGGAUGUGUGUAGACUACACUGGUCUAAACAAAGCAUGUCCGAAGGUUCCCUACCCUCUGCCUCGCAUCGAUCAAAUUGUGGAUUCCACUGCUGGGUGCGAAACCCUGUCAUUCCUUGAUGCCUACUCAGGGUAUCACCAAAUCAGGAUGAAAGAGUCCGACCAGCUCACGACUUCUUUCAUCACACCCUUUGGCAUGUACUGCUAUAUUACUAUGCCAUUCGGUUUAAGGAAUGCAGGCGCGACAUACCAAAGGUGCAUGAACCACGUGUUCGGACAGCACAUUGGCCGAACGGUCGAGGCUUACGUCGAUGACAUCGUAGUCAAGACGAGGAAAGCCUCCGACCUCCUCUCUGACCUUGAAACGACAUUCAAGUGUCUCAAAGCUAAAGGAGUAAAACUCAAUCCCGAGAAGUGUGUCUUCGGAGUUCCCCGAGGCAUGCUCCUGGGGUUCAUCGUCUCCGAGCGGCGCAUCGAGGCCAACCCGGAGAAAAUCGCAGCCAUCACCAACAUGGGGCCUAUCAAGGACUUGAAAGGAGUACAGAGGGUCAUGGGAUGCCUUGCGGCUCUGAGCCGCUUCAUCUCGCGCCUCGGCGAAAGAGGCCUGCCCCUGUACCGCCUCUUAAGGAAGAUCGAGCGCUUCACUUGGACCCCCGAGGCCAAGGAAGCCCUCGGGAACUUAAAGGCGCUCCUUACAAGCGCGCCCAUCCUAGUGCCCCCGCUGCGGGAAAAGCUCUCUUGAUCUACGUAGCCGCAACCACUCAGGUGGUCAGCGUCGCGAUCGUAGUCGAGAGACGAGAAGAAGGGCAUGCAUUGCUCGUCCAGAGGCCGGUCUACUUCAUCAGUGAGGUACUGUCCGAGACCAAAAUCCGCUACCCUCAAAUUCAGAAGCUACUGUACGCGAUAAUUCUGACGUGACGAAAGUUGUGACACUACUUCGAGUCUCAUCCGGUGACUGUGGUGUCAUCCUUCCCCCUGGGGGAGAUCAUCCAGUGCUGAGAGGCCUCGGGUAGGAUUGCAAAGUGGGCGGUGGAGAUCAUGGGCGAGACAAUCUUGUUCGCCCCUCAGAAGGCCAUCAAGUCCCAAGUCUUGGCGGAUUUCGUGGCAGAAUGGGUCGACACCCAGCUUCCAGCAGCUCCGAUCCAACCGGAACUCCAGACCAUGUUUUUCGACGGGUCGCUGAUGAAAACAGGAGCAGGCGCGGGCCUGCUCUUCAUCUCACCCCUCGGGAAGCACCUUCGCUAUGUGCUGCGCCUCCAUUUCCCGGCGUCCAACAACGUGGCUGAGUACGAGGCCCGGGUUAACUGGUUGCUCAUCGCCAUCGAGCUAGGGGUUCGGCGCCUCGACGCUCGUGGCGACUCGCAGCUUGUCAUCGACCAAGUCAUGAAGAACUCCCACUGCCGCGACCCAAAGAUGGAAGCCUACUGCGACGAGGUUCGGCGCCUAGAAGACAAGUUCUACGGGCUCGAGCUCAACCACGUCGCCCGACGGUACAACGAGACUGCGGACGAGCUGGCUAAAAUAGCCUCGGGGCGGACAACGGUCCCCCCGGACGUCUUCUCCCGAGACCUACAUCAACCCUCCGUCAAGACCGACGACACGCCCGAGCCCGAGAAGGCCUCGACCCUGCCCGAGGCACCCUCGCCCGCCGAGGGUGAGGCACUGUGCGUCGAGGAAGAGCGAAAUGGGGUCCUGCCUAAUCGAAACUGGCAGACCCCGUACCUGCAAUAUCUCCACCGAGGAGAGCUACCCCUCGACAGAACCAAGGCUCGGCGAUUGGCGCGGCAUGCCAAGUCGUUCGUCUUGCUGGGUGAUGGAAAGGAGCUCUAUCACCGUAGCCCCUCAGGCAUCCUCCAGCGAUGCAUAUCCAUCGCCGAAGGUCAGGAGUUAUUGCAAGAAAUACACUCAGGGGCUUGCGGUCACCACGCAGUGCCACGAGCCCUUGUUGGAAACGCCUUCCGACAAGGUUUCUACUGGCCAACCGCGGUGGCCGACGCCACUAGGAUUGUACGCACCUGCCAAGUGUGUCAAUUCUACGCAAGGCAGACCCACCUGCCCGCUCAGGCUCUGCAAACAAUACCCAUCACCUGGCCGUUUGCUGUGUGGGGUCUGGACCUCGUCGGUCCCUUGCAGAAGGCACCCGGGGGCUUCACGCACCUACUGGUCGCUAUCGACAAAUUCUCCAAGUGGAUUGAGGUCCGACCCCUAAACAGCAUCAGGUCCGAACAGGUGGUGGCGUUCUUCACCAACAUCAUCCAUCGCUUUGGAGUCCCAAACUCCAUCAUCACCGACAACAGCACCCAGUUCACCGGCAGGAAGUUCCUGGACUUCUGCGAGGACCACCACAUCCGGGUGGACUGGGCCGCCGUAGCUCACCCCAUGACGAAUGGGCAGGUAGAGCGUGCCAAUGGCAUGAUUCUACAGGGACUCAAGCCGAGGAUCUACAAUGACCUCAACAAGUUCAGCAGGCGAUGGAUGAAGGAACUCCCCUCGGUGGUCUGGAGUCUGAGGACGACGCCAAGCCGAGCCACGGGCUUCACGCCGUUUUUUCUAGUCUAUGGGACCGAGGCUAUCUUGCCCACAGACUUAGAAUACGGCUCCCUGAGGACGAGGGCAUACGACGCCCAAAGCAACCAGACCAACUGAGAAGACUCACUGGACCAGCUGGAAGAGGCUCGGGACAUGGCCUUACUACACUCGGCGCAGUAUCAGUAGUCCCUGCGACGCUACCACGCCCGAGGGGUUCGGUCCUGAGACCUCCAGGUGGGCGACUUGGUGCUUCGGCUACGAUAGGACGCCCGAGGGCACCACAAGCUCACUCCUCCCUGGGAGGGGCCAUUCAUCAUCGCCAAGACUUUGAAGCCCGGAACAUACAAGCUAGCCAACAGUCAAGGCGAGGUCUACAACAACGCUUGGAACAUCCGACAGCUACGUCACUUCUACCCUUAAGAUGUUUUCAAGUCGUUCAUAUACCUCGCUUACAUACGCAAGUAAAGUCUAACCAUCAAGGAAGGGUCAGCCUUGCCUCGGCAAAGCCCGACCCUCCCUCGGGGGCUAGAAGGGGGGAACCCCCUCUGCGUCAAAAUUUUUCUCGGAAAAAGUCUUUCGGCCAGAACAUCUUUCGCGCUUUUCGACUACUUCAAUAGUGGGAUCCUGAAAACGACGGAGUACAUGUAAGCGGCAAGGCCGACCGAGCCGAGGGACUCCUAUGCCUCCGGGAUACGGAUACCUCACUCAUCACCUUCUGCGAUAAGUAACUCACGCUCAGAUAAGCGAUUCUGCUAACCGAACAAGUCUUAACGCUCGAAAACUUCUCUGUCGAAACGAUUUUCGUGCCUUCUCGACUAUAUUGAUAAUAGAAUCCCGCGGACGAGCAAGAGUACACGUAAGCAGCGAAGGUCGACCGAGCCGAGGGACUCCUACGCCUCCGGGAUAUGGAUACCUCACUCAUCACCUUCCGCGAUAAGUAACUCUCGCUCGGAUAAACGAUUCUGCUACCGACAAGCAAGUCCUGAUACUCGAAACAAGAGGAAAAGAAACACAGCUUUAUAACACGACAAUAACAUGUUUGGGCCUCGACGGCCGCAAAAAACAUACGCACACUACAGACAAACUGUUCCUGCAGGUUCAGACAUCAAUAGGGGGGAGCAGCAGCACCCUCGACAUCGUCUCCACCUUCGGCGGAAUCUGACCCGGCCUCGGACGGCAAUACGGGCGAAGGAUCUCCACCUCAAAGGAAGAUGUCAGCACCGCGCCUGGGCCAUCGCCGCCAGGGUCUCCUCCAGGAACUCGGCCCGAGCACACGGCUUGUCUGGCCGCUCCGUGGCCUUAGCCAGCUAUCCUCCGAGGACACCAGCCCAGCUCAUGGCCUCGGCAGCCCGACUCUGGGGUUGGUCCCGCCAGUGGACGACUCGGCCAGGCUCUGGCCACUGUUGCUACGCCUCCUCGGCCUGGGCCGACGAAGCCCCCUUUUCGAGCCAACUCCGCCUCUGUCCAUGCUGACACCGCUGCCUCUGGCUCCGGCUCAUCCCAGAGCGGCCGAGGGUUUCUUUAACUAGGCAAGAGAAGCCUUGAGUGGCAAGGCUGACCGAGCCGAGGGACUCCUACGCCUCCAGGAUACGGAUACGGAUACCUCACUCGUCACCUUCCACGCAGGGCAACUCACACUUGGUUAAGCGGUUCAGCUAGCCGACAGGCGAGACUUGGUGCUCGAAAUGAGGAAGAAACACGGCUUUACGCCCAAAUACAUAGAUGUUCAGGCCCCAACAGCCGCAAUGAACAUACAUCGGCACUCAAGAUGCCAUUACAAAUGGACCUCCGAUACUCCCGCGGGUAUGAACAACCUCCACAUCGGAGGGCCUGCGGGACGACAACUUCCAGGUGGCUCGCCGCCGCCCACUCCUGCAGCAGCGACAACGACCUCCGCUCCGGGCGGCCAAACAGCAGCAGCGAUGACCUCAGGGCAGACGCUGCUACGACAAGGCCCUCGCCCACGUCCCCACUCGAGGGGCGAGGACAAGCUAUCAAAGCCAAAGAGCCGGAGGCCCGGAGCGCAGAUGGCACCGACGAUCUCGUCGGCGACGAGGACUUCUCCAGCUGCCACCACCUCAGCACAGACGACGGCAGCCACCUGCCUACCGGCAGAUCCCCACUCAAGUCCUCCCAGACGGGCGAGCACCGACCUCCGCGCGGAGGCGUCGUGCCGGAGCACGGACAGGACAGCCCAAGAACACGAACGCCGCCCUAGCAGCGCGCGACGUCUUGGACGGUCCCCCGUUACGCGCGGCGCGAUAGCCGCCCGUACAGCGGCUAGAUAGCUGUUGGAACUUGCUCUCAGCUGCAAGGGGAUCCAACAAGGGUGAACAGUGAUGUUAACAGGGUGCUCGCGCUAGAUGGCGAUAGCUCCGUUAAUCUGGCCUCUCACGGGCACUGUGCAGGGGUAUUUAUAGGUACCUGAGCGCGCAGCGCCUUGAGCUAAGGACGCAUGUGCCCUCAGCUACCUAGGUUAUCCCCAGAAUAUUCCCAUAAAGCGGGGUUACAGACCGUAAUUACAGGGAUGCCUUUACAAAUUAGGCCCGUAACGCACGGCGGCCACGCGGGGCCCGUUACGAUGGGCCGGAUCGCACAUGGGCCUCUGAGCUGGGCGAGGCCGCAAUGUGGGAUGCCCUUCGUCGCCGGUCUUCGUCUGGUGCGGAACAAGCGAAGGGUGUCCCUGCCUGUUUUGUUUCUGUUAGCUCAGCUGCUGCAGCGAAGGCUUCGAGCGAAGGGUGGCGCCUUUGCCUUCGCCCCAACAUUUGCCCUCCGAGGGACCAGUUCGACAAAGUCACCUGGUGCCGAAGACGUCGCUAGAUGGCGGAGACGCUGCCCUCGCUCGAAGUGGUUCCGCGGGGGUUUUUGAUAUGACCGUUGAUUGACGGCGUACUGUUGGAUUGCGGGUUUCCCGAAGCGUCGCGCCCUGUUGGAUUGUGGGUUUCCCAAAGAGCCGCGCCCUGCCUAUAAAAGGGGGCGGGGGUCGGCGCUUUUUGAACUUCACUUUUCGUGCUCCGCGAAAACCCUAGCCGCCCUUUCCGCCGUCUUGCUGCUCGUCUGCCCGCCGUGCUCUUGUUCGCCGGAGAUCUGGCUCGAGUGAAGCAGACCGCCCGCCGCCGCCGACGGUACGUAGUGAUGCUGUCCUCGUCUUCUUCCGCUGCCGCUACGCCGCCGGCCGAUCCCUCGCCGCCGGCCGCCGCCUCGUCUGAGGAGACGCUGAGUAGUUUGAUGGCGGAGGAGUUGCGCGCCGGCGAUUCUGUUGAUUUUGGCGUAUCGCGGAUGUCGUCGGUCCGCGUGCAAGAUAUGCAGCGGUUGGGUUACUUCGGCGGCGGAGUCGCUCGAGUCCCGGGGACGGAGGAAGUCCCCGAGCCGGAGGGCGAGUUGGUUGUUUUCGAAGCGUUCUUCGCCGCCGGACUCCGCUUGCCUGCGCACCGAUUUGUUGGCGAAGUCCUGCGCAGGUUCAACGUUCAAAUACAUCAGCUGACACCGAAUGCGAUGGUGGCUCUGUCGAAGUAUGUCUGGGCGACGACUUCGUACGGCGGACAGCCAUCGGUCGAAGUUUUUGCGAAGUAUUAUUGUUUGCACUGGCAGAAGAGGAUGAUUGGAGACGAAGUUGCUCAGUUUGGGUCCUGCACAUUCACGCCGAAGACCGGCAAAACCACGAUGCAGGUAGUCGAGUUGGUUCCUUGCGCCCGCAACAAGUGGGGCAACUGGAAUGAAUUUUGGUUUUACGUUGCUGAGGGUACCGUCGAAGGCCAUGAGGGACUCCCCGUGUCCGAGAUGUGUUCUCAUUUUUACUCAGCGUACCCGCCCUUUGAAGUGGCGGAGGAGGAUGUGGACGAAGGGGCCCUUCGGUGCGCCGCCGGCCUGAGCAGUGGGCGCGACUUGGUUGAAGAAUUUGUGGCGUACGGGGUAUGGCCCUUGGCGCAUGGCUGGGCGUUGGGCGAAGUGUGCCCUCGCCAGAUGCCUUUCCAUGGCGAAAGGGUGGUGCGGAGUCCCGCCUUCGCGCUGAAUCUGCAAAACCGCGAUCCGGCCGCCUUUGUGCGUGAGGCGGAGGAUGGGGCGGUGCGGCUCGUUGGACGUUACGUGCCGAGGACAGAGGGCCAGCGCAGUUGGGAUAUCCGCGGGUCGAAUGACCGUUUGAACAGGGUUUUUGAAUUAAAUCAAUUGCCAUAUGACGGCUACCCUGGUCAAGACGAUGUGGACCGCCGUGGGAAGAAGCCGGCGAUGGAGACUAGAGACGACCCUGCGCCGGCGGCCGCCCCAUCCUCUAAAAAGAGAAAAUUAGGUACUGCUAUGGGAGGGCUUGGGGUUUCUGAUGGUUUUGCUAGAGAGUUGAUGAGGACGUGCGCGGCCCCGGGGGGAAGGAUGUCUUCGCCCGAGCUCCGGGAGUCUUCGGCUCGGAUGCUGAGGGUUACCGGGGGUUGUUGGCCUAGGAAUGUUCCUAUCCCCCGCGCGACUGGCGAGGACUUUUUUACAUCUCGCAUGGUUCGUGAAUGGAGGGUUUUUCCUUACGGGCGGAAUAUUGGUGCUGUUGUGUCAGCAGUGAUGGACAAGGAUCGCCAGGGAGCUGCACAAAAGCGUCAGGCGGCUGUCAGGCUCGUUGAAGCCAGGCCGAAGAGGCAGCGGGGGGCUGCGAAGGCUGCGGCCCCUAGCGGAAGCAGGCCGCCGCUGGCGGCGAAGUCGGGCAUCCCUGCAUCUAGCAAGGCGCCGGAGGCUCGAAAUCGGCGAAGGCGGUGCCGCCGUCCAGCGGAGUGGCGGAGGUCGCGAAGGCGGCCCGAGCGUUGCCGUUGUCGGGCAAACGUGUCGCCGACUUCGCCAUCGAUAUUAGUGUGGACGACUAUCUCGAUGGUAAGUCGUUGGCUCUAUUAUUAUUAUUUUUUUAAAAAUUUAUUCGUUGGUACGUCGCAGGGUCGGGCGAAGGCCAACUUGCUAUGGUUGCGCCUGCCGCGGCGACCACGAUGGCUGCCGCAGUGCCGAAGGCGAAGGGCGGGGCUCUUAGCGCCGGAGGCGAGGUGUCGGCCCUCGCGGUUGUCAGGGAUGAGGCGGGCGCUGCGUCCCGCCGGCUGAAGGAGGUGACGGAGGCGCUAAGUCAGGUCCGCUGAGCUGGAUUAGUGUGGACGACUUUUUUUUUAUCGGCUUGCUGGGGCCGCGGUCUUACGAUUGCUCUACAGGUGGCUGACUUCGCCAGCCGCACUGUGUCGGGGGCCCUCACGGCAGCUGCGGCUGCCGAAGUCGAGAGACUUCGAACACAACAUGCCGACGCCGUCCGUGAGAAAUCGGCCGCCGACAGCAAGUGUCGCAAGCUGGCGGACAAGGUGGCCACGCUGGAGGGAGAGAAGGCUGCCCUCUGGCGCCAGCUAGUGGGGAAAAGGAGGGAGACCAACGAGGCCCUUGUCAAGGCGCAGGCUGCGCAGGCGGAGGCUAACCUGGCACGGGCGGAGGGCACUCUUGCCAGGGAGCGCGCCGAGCAGUUGCAGGAGCGGCUCAUCGCCCUGGAGAGCCGCGUGGAGAGGGCCGAGGCCGCGUCACGCGCGGAGGCAGAGCGGACGUGCCAACUGCUUAUAGAUACAUACCGUGGGCUGGGCGCGGGGACCGGUGAUUUCGAAGUACCGGACCAAGAGCCCGGACUUCGCUGCCUAGAGUGGGUGCAGGAGGAGUUGCAGGCACUCCCCACUGUCGUGGAGGGGUUUAUGGCGUAUGCCUCCCUGGUCACCUGCGAGGGGGCGAUGAACGCGCUCUCCCACGAAGGGUGCCGGCACUUCGAGGUCUUUGACCAAGCCGAUGAAGAUUUUGAGCAAGAUAUCUUUAAGGUUGAGGACCCCGUAGUGAAGGAAUCCGCCGGAGCCAUCUACGACCGGAUGUGGGGUCCGCACGGUCGUGAGGUGGUCAGGGAGCGGGCCGAGACGGCGAGGGCUCAGGUAACGUUUUCGUUUGUUUGGUGUUUGUUGGAUGUAGGUUGUGUGUGUGUUUGCUGAAUUUUGUGUGUUUUGUCUUAGGCGGCGCGUGGCGAGAGGGUGGACGACUUCGGGUCGUUGAACAGCAUGCUGUCUGACCCGGAGCCGACCCCGGCGGAGGCCGUGUCUAUGGUCGCCCUGGAGCCGACCCCGGAGACUGCGGAAGAUGCGCCAGGGGCCCCCGCAUCCGCUGCGGCCGGCGAAGACCUGCCCCCAGAGGUCGCCGAAGGCGCGCCUGAUGCCCCCGCAGCUGCUGCGCCGAGUGCUGAAGAUCCCGCGGCGGUGGCGGCGGAAACAACAGCAGAAGCAACGGCGGAGCCAACGGCGGAGGCUCCCGCAACGUCAGGGCCUUCGUAGGUGGCGUAGUGGGUGUAGAGGGUUGGGGAAUUUUGGAUAUGUUGCUGAAUUUUGGUUGCUGCGCAGGUUCAAGAUUUUGGGCCUGCGCACGCAACCGCCACUACUAUAUUUUUGGCGGCUUCGACCGCGGAAGGUGAUAAUGAAUGUGGUGGAUCUGCAUCUGAGUUUUUUGGUUUUGCUGACUCUGGGAGCUCGGUUGAGUGGACUGAGGAGUCGUCGUCGGAGGACUUGGACUACUUUGCGGCUUUGGAUGUGGCUGCGGCGGAGGCUUCGCCGCACGCCGCGGACGCAGAAGAUGUGCCAGGUCCUAGCACCGGGCGCCGACGACGAAGGGCUGUUGCGAAGCGUAGAGUUAGUGGGGUGGAGGGGGCUUGGCUUCGUGUGAGUAGGGCUGGCCGGCAGGAACUGUUGUAUUUGCCGGCCGCCGCGAGUACAGGUGAAGGGGAACUGCGAAGUCUUUUUGCGGGUGAGGAGCUUAGGAUAAUGUUAUUUAAUUAUAGGGAGAUGGGAAUUAUUCCUAAGGUUGAGCCGAAGUAGAGUGUGGUGCCCUCGCUUGUAUAUGUGUGAAGGCUUGUGUGAUGAAGUUGUGUGCUCUCGCUUGUCUAUGCCUGCGAAGGCGUUGUGUACUUUGUCUGGUGUGUUUUGUUAUGCUGUGCUGGUGCAAUUAUAGUCGGUCUUGGCGUGGACGGUUUGAUGUUGUCGUUUCUGCAUUUGUUGUGCUAGUCCGGCUACACCCUUAGGCGACUUCUGCGCGGACAGUCUUCACGGUAGACUUUGGUUUUUUCGCACUUGUUGUGCUAGUCCGGCUGCACCCUUAGGCGACUUUUGCGCGGAUAGUCUUCACGAUAGACUUCGGUUUUUUCGCACUUGUUGUGCUAGUCCGGCUGCACCCUUAGGCGACUUCUGCGCGGAUAGUCUUCGCGAUAGACUUCGGUUUUUUCGCACUUGUUGUGCUAGUCCGGCUGCACCCUUAGGCGACUUCUGCGCGGAUAGUCUUCGCGAUAGACUUCGGUUUUUUCGCACUUGUUGUGCUAGUCCGGCUGCACCCUUAGGCGACUUCUGCGCGGAUAGUCUUCGCGAUAGACUUCGGUUUUUUUGCACUUGUUGUGCUAGUCCGACUGCACCCUUAGGCGACUUCUGCGUGGAUAGUCUUCGCGAUAGACUUCGGUUUUUUCGCACUUGUUGUGCUAGUCCAGCUGCACCCUUAGGCGACUUCUGCGUGGAUUUGUCGCACGCGAGGGUGGCUAGCGCUUAGCCUCGCGGUGACCUCGUAUUGGUCGAAUGUCGAAGACCGUCGUCGCGGUCUUUUUUCGACGCAUGUUUUUGCGGGGGAUUUUUCACACAUAUAUUACAUGGCUCCGCCUCGUUAAAAACCUCACCCCCCAGGAGGAAAAGAGUGCGGGCCGGUACAAGAUUGUUUUUGCGAAUUACAAGGGCGAAAUCAGCCCUGAGGAGUCAAACAAAAAAUUUGCGGAGGUUGUCGAUGUUCCAGGAGUGCUCCAGGUCCUCGCCGUUUGGCGUUGUGAGCCUGUAGGCGCUGGGGGAAGCUUUUGUCUUGACUAUAAAGGGGCCCUCCCACUUGGGCUCCAGCUUGCCCUUGGACUCCGUCCGAGCCGUUCGGACGAGUACGAGGUCCCCUUCGUUGAACUCCCUCGGGAUGACUGUGUGGUCGCGCCAUGCUUUGGUCUGGGCUUGGUAUUUGUUGAGGGCUUGUAGGGCGAAGACUCGGUCUCCGUCAAUGAGAUCCUUUGAAGUUGGCUCGUCCACGUCGGGGACAGCUGACGGAACUGUUCGCGGGGACCCAUGCUUUAUUUCUUGCGGGGUCAUGGCCUCCGAUCCAUAUAGAAGGCGGAAGGGAGUAAACCCAGUCGCCCUGCACUCAGUCGUGUUUAGUGCCCAGACUGCCUCAGGUAGCAGAUCGGUCCAUCUGCCCUUUUUUCGUCAAGGAGCAUCUUCUUGACAGCUGUGAAGAUUUUCCCAUUGGCGCGUUCCACGACCCCGUUGGACUGCGGAUGAUAGACUGAGGCGAAGGCAAGCUUGGUGCCAAUGGAGAAACAAAAAUCCUUGAAGUCUUGGCUGUCAAACUGCUUGCCGUUGUCAACUGUUAGUUCGGACGAUACUCCGAAGCGGCAAACAAUGUUUUGCCAGAAGAAUUUUUGGGCAGUUUUUGAUGUUAUUGUGGAAACAGCCCUCGCCUCGAUCCAUUUGGUGAAGUACUUGAGAGCACCUAGAGGGGGGGUGAAUAGGUGAUCCUGUAAAACUUCAAAACUUAAGCCACAAAAACUUGUUAAGGGUUAGCACAAGUAUGGCCAAGUGGCUAGAGAGGAGUCAAAACACAAUAACCACAAGAAAGCAAUCAUAGAGUUGACACGGUGGUUAUCCCGUGGUUCGGCCAAGUACAAAACUUGUCUACUCCACGUUGUGGCGUCCCAACGGACGAGAGUUGCACUCAACUCCUCUCAAGUGAUCCAAUGAUCAACUUGAAUACCACGGUGUUUUUCUUUCCUUUGAUCUUUUCCCGUUUGCGAGGAAUCUCCACAACUUGGAGUCUCUCGCCCUUACAAUUGAGUUCACAAAGAAAUACGGAGUAAGGUGGGAAUGAGCAACGCACACAAGACUCGAAAAUCAGAGCAACAACACGCACACAAGUCGCAACAAGAGCUCGCAACGCAACACAAAGAGUUCACAACUCCACAAGAGCUCUAUAUGCUAUCACAAUGAAACGAAUGCGUGAGAUUGAUGUCUUGGUGCUUAGAAGAGUUGUAGGAAUGCUUGGUGUUCUCCUCCAUGCGCCAAGGGGUCCCUUUUAUAGCCCCAAGGCAGCUAGGAGCCGUUGGGAACAAAUCUGGAAGGCCAUCUUUGCCUUCUGUCUCGUGGCGCACCGGACAGUCCGGUGCACACCGGACACUGUCCGGUGCCCGAUUUGUUUCCUUAAACAGCGCAUCCGACCGUUGCUGUCUGAGUCAGAUCUGCGCACCGUUGGCGCACCGGACAUGUCCGGUGCACACCGGACAGUCCGGUGCCCCUUCUCGACCGUUGGCUCGGCCACGUGUCGCGCGCCGAUCGCGUGGCCGACCGUUGGCCCGGCCGACCGUUGGCUCACCGGACAGUCCGGUGCACACCGGACAGUCCGGUGAAUUUUAGCCGAAGUCGCCGGAGAAAAACCCGAGAGCGGCUGGUUUGCUCCGCGCUGGUCUGGCGCACCGGACACUGUCCGGUGCACACCGGACAGUCCGGUGCCCCAGCCCGAAACAGCCUUUGGCAGUACACAGCCACUCUCCACUUCUUUUCUUUUCUUCUUUCUCCUGUUUCUAACACUUAGACAAGAUGUUAGUACACAAAACGAAUGUACUAAGGCUUAGAAACAUACCUUUACUUGUGAUUUGCACUUUGUUCAUCCAUGAGCAUAUUUUCACAUUUAAGCCCUUGUGUUUGCACUCAAUCACCAAAAUACUUAGAAAUGGCCCAAGGGCACAUUUCCCUUUCAAUCUCCCCCUUUUUGGUGAUUUAUGCCAACACAACAUAAAGCAACUAGAACAAGUGCAAAAUCACUUCAAAUGAAAACUCAAAUUGGUUUUGAUUCACUUUUGGCAUAUAUGGAUCAUCCUUUGCCACCACUUGGUUUGUUUUUGCAAAUCAAACUCAAAUCUCUAUCUCUAAGUAAAACACACAUGUUGAAGCGUAAAGAGAGUCAUUCCAAAGAAAUUUGAUCAUGGAUUUCAAAAACUCCCCCUAUUUCCCAUAGGCAACAUUUCUCCCCACAAGAAACCAACUUUUGACAAAAGAGACAAUACAAGAGUUUUGACAAACCAAAAGCUCUAUUAUACUUUUUAAAAUCUCUCAAGUGGUAGCUGAUCCAUUUAUUGCUUUGGCCUUUAUUUUCUCCCCCUUUGGCAUCAAGCACCAAAACGGGAUCAAUCUUGGCCUUUUUAACCCCAUUGCCUCACCAAAGUCUUCAAUUAAGAGCAAAUGGCAAUAAGAUUUCAUGAGAUGAACUUGGAAUUAGUUACCCUCUCAUCGGAGUGCAGUGGAAGUCUUUCAUGGUCCAAGUCCACCUUUUCCCUUUCAAUCCUCCUUCGAGACUAAAUCAUCAAACUCAAGCACAUGGUUAGUCUCAAAGGGUCAAGUUGUAACACAUCUCCCCCUAAACAUGUGCAUCACUUUGCAACGGACUUGUGAGGUCCAGGGAGUGUUUGUACAACUUGAGCACCAUAAUAAGCAACAAAAUGCAAAAAGGAACAUGAUCAAAAGCAUAAGUACAUGUAUGCUACAAUUCAAUCCAGGUUCCGCGAAUCUAUGACAUUUAGCUCACUACGCAACCUGCAAAAGGUCUUCUCAUCUAGAGGUUUAGUGAAGAUAUCGGCUAGCUGGUUCUCGGUGCUAACAUGAAACACUUCGAUAUCUCCCUUUUGCUGGUGGUCUCUCAAAAAGUGAUGUCGGAUGUCUAUGUGCUUUGUGCGGCUGUGUUCAACAGGAUUUUCCGCCAUGCGGAUAGCACUCUCAUUAUCACAUAGGAGUGGGACUUUGCUCAGAUUGUAGCCAAAGUCCCGGAGGGUUUGCCUCAUCCAAAGUAGUUGCGCGCAACACUGACCUGCGGCAACGUACUCGGCCUCAGCGGUGGAUAGGGCAACGGAUGUUUGUUUCUUAGAGUUCCAUGACACCAGGGACCUUCCUAAGAAUUGGCACGUCCCCGAUGUACUCUUCCUAUCGACCUUACAUCCAGAAUAGUCGGAGUCUGAGUAUCCAACUAAGUCAAAGGUAGACCCCUUUGGAUACCAGAGCCCGAAGCAAGGCGUAGCAACCAAAUAUCUAAGAAUUCGCUUCACCGCCACUAAGUGACACUCCUUAGGAUCGGAUUGAAAUCUAGCACACAUGCAUACGCUAAGCAUAAUAUCCGGUCUACUAGCACAUAAGUAAAGCAAAGAACCUAUCAUUGACCGGUAUGCUUUUUGAUCAACGGACUUACCUCCUUUGUUGAGGUCAGUGUGUCCGUCGGUCCCCAUCGGAGUCUUUGCGGGCUUGGCGUCCUUCAUCCCAAACCGCUUUAGCAGAUCUUGCGUGUACUUCGUUUGGGAGAUGAAGGUGCCGUCCUUGAGUUGCUUCACUUGGAACCCAAGGAAGUAGUUCAACUCGCCCAUCAUUGACAUCUCGAAUUUCUGCGUCAUCACCCUGCUAAACUCUUCACAAGACUUUUGGUUAGUAGAACCAAAUAUUAUGUCAUCGACAUAAAUUUGGCACACAAACAGAUCACCAUCACAUGUCUUUGUAAAAAGAGUUGGAUCGGCUUUCCCAACCUUGAAAGCAUUAGCAAUUAAAAAGUCUCUAAGGCAUUCAUACCAUGCUCUUGGGGCUUGCUUAAGUCCAUAGAGCGCCUUAGAGAGCUUACACACAUGGUCGGGGUACCGUUCAUCCUCGAAGCCAGGGGGUUGCUCCACGUACACCUCCUCCUUGAUUGGCCCGUUGAGGAAAGCGCUCUUCACAUCCAUUUGGUACAACCUGAAAGAAUGGUGAGCGGCAUAUGCUAGCAAGAUUCGAAUGGACUCUAGCCUAGCCACAGGAGCGAAAGUCUCCUCAAAGUCCAAACCUGCGACUUGGGCAUAACCUUUUGCCACAAGUCGAGCCUUGUUCCUCGUCACCACCCCGUGCUCGCCCUGUUUGUUGCGGAAUACCCACUUGGUUCCCACGACAUUUUGCUUCGGACGAGGCACCAGUGUCCAAACUUCAUUGCGCUUGAAGUUGUUGAGCUCCUCCUGCAUGGCCGAUACCCAAUUCGGAUCUAGCAAGGCCUCCUCUACCCUGAAAGGCUCAAUAGAAGAGACAAAGGAGUAAUGCUCACAAAAAUUGACUAAUCGAGAUCGAGUAGUUACUCCCUUGCUAAGGUCACCCAGAAUUUGAUCGACGGGAUGAUCCCUUUGAAUCAUCGCUCGAACUUGGGUUGGAGGUGCCGGUUGCGCUUCUUCCUCCAUCACUUGAUCAUCUUGUGCUCCCCCUUGAUCAAGCGCCUCCACUUGAGGUACCUGUUCGUCAUCUUCGGUUGGGGGAUGCACCAUAGUUGAGGAAGAAGGUUGAUCUCGUUCAUCUUGUUCCUGUGGCCGUACUUCUCCAAUCGCCAUGGUUCGUAUAGCGGCCGUCGGAACAUCUUCUUCAUCUACAUCAACAACUUGCUCUCUUGGAGAGCCAUUAGUCUCAUCAAAUACAACGUCGCUGGAGACUUCAACCAAACCCGAUGAUUUGUUGAAGACUCUAUACGCCUUUGUAUUUGAGUCAUAACCUAACAAAAACCCUUCUACAGCUUUGGGAGCAAACUUAGAAUUUCUACCUUUCUUCACUAGAAUGUAGCACUUGCUCCCAAAUACACGAAAGUAAGAUACAUUGGGUUUGUUACCGGUUAGUAGUUCAUACGACGUCUUCUUGAGGAGUCGGUGAAGGUAGACCCUGUUGAUGACGUGGCAAGCCGUGUUCACGGCUUCCGACCAAAACCGCUCGGGGGUCUUAAAUUCUCCAAGCAUCGUCCUCGCCAUGUCGAUUAGCGUCCUUUUCUUCCUCUCUACCACACCAUUUUGCUGUGGUGUGUAGGGAGCGGAGAACUCGUGCUUGAUCCCUUCCUCCUCAAGAAAUUCUUCCACUUGAAGGUUCUUGAACUCGGACCCGUUGUCACUCCUUAUCUUCUUCACCUUGAGCUCAAACUCAUUUUGAGCUCUCCUGAGGAAGCGCUUGAGGGUCCCUUGGGUUUCAGACUUAUCCUGCAAAAAGAACACCCAAGUGAAGCGGGAAAAGUCAUCAACAAUUACUAGACCAUACUUACUUCUUCCUAUACUCAGAUAGGCGACGGGUCCGAAGAGGUCCAUAUGCAGCAGCUCCAGGGGUCUUGAAGUGGUCAUCACAUUCUUGCUGUGAUGUGCUCCUCCCACUUGUUUGCCUGCCUGACAAGCUGCACAAGGUCUAUCUUUUUUGAAUUUUACAUUAGUCAAUCCUAUCACGUGUUCUCCCUUUAGAAGUUUGUGAAGGUUCUUCAUCCCCACAUGUGCCAAGCGGCGAUGCCACAGCCAGCCCAUGCAAGUCUUAGCUAUUAAGCAUGCAUCUAGACCGGCCUCUUCUUUUGCAAAAUCAACUAAGUAAAGCUUGCCGUCUAAUACACCCUUAAAAGCUAGUGAAUCAUCACUUCUUCUAAAGACAGACACAUCUACAUUAGUAAAUAGACAGUUAUACCCCAUGUUGCACAGUUGACUAACAGAUAGUAAAUUGUAACCAAGAGACUCUACUAAAAACACAUUGGAAAUAGAAUGCUCAUUGGAAAUUGCAAUUUUACCUAACCCUUUUACCUUGCCUUGAUUCCCAUCACCGAAUAUGAUUGAAUCUUGGGAAUCUUUAUUCUUGACGUAGGAGGUGAACAUUUUCUUCUCCCCCGUCAUAUGGUUUGUGCAUCCGCUGUCGAUAAUCCAGCUUGAACCCCCGGAUGCAUAAACCUGCAAGGCAAAUUUAGGCUUGGGUCUUAGGUACCCAACUCAUGUUGGGUCCUACAAGGUUAGCACAUAUAUCCUUAGGGACCCAAAUGCAAGUUUUAUCACCUUUGCAUUUUGCCCCUAACUUCCUAGCAAUUACUUUUCUAUCCUUUCUACAAAUUGCAAAGGGUGCAUUGCAAGCAUAAUAAAUGAUAGAAGGUUCAUUUGCUACUUUCCUAGGAGCAUGAAUAACAUUCUUUUUAGGAACAACAUUUUUCCUAGUAACAUUUCUAUUAUUCACAUAAGAAGAACUAGGAGCAAACAUGGCAUGAGAGUCAUAAACAUAUGAAUCAAAAGCAUCAUAACUCCUAUUUGCAUUUCUAGUAUGUCUUCUAUCAUGAUACAAAAAGGCAUGGUUCCUUUUAGCACUAGUAGCCAUAGGGGCCUUCCCUUUCUCCUUGGUGGGAAUGGGAGCCUUGUGGCUUGUUAAGUUCUUGGCUUCCCUCUUGAAGCCAAGUCCAUCCUUAAUUGAGGGGUGUCUACCAACCGUGUAGGCAUCCCUAGCAAAUUUUAGUUUUUCAAAAUCACUUUUGCUAGUCUUAAGUUGGGCAUUAAGACUAGCCACUUCAUUAUUUAACUUUGCAAUAGAGGCUAUGUGUUCACUACAAGCAUCAAUAUCAAAUUCUUUACAUCUAUUGCAAAUAGCAACAUUUUCUACACAAGUUGUUGAUUUACUAGCUAUUUCUAUCUUAACAUUCAACUCAUCGUUAAUGCUCUUUAAUUUAGAAAUUGUUUCAUGACAUGAAGAUAAUUCACAAGUAAGCAUCUCAUUUCUUUUAACUUCUAGAGCAUGAGAUUUUUGAGCUUCUACAAACUUAUCAUGUUCUUCAUACAACAAAUCCUCUUGCUUUUCUAAAAGUAUAUUCUUUUCAUUCAAGGCAUCAAUUAAUUCAUUAAUUUUGUCUAUCUUAGAUCUAUCUAAGCCCUUGAACAGACAUGAAUAAUCUACUUCAUCCUCUUCACUAGAUUCGUCCUCACUAGAAGAAGCAUAGGUAGAGUUGCGAGUACAUACCUUCUUCUCCUUUGCCAUAAGGCAUGUGUGACGCUCGUUGGGGAAGAGGGUUGAUUUGUUGAAGGCAGUGGCGGCGAGUCCUUCAUUGUCGGAGUCGGAAGAGGAGCAAUCCGAGUCCCACUCCUUGCCUAGAUGCGCCUCGCCCUUUGCCUUCUUGUAAUGCUUCUUCUUCUCCCUUUUGUUCCCCUUUUCCUGGUCACUUUCAUUAUCAGGACAGUUAGCAAUAAAAUGACCAAUCUUACCGCAUUUGAAGCAUGAUCGCUUCCCCUUGGUCUUAGUCUUGCUCGGCUGUCCAUUGCGACCCUUUAGCACCGUCUUGAAUCUCUUGAUGAUGAGGGCCAUUUCUUCAUCAUUAAGACCGGCUGCCUCAAUUUGCGCCACCUUGCUGGGUAGCGCCUCCUUGCUCCUUGUGGCUUUGAGAGCAAAAGGUUGCGGCUCGUUGAUUGGUCCAUUCAAGGCGUCGUCCACAUACCUUGCCUCCUUGAUCAUCAUUCGCCCGCUGACGAAUUUUCCUAAGACUUCUUCGGGCGACAUUUUGGUGUACCUGGGAUUCUCACGAAUAUUAUUCACCAAAUGAGGAUCAAGAACGGUAAAGGACCUGAGCAUUAGUCGGACGACGUCGUGGUCCGUCCAUCGCGUGCUUCCGUAGCUCCUUAUUUUGUUGAUAAGGGUCUUGAGCCGGUUGUAUGUCUGAGUUGGCUCCUCGCCCCUUAUCAUCGCGAAUCGUCCAAGCUCGCCUUCCACCAACUCCAUUUUGGUGAGCAAGGUAACGUCAUUCCCCUCAUGAGAAAUCUUGAGGGUGUCCCAGAUCUGCUUGGCGUUAUCCAAGCCGCUCACUUUGUUAUAUUCAUCCCUGCACAAUGAAGCUAGAAGAACAGUGGUAGCUUGUGCAUUCUUAUGGAUUUGCUCAUUAAUGAAUGAAGGGCUAUCUGAGCUAUCAAAUUUCAUUCCACUUUCCACAAUCUCCCAAAUGCUUGGAUGGAGAGAAAAUAGGUGAGUACGCAUUUUGUGACUCCAAAAUCCGUAGUCCUCUCCAUCAAAGUGAGGAGGCUUGCCAAGUGGAAUGGGGAGCAAAUGAGCAUUUGAGCUAUAUGGAAUGCGCGAAUAAUCAAAAGAAAAGUUUGAGUUAACCGUCUUUUGUUUGUCGUGGUCGUCGUCCUUUUGGGAAGAAGAGGACUCAUCGCUGUCGUAGUAGACGAUCUCCUUGAUGCGUCUUGUCUUCUUCUUCUUCCCAUCUUUUCGCUUGUGGCCCGAGCCUGAGUCAUUGGACUUGUCAUCCCUUGGCUCGUUGACGAAGGACUCCUUCUCCUUGUCGUUGAUCACAAUUCCCUUCCCCUUAGGAUCCAUCUCUUCGGGCGGUUAGUCCCUUUCUUGAAGAGAACGGCUCUGAUACCAAUUGAGAGCACCUAGAGGGGGGGGUGAAUAGGUGAUCCUGUAAAACUUCAAAACUUAAGCCACAAAAACUUGUUAAGGGUUAGCACAAGUAUGGCCAAGUGGCUAGAGAGGAGUCAAAACACAAUAACCACAAGAAAGCAAUCACAGAGUUGACACAGUGGUUAUCCCGUGGUUCGGCCAAGUACAAAACUUGCCUACUCCACGUUGUGGCGUCCCAACGGACGAGAGUUGCACUCAACUCCUCUCAAGUGAUCCAAUGAUCAACUUGAAUACCACGGUGUUUUUCUUUCCUUUGAUCUUUUCCCGUUUGCGAGGAAUCUCCACAACUUGGAGUCUCUCGCCCUUACAAUUGAGUUCACAAAGAAAUACAGAGUAAGGUGGGAAUGAGCAACGCACACAAGACUCGAAAAUCAGAGCAACAACACGCACACAAGUCGCAACAAGAGCUCGCAACGCAACACAAAGAGUUCACAACUCCACAAGAGCUCUAUAUGCUAUCACAAUGAAACGAAUGCGUGAGAUUGAUGUCUUGGUGCUUAGAAGAGUUGUAGGAAUGCUUGGUGUUCUCCUCCAUGCGCCAAGGGGUCCCUUUUAUAGCCCCAAGGCAGCUAGGAGCCGUUGGGAACAAAUCUGGAAGGCCAUCUUUGCCUUCUGUCUCGUGGCGCACCGGACAGUCCGGUGCACACCGGACACUGUCCGGUGCCCGAUUUGUUUCCUUAAACAGCGCAUCCGACCGUUGCUGUCUGAGUCAGAUCUGCGCACCGUUGGCGCACCGGACAUGUCCGGUGCACACCGGACAGUCCGGUGCCCCUUCUCGACCGUUGGCUCGGCCACGUGUCGCGCGCCGAUCGCGCGGCCGACCGUUGGCCCGGCCGACCGUUGGCUCACCGGACAGUCCGGUGCACACCGGACAGUCCGGUGAAUUUUAGCCGAAGUCGCCGGAGAAAAACCCGAGAGCGGCUGGUUUGCUCCGCGCUGGUCUGGCGCACCGGACACUGUCCGGUGCACACCAGACAGUCCGGUGCCCCAGCCCGAAACAGCCUUUGGCAGUACACAGCCACUCUCCACUUCUUUUCUUUUCUUCUUUCUCCUGUUUCUAACACUUAGACAAGAUGUUAGUACACAAAACGAAUGUACUAAGGCUUAGAAACAUACCUUUACUUGUGAUUUGCACUUUGUUCAUCCAUGAGCAUAUUUUCACAUUUAAGCCCUUGUGUUUGCACUCAAUCACCAAAAUACUUAGAAAUGGCCCAAGGGCACAUUUCCCUUUCAGUACUCGACAGCGAUGAAGGCGAACUUAAGGUUCCCCUGAGCGGUGGGCAGGGGCCCGACAAUGUCCAGGCCCCAGCGCUGGAGGGGCCAUGUAUGGGCGAUCAGUUUUGUAUACUGCGAGGGGCUGCCUGACCGAGGAGAAAACUUCUGGCAGGCUUCGCAGGACCGUGUGACCCGAUUUGCGGCGCAGAUCAUUGCGGGCCAGUAAAAGCCCUGGCGGAUCACCUUAGCAGCUAGGGCCCUUGGCCUUGCGUGUGAGCCGCACGUGCCACUGUGAACUUCUCGUAGGAUCUGCAUGCCUUCGGCUUCGGUGACGCACUUGAGCAUUGGCUGACUGACCCCUUUUUUGUAGAGUUGGCCUUCAAUCAGUGCGAAGUCUCGACUUCGAUGUCUGAGGCGCUUGGCCUCACUGAUGUCGGCUGGAUGAUAAUACCCCUGUAGGAACAGGGUUAUUGGUGCCCGCCAGUCUUCGAUCAUGAUAAGGGUGACUAUGCGGUGGCCCUCGCUGUCAUUGGUUAUUUGGAGCCCUUCGGGGCUCCGGACGGCUGGCGUGCCGAUGACAUGAAAGAAUACGUCGGAGGGCAGAGUUUUGCCCCUGGCGGCAGCCUUGGCCAAUGCGUCGGCCUCUUCAUUCUUGGCCCGAUCCACAUGCUGCAAGGUGAACCCUUUGAAUUGCCUCUCGAGACUUCGGAUGGCCGAGAGGUAUUGCAUGAGUGCGGGGUCCUUUGCUGCGUAGUCUUUCUCGACCUGGCCAGAAAUUAUCUUGGAGUCUGUUUUGAUGAUACAGGUGGUGACUCCGAGGGCCCUCAGCUUGCGGAGGCCGAGGAUGACUGCUUCAUAUUCUGCUAUAUUGUUUGUGCAUCUGUCGGAUUCCAGAGCGAAGCUGAGGCGCGCUGCAUAUCUGUGCUUGACCCCGGCUGAUGAGGUAAUGACUGCAGCGGCGCCUGCCCCCGCAUGGCACCAUGCACCGUCGCAAUGGAUCGUCCAAACCUUCUCUGUGGACGGGUCUGGUUGUGUUAUUGGCCCAGUCCAGUCGACGAUGAAGUCUGCCAAGACUUGUGACUUGAUGGCUGUCCUGGGCUCGAAGCUGAUGUGGUAGCCGGAGAGUUCGGCUGCCCACUUGGCAAUCCUCACCGAUGCCUCCGGGUUUCUGAAUAAUUCGCCGAGUCCCCUGUCAGAGGUGACUCGGACCUUGAAUGCUUCAAAGUAGUGGCGCAGUUUGCGCGAAGACAUAACGACUGCGUAGGCAAUCUUCUCCAGCUCUGUCAUGUUGCACUUGGACGGUGUCAGUACCUCGGAGACAUAGUACACGGGGCACUGCCGGACCGUGCCCUCGACAAUCUGCUCCUGCACUAGUGCCGCGCUGACCGCAUGUGGCAAAGCCGCGACGUAGAGCAGCAGGGGGAGCGAGGGGUCGGGGCUGGUAAGGACGGCCAACUCUGUCAGGUACUGUUUUAAUGAGGCGAAGGCCGCCGCCUGCUCUGGUCCCCAGGCGAAGUCUUUUGCACCACGGAGUGUCUUGAGGAAGGGGAGACUUCGCUCGGCGGACCUGGAGAUGAAUCUGUUGAGAGCGGCCAAUCUGCCUGUCAGGCGCUGGACGUCCCUGACGGACUGCGGAGGCGUCAUGUCUAUGAUGGCCUGAAUCUUGGUUGGGUUGGCCUCGAUGCCGCGGUGUGAUACCAGGUAGCCCAAUAUUUUGCCUUGGCGAACGCCGAAGACGCACUUUUCCGGGUUUAGGCGGAGUUGUGCGUCUCGCAUGUUCGCGAAUGUUUCGGCGAGGUCGGCGAGGUGGUCCUUCUUGCUCUUGCUGGCGACAACAAUGUCGUCCACAUAUGUGAAUAUGUUUCUGCCAACUUGCCCUUUGAGCACUGUUUUGGUAAGCCUGGAGAAGGUGGACCCGGCGUUCUUGAGUCCCUCCGGCAUUCUGAUGAAGCAAUAUGUGCUGAAGGGUGUUAUAAAGCUGGUGCUAGCCUUGUCUUCUUCCUUCAUGUAUAUCUGGUGGUAACCGGAGAAGCAGUCGAGGAGGGACAUGACUUCGCAUCCGGCCACGCUAUCGACUAUUUUGUCGAUCCGCGGCAACGGGAAAUUGUCCUUUGGGCAGGCUUUAUUGAGACUGGUGAAGUCGAUGCACAUUCGCCACUUCCCGCUCUUUUUCUGCACCAUCACGACAUUGGAGAGCCAUGUGGGGUAAGCCACCGGCUCGAUGAAUUUGGCUUCCAGGAGGCGGUGCACUUCUGCCUUGGCGGCCUCCGUCUUCUCGUCGGACAUCUUGCGAAGCCACUGCUUUUUCGGCCUUACCGAAGGGUCGAUUCCCAGACUGUGCUCAAUUAUUGAACGGCUAACCCCGACCAGAUCGAGGGCCGACCAGGCGAAGACAUCUUUGUUCUUGGACAGGCAGCAGAGGAGCUUCUCUUCUUCAUGCGAAGUAAGGUCUUCGCUGAUAAUGACUGUCUGCCUGGGCGUGGCCUGGUCGAGGGGGACAGUCUUGGUCCCGUCAUUGCUCUGCAGCUGUGCCUUGUCGUGCUGCUUAUUGGUUGGGCUGGCGGGCGCGGGGACCUCGCGUUGGGCCGUGAGGCAGUGCACGUUUCUUUGACCGGGCACGAAGUCCCGCUCUAUGUUGCGCGCAGUCUGUUGAUUGCCGAAGACUGUGAUGACGCCUAGCGGACCUGGUAUCUUCAUACAUAGGUACAGUCCGUGAAUGGCUGCUUUGAACUUAUUGAUGGAGCCCCGGCCCAUGAUGGCAUUGUAAGGAUAUACCAUGUCCACAAUGUCAAAGGUUAUUUGCUCACUUCGGGCAUUGGGUGCUACACCGAAGGAGAGAGGUAGCUCUAUUUUGCCGACGGGGAAGGUGCCCUUGCCGCCAAAGCCAUACAACGGGUUGUCCGAAGGCUUAAGCAGGCUGUGGCUUAUGCCCAUGCGAUCGAAGGCGUGGAGGAAGAUGAUGUCCGCCUGACUGCCGUUGUCAACUAGGACUUUGUGCAUGUCCCAGCCUGCCACGCUGCAAUUGAUAACCAUGGCGUCGCAGUGGGGGGCGCUGCGCAGGUCGAUGUCUCGUGCGUCGAAGGUUAGCGGUAUGUGGGACCACCUUGUCUGCACGACUGGGCCAGUGACGGCGACAUGGUUGAUGCUGCGGUAGUGGUCCCGCUUCUGCCGCUUGGUGUCGAAGUCGGUGCUGGACCCCCUAGUUAUCAUGUGGAUGACUCCGCGAUAUGGUUGAUCGGCGAAGUCUUCCUGCUUUGGAGCAUGGGGGAUGUUUUGAUGUUGCUGGUGUGGUGGUGGGGGUGGAGGAGGUACGAUUUGUACUUCCUGAUGGUGUUGGUAAGCGUGGUGCGGUGGAUGCGGGGCGGGAGCGUGGAUGUAUGGUGGAGGGGGUUGCUGGUAAUUGUGCGCGACAAUUCUGGGGUUGUCAGCUGGCUGCGCCCGUGCCAUUCUGUCUCUGGUGGCCUUCGUUUCGGGGCAGUCUUUGGUCUGGUGGGCGCAAUCUUCGCCAUGGAAGAGGCAGUAGAAUCGGCGCGGCGGCUGCGCAUGCCCUCGGCCCCUACCACGAGUUCCAUUUCCGCGGCCCUGGGGGGGAUAUUCCUGGUGACGAGGGGGUCAGCAGCGGGAUGCUGGUUGGCGAUGUUGUGCACUUGCUGCUGAUUGCGGCCGUCUCGACCGGAGUCUGGCUGCGGAGUCCUCAUCCACGUGCGGCUGGACUGUGGGGCAUCUUUGGGUUUCCGCUGUGACUCAACCUUGCGCUGGUGGAGCUCCUCAGAUUUGGCAUAUUUUUCAAAGAGUUGAUAUAGCUCCUGGAGGUUCUUGGGCGGAUCUCUGAUACAGUGGCUGUAGAGGACGCCGGCACAAAGGCCACUGAUGGCGUAGUGGAUAGCUAUCUGAUCAUCAACGGAGGGCAGCUGUGACUUGAGUGUUAAAAAUUUGCGGUAAUACUCCCGCAGAGUCUCCUUUUCCAGCUGCUUGCAAAGCGAGAGCUCGGCCAAGGCGUCGGUGUCUGGGCGGUACCCUUGGAAGUUGAGCAGGAACUUGUCCCUGAGACUUCUCCAGGAAUCAAUGGACAGCGGAGGCAAUCUGGUGAACCAGGUGAGAGCUGGGCCCUCUAGGGCGAUGAUGAAAGACUUCGCCAUUGUGGCGUCGUCCCCUCCGGCGGAUGCAACGGCGACCUGAUAACUCAUUAUGUAUUGCGGCGGGUCGGUGCUGCCGUUGUACUUGGGAUAGGUCCCUGCUCGGAAGUUAGCUGGCCAAGGCGUCACUUGCAGGUGUGGCGCCAGGGGACUUCGCUCAUCGAGAUAGUUGACCCCUUGGAAAGGCGCGGCGUGCGGGAAGGUGUGGUCGCGCUGGGGGAAACGCGGGUCCUCCGGUUGCGCGCGGUGUUGCAGGGGUGGCCCAUGCUGCAGGCCGAGGUGGCCUUCGCGCGUGUCUUCGAGUUGUGCGCGCUGCUGGAGGGGUGGCUCGUGCUGCAGGCCGAGGUGGCCUUCGCGCUGCAUCAGCGCAAUCUCCCGCUCGAGUUCCUGGGCCUUCUGCUCUUCGUCGCGUAUCAUUUGCCACACUUUGGCUAGUGCGGACACACGCUGGCGCUUGGCCUCCAGUAUCUCCUUCUGCCUCUGGAGAUUGCGGUUCUUGAGGCGCAGGGCGCGCAACUGUAGCUGUUCUUCUGCUGAGACGCCGAGGACUUCACCGUCCUCGGUGAGGUCCGCGCCCUCCGGUGGUGCGAAGCCUGAGGGUGGCUGCGGUUGUCCCUCAGGGCCGCAGGUGCGGAGAGUGUCGUCUUCGCAGGUGCGAGGAACAUCGUCUUCAGUGGCCUCUUGGUGGGUGGAUUGGGUGAGGGCGAGGGCCUUGCCCUUUCUUGCGGCGAGCAGUGCUGCCUUCACAGCCUCGUCAGCCUUCGGGUUAGCUCUCUUGGGUGCCAUCGCGGGUGGUUUUCUCGUAGCACGAACGGUGGGCGCCAAAUGUUGGAACUUGCUCUCAGCUACAAGGGGAUCCAACAAGGGUGAACAGUGACAUUAACAGGGUGCUCGUGCUAGAUGGCGAUAGCUCCAUUAUUCUGGCCUCUCACGGGCACUGUGCAGGGGUAUUUAUAGGUACCUGAGCGCGCAGCGCCUUGAGCUAAGGACGCAUGUGCCCUCAGCUACCUAGGUUAUCCCCAGAAUAUUCCCAUAAAGCGGGGUUACAGACCGUAAUUACAGGGAUGCCUUUACAAAUUAGGCCCGUAACGCACGGCGGCCACGCGGGGCCCGUUACGAUGGGCCGGAUCGCACGUGGGCCUCUGAGCUGGACGAGGCCGCACUGUGGGAUGCCCUUCGUCGCCGGUCUUCGUCUGGUGCGGAACAAGCGAAGGGUGUCCCUGCCUGUUUUGUUUCUGUUAGCUCAGCUGCUGCAGCGAAGGCUUCGAGCGAAGGGUGGCGCCUUUGCCUUCGCCCCAACAAUAGCCACACUCCGCCUGAUGGCAGGAGGGGGCACCAGAAGCUGAGCCAGAGCCAGCUGAGCCAGCGAGCCCAACACGCUGAAGCUGACGACGCUCGCGGCCGACCAGCCCCGUGUUGUUGAAGUCCGCCCCCUCUGCUAGGCCAGUGGGCACCCUCUCCCCUGAAUGCUGAAGGAGAAGGUGGCCCACUGACCCGUGCGGGAGGUAGAGCUCCGGCUCAGCUCGCCCUCCGCCCAGCAAGGAUGAUGAAGAUUCUUGAAGCUGAGGGCGGGGUAGAGGCUGUAGCCCGGCUUGCUUCUCUCCACCAUCGAACUGGUGGUCACCGUCUUGGGUGACCAUUAGUGAGGAGAUGCAGCCGGGCUGCCUGAUGAAAAUCCUUGAAGCCGAGCGAUGGCUGAAAGGUGCCAACUUCCGCGAAGUUGCGCUCCUCCAACGGCAGCAAGACGAAGGCAACGCGGGCGCUCCCCAUUUGGGGGCUCGGAAGGUGGAAGGGCACAAUGCAUGAAGAGAGUGCGAAGGCGUGGCUGCCACCCAGGGAGCCAUUCCCUUUUUAAAGGCAACUCACCCCACUCGCGUCCUCAGGCGUCGCGGGCUAAGUCUUCACCAACACGCUCAAAGGUCCUCCCCCUACGACACGGGGGCUGGGUCCCACACGACAUGCAAGCUGGCCUAGGACAGAAGAAGCCAAACCGCCGCGCGCGGAGCGUGUAACCGCCCAGCGGUUACAAGCACUCCUCCGUCUUCGCCUAAACCAGUGGGUGAAAGGGCGGACCGCCAAGCAGGCAGCAUGCAAUCGUGCCACGGGGAUGCACCCUUUCGACUUCGACGCGUCCAGCAUGGAGUCCCAGGCCCACAUGUCAUGUAACCGGCGCGCUGGUUACUAUGUGCGAAAACUGCACCGCCACUUGCGCCAGUGUCGCGCCUUCUCGACUGAGGAACUGGUGCCGCGAUUCGAGGCAACCCUGCGCAUGGACCAACAGUGCCAGCCAAGCACGUCGGUCACGGGUCAGUCAGCCGCGGGAGAAGGCGCGACGGUCGAUAUGGCCAGAAGUGGGCCGAUAGUAAUGGCAGCAGCAGGCGAGCGGAAGCGGCGGCCAAAUCGUCUGCAGGCUCACGUCCCCUCCUGGAGCAGCAGGAGAGCCCUCUCCCACGACAUGAAGACGACGCGCCCGUGUUCCGUUCCUCGAACGGCUCGCGCAUGCACAAUGGCUGCCCCACGAACCACUCAUCCCGUUGCAUUAACUCCACGGCAGGGCAGGCGACACCUUUGGCAGGUGAAGCGGGCGACGCUUCACCUCUGCCAUAAUGACCGCGUCAAAAAAAGGUGUGCCACGUCGUUCAAUUUCGUAUCCUUUUCCUCUUCCCCUUUCUCUCUCUUGCUACAGGGACCGGGAAAGGGGAUACUUCGAAAGGGAUCCUUCUCUGCGAAGGAAGCGGGCCCCGAGCCCUCCUACUGAUCAGAGGUUCGAAGGCUAGCCCCUCGGAAGGGUUCGACAGCCGCCUCAGAGCAUUCGGGCUCCGCGCCCACUACUGGUCAGAGGUUCGAAGGCUGGCCCCUCGGAAGGGUUCGACAGCCGCCUCAGGCCACUCGGGCUCCGUGCCCACUAUUGAUCAGGGGUUCAUAGGCUGGCCCCCCGAAGGGUUCGACAGCCGCCUCAGAACAUGCAGAGCGAGGGAUGACUCUGGGUACGUCCGAUACAUGGCCGAGGCUCGGGCUAUGCUCCCGAGGUACCCUAGGACAUUUCCGAGACCAGCAGGAGCGAUUCUGUAACGGAAUCCCAUUAGAGGGAGGCAUCGUGCCCUCGGACCCUAUCAAACGGAACCGGGUCCGGCAAAUCACCUGCAGGUACUUUUGGAGCGCGCCUUUGGGCCACUAGCCGACCCUUAUCGAACGGGGCACGAGCGUCCACUCGGAUCACCCGUUAGCAACUCACUGGAGACACCAUGUUCGGCACCCUCUGAGGGCAACAUGGCGCUUUCCCUCCCUCCUCCUUGCGGAAAGGCGACGAAGGCGCGUAUGAAAAAAGCAGAGUCAGUCCUUGACCGUCCCCUCGCCCUGUGCAGAGGCUCGGGGGCUGCUCUCGCGAACCCGGCUCCGGCCAAACCGUUGACAGCGUCAACAUACCAGCCCGAGAACUCGGAACCUGACCAUGCACCCGGACUACGAUCAGAUCGCAUGAGGGAACAACCAGACUGGCUGAGGCAUCACGAAAGGCACUAAGACCUCGGAGGAGUCAAACCACUCCUCUGAGGCCUUGGGGCUACACCCGGCGGGUGCGCUCACGCGCACCCACCGGAACGAAGUGUAACCGAGAAAGGCCGGUCCCCUUGCAAAAAAGUGCGACAAAGCCUCCAAGCGAGUACCAACACUCCCUUUGAGGCUCGGGGGCUACUAUCGGGGACCAUAAUUAGGGGUACCCCCAAGACUCCUAAACUCGGCUGGUAACCACCAUCAGCACAAAGCUGCAAAGGCCUGAUGGGCGCAAUUCAGGUCAAGGCUCCGUCCACUCAAGGGACACGAUCUCGCCUCGCCCGAGUCCAGCCUCGGGCAGGAACAGUAGACCAAGGCAGAUUCACACCUCGCCCGAGGGCAUCCUCAAGUAACGGGCGCACCUUCGACUCGCCCGAGGCCCAGUUCGGGCAUGCUUCACAGUGAAGCAACCUUGGCCAGAUCGUCGCGCCAACCGACCACAUCGCAGGAGCAUUCAAUGCAAGGAUCGCCUGACACCUUAUCCUGACGCGGGCUCCUCAGUCGACAAGGCCGAAGUGACCGCAGUCACUUCGCCCCUCCAUUGACUGACCUGAUAGGAAAACAGCGUCCCCUGCACUGCUCCGACUGCUGUGCCACCCACCAGGGUGAGGCUGACAGCAGCCAAGUCCAGCCUCGGGCGCCAUAGGAAGCUCCGCCUCGCUCGACCCCAGGGCUCAGACUCAACCUCGACCUCGGACGACGGUCUCCGCCUCGUCCGACCCCAGGGCUCGGACUCAACCUUGACCUCAAACGACGGUCUCCGCCUCGCCCGACCCCAGGGCUUGGACUCAACCUCGACCUCGGACGACGGUCUCCGCCUCGCCCGACCCCAGAGCUCGGACUUAGCCUCGACCUCGGAGGAGCCUCCGCCUCGCCUGACCUUAGGCUCGGACCGACCACGUCGCAGGGGGUACAUCAUUACCCUACCCCUAGCUAGCUCAGGCUACGGGGAACAAGACCGGCAUCCCAUCUGGCUCACCUCGGUAAAACAAGUAAAUGAUGACACCCCGCGUGCUCCAUGACGACGGCGGUUCUCAGCCCCCUACGGAAGCAAGGAGACGUCAGCAAGGUCCCGACAGCCCCGACAGCUGUGCUUCUACAGGGUUCAAGCGCUCCUCCGACGGCCACGACAUCACAUGAACAGGGCACCAACACCUCUCCGACAGCCACGUUGGCAUGUACAUAGGACUCUGGCUCCUCUCUGCCGGACACGUUAGCACACUGCUACACCCCCCAUUGUACACCUGGGCCCUCUCCUUACGUCUAUAAAAGGAAGGUCCAGGGCCCUCGUACGAGAAGGUGGCCGCGCGGGAGGACGGGCUGACGAGCAGGCUCUCUCUCUCCCUUGCGAACGCUUGUAACCCCCUACUGCAAGCGCAUCCGCCCUGGGCGCAGGACAACACGAGCUGUGGUUCCCCUUAUUGUUUUCCCCCUUGUGUUCCAUCUCGCGCCGACCCAUCUGGGCUGGGACACGCAGCGACAAUUUACUCGUCGGUCCAGGGACCCCCCGGGGUCGAAACGCCGACACCAGUGUAGCACCAGACUAUCCGGUGUGCCAUGCGGAGCAAUGGCUAACAGCGCCAACGAUCGUCUACAAAAGGUGAACAGUGAGCUACAGUGCAUGGACAGUUCGCGUAGAAGUCAGAGCAGCGCCAGAAGGCGCACCGGACAGUGAACAGGACCUUUCCGGUGCACCACCGGACUGUCCGGUGGCCCCACAUGUCAGAGCUCCAACGGUCGAACCCUAACGGUUGAGUGACGUGGCUGGCGCACCGGACAGUGUCCAGUGGCGCACCAGACUGUCCGGUGCGACCUUCGACAGCAGCCUUCCCUAAUGGCCACUUUGGUGGUUGGGGCUAUAAAUACCCCCCCAACCACCACACUUCAAGGCAUCCAAGUUUUUAGCCAACACAUUCAAUACAAGAGCUAGUGCAUUCAAUACAAGACACAAAUAAAGUGAAUCAAAAUCUCUCUAAGUCCCAAUUCCACUCAAAGCAAUAGUGACUAGAAGAGAGAAUUUUGUCGUGUUCUUUUGAGCUCUUGCGCUUGGAUCGCUUUUCUUCUUCCCCAUUUCUUGUUCCCAAGUCAUUUGUAAUCAAAGCAAGAGACACCAAUUGUGUGGUGGUACUUGUGAGGACUAAGUGUCCCAAUUGAUUGAGAAGAGAAGCUCACUCGUUCUAGGUGACCGUUUGAGAGAGGGAAAGGGUUGAAAGAGACCCGGUCUUUGUGACCACCUCAACGGGGAGUAGGUUUGCAAGAACCGAACCUCGGUAAAACAAAUCACCGUGUCAUCCGCCUUAUUUGCUUGUGAUUUGUUUUUCGCCCACUCUUUCGGACUCGACUUUAUUUCUAACGCUAACCCCGGCUUGUAGUUGUGCUUAAACUUUAUAAAUUUCAGAUUUGCCUAUUCACCCCCCCUCUAGGCGACUUUCAAUUGGUAUCAGAGCCCGGUACUUCAUUAGAGCCUAACCGCUCAAAGUGAUGUCGGGAGCUCAUGCCAAGAAGGAGAUGGUGACCGGCGAGAAGCCCGCCACAAGCCAUGGGAAAGCUCCAUCGGGAGAGUCCGGCAACAAGAAAAGGGAGGAAUCACCUCCCCGCGUCAAGUCGCACCGGUGUGGCGACAAGAAGAAGAAAAUGAAGAAAGUGGUCUACUACGAAACCGAUUCUUCGUCGCCUUCCACCUCCGGCUCCGACACGUCGUCCGUCACUUCUAAGCGCCAUGAGCGCAAGAAGUUUAGUAAGAUCCCCUUACGCUAUCCUCGCAUUUCCAAACUGAGAGCACCUAGAGGGGGGGUGAAUAGGUGAUCCUGUGAAACUUGAAAACUUAAGCCACAAAACUUGGUUAAUCGUUAGCACAAUAAUUGCCAAGUGGCUAGAGAGGAGUCAAAACACAAUAACCACAAGAAAUCAAUCACAGAGAUGACACGGUGGUUAUCCCGUGGUUCGGCCAAGACCAACGCUUGCCUACUCCACGUUGUGGCGUCCCAACAGACGAGGGUUGCAAUCAACCCCUCUCAAGCGGUCCAAAGACCCACUUGAAUACCACGGUGUUUUGCUUGCUUUUUCUCAAUCCCGUUUGCGAGGAAUCUCCACAACUUGGAGCCUCUCGCCCUUACACUUUAAGAUCACAAAGAAACACGGAGCAAGGGAGGGAUUAGCAACGCACUCAAGAAAUCACAGCAACACCACGCACACAAGUCACAACGAGAGCUCACAAUACAACUCAAUGAGUUCACCACUCAACUAGAGCUCUAAUUGCUAUCGCAAAGAAUCAAAGGCGCGGAAUCGAUGUCUUGGUGCUUAGGAAUGUUGUAGGAAUGCUUGGUAUCCUCCUCCAUGCGCCUAGGGGUCCCUUUUAUAGCCCCAAGGCAGCUAGGAGCCAUUGAGAGCAAUCUAGGAAGGCUGAUCUUGCCUUCUAUCGACUGGCGCACCGGACAGUCCGGUGCACACCGGACAUGUCCGGUGCCCGAUUUCUUUCCAUAAAUGGCACAGUCGACCGUUGGCAGCCAGAGAGCCGUUGGCGCACCGGACAUGUUCGGUGCACACCGGACAGUCCGGUGCCCCCUUCUAGCCGUUGGCUUGGCCACGUGUCCCGCGCAGAUCGCGCGGCCGACCGUUGGCCCGGCCGACCGUUGGCUCACCGGACAGUCCGGUGCACACCGGACAGUCCGGUGAAUUAUAGCCGUACGUCGCCGGUGAAUUCCCGAGAGCGGCCACUUCGCUCGAGCCAGCCUGGCGCACCGAACACUGUCCGGUGCUCCCAGACUCAGCAGAGUCUUGGCUGCUCGAGCCAAGACAUUUACAAUUGGAUUUUUCCUGUUUCCAGCACUUAGACACAAUACAUUAGUCCAUAAAACAAUGUACUAAGUCUGAGAAACAUACCUUUAUCCUUGAUUUGUACUUUGUCCACCUUUUUACACUUAGGCACUUGUGUUGGACACUAAAUCACCAAAAUACUUAGAAAUGGCCCAAGGGCACAUUUCCCUUUCAAUCUCCCCCUUUUUGGUGAUUUAUGCCAACACAACAUAAAGCAAGUAGAACAAGUACAAAAUCAAUUCAACUAAGAACUCAAAAUUGUUUUGAUUCAAAUUUGACAUAUAUGGAUCACUCUAUGCCACCACUUGGUUUGUUUUUGUAAAUCAAACUCAAAUUUCUAUCUCUAAGUCAACCACACAUGUUAAGACAUAAAGAGAGUCAUUCCAAGAGAAAUUGAUUCAAGAUUUCAAAAACUCCCCUUUUUCCCAUAAUCAAUACUUCUCCCCACAAGAAGCCAACUUUUGACAAGAGAGACACUAAAAGAGUUGUGAUAAACCAAAAGCUUUAUUCUACUAUUUUCAAAAUCUCUCAAGUGGUAGCUGAUCCAUUUAUCGCUUUGGCCUUUAUUUUCUCCCCCUUUGGCAUCAAGCACCAAAACGGGAUCAAUCUUGGCCCUUUAACCCCAUUGCCUCACCAAAAUCUUCAGAUAAGAACACAAAGGCAAUAAGAGUACAUGAGAUGAACUUGGAAUAAGUUACCCUCUCAUCGGAGUGCAGUGGAAGUCUUUCAUGGUCCAAGUCCACCGUUUCCCUUUCAAACCUCCUUUGAGACUAAAACAAGUAAACUAAAGCAUAUGAUUAGUCUCAAAGGGUCAAGUUGUAGCACAGCUCCCCCUAAAUAUGUGCAUCACUUGCAAAAAGGACUUGUGAGGUCCAGGGAGUGUUUGUACAACUUGAGCACCACAAGUAAUCAACAAAAUGCAUAAGGAACAUGAUCAAAGGCAUAAAUACAUGUAUGCUAUAAAUCAAUCCAAGUUCCGUGAAUCUAGGACAUUUAGCUCACUACGCAGCCUGCAAAAGGUCUUUUCAUCUAAAGGCUUAGUGAAGAUAUCGACUAGCUGGUUCUCGGUGCUAACAUGAAACACUUCGAUAUCUCCCUUUUGCUGGUGGUCUCUCAAAAAGUGAUGCCGGAUGUCAAUGUGCUUUGUGCGGCUGUGCUCAACAGGAUUUUUCGCUAUUCAGAUAGCACUCUCAUUAUCACAUAGGAGUGGGACUUUGCUCAGAUUGUAGCCAAAGUCCCGGAGGGUUUGCCUCAUCCAAAGUAGUUGCGCGCAACACUGUCCUGCGGCAACAUACUCGGCCUCAGCGGUGGAUAGGGCAACGGAAGUUUGUUUCUUAGAGUUCCACGACACCAGGGACCUUCCUAAGAAUUGGCACGUCCCCGAUGUACUCUUCCUAUCGACCUUACAUCCAGCAUAGUCGGAAUCUGAGUACCCAAUCAAGUCAAAGUUAGACCCCUUUGGAUACCAGAUCCCGAAGCAAGGCGUAGCGACUAAAUAUCGAAGAAUUCGCUUCACAGCCACUAAGUGACACUCCUUAGGAUCGGAUUGAAAUCUAGCACACAUGCAUACGCUAAGCAUAAUAUCCGGUCUACUAGCACAUAAAUAAAGCAAAGAACCUAUCAUGGACCGGUAUGCUUUUUGAUCAACGGACUUACCUCCUUUGUUGAGGUCGGUGUGUCCAUUAGUUCCCAUCGGCGUCUUUGCGGGCUUGGCGUCCUUCAUCCCAAACCGCUUUAGCAAGUCUUGCGUGUACUUCGUUUGGGAGAUGAAAGUGCCGUCCUUGAGUUGCUUCACUUGGAACCCAAGGAAGUAGUUCAACUCGCCCAUCAUCGACAUCUCGAAUUUCUGCGUCAUAACCCUGCUAAACUCUUCACAAGACUUUUGAUUAGUAGAACCAAAUAUUAUGUCAUCGACAUAAAUUUGGCACACAAAAAGAUCACCAUCGCAAGUCUUAGUAAAAAGAGUUGGAUCGGCUUUCCCAACCUUGAAAGCAUUAGCAAUUAAAAAGUCUCUAAGGCAUUCAUACCAUGCUCUUGGGGCUUGCUUAAGUCCAUAGAGCGCCUUAGAGAGCUUACACACGUGGUCGGGGUACCGUUCAUCCUCGAAGCCAGGGGGUUGCUCCACGUACACCUCCUCCUUGAUCGGCCCGUUGAGGAAAGCGCUCUUCACAUCCAUUUGGUACAACCUGAAAGAAUGGUGAGCGGCAUAUGCUAGCAAGAUACGAAUUGAUUCUAGCCUAGCCACAGGAGCAAAAGUCUCCUCAAAGUCCAAACCUGCGACUUGGGCAUAACCUUUUGCCACAAGUCGAGCCUUGUUUCUCGUCACCACCCCGUGCUCGUCCUGUUUGUUGCGGAACACCCACUUGGUUCCCACAACAUUUUGCUUGGGACGAGGCACCAGUGUCCAAACUUCAUUGCGCUUGAAAUUGUUGAGUUCCUCCUGCAUGGCCAACACCCAGUCCGGAUCUAGCAAGGCCUCUUCUACCCUGAAAGGCUCAAUAGAAGAGGCCCGUGUUUUGCUUGCUUUUUCUCAAUCCCGUUUGCGAGGAAUCUCCACAACUUGGAGCCUCUCGCCCUUACACUUUAAGAUCACAAAGAAACACGGAGCAAGGGAGGGAUUAGCAACGCACUCAAGAAAUCACAGCAACACCACGCACACAAGUCACAACGAGAGCUAACAAUACAACUCAAUGAGUUCACCACUCAACUAGAGCUCUAAUUGCUAUCGCAAAGAAUCAAAGGCGAGGAAUCGAUGUCUUGGUGCUUAGGAAUGUUGUAGGAAUGCUUGGUAUCCUCCUCCAUGCGCCUAGGGGUCCCUUUUAUAGCCCCAAGGCAGCUAGGAGCCGUUGAGAGCAACCUAGGAAGGCUGAUCUUGCCUUCAAUCGACUGGCGCACCGGACAGUCCGGUGCACACCGGACAUGUCCGGUGCCCGAUUUCUUUCCAUAAAUGGCACAGUCGACCGUUGACAGCCAGAGAGCCGUUGGCGCACCGGACAUGUCCGGUGCCCCCUUCUAGCCGUUGGCUUGGCCACGUGUCCCGCGCAGAUCGUGCGGCCGACCGUUGGCUCGGCCGACCGUUGGCUCACCGGACAGUCCGGUGCACACCGGACAGUCCGGUGAAUUAUAGCCGUACGUCGCCGGUGAAUUCCCGAGAGCGGCCACUUCGCUCGAGCCAGCCUGGCGCACCGGACACUGUCCGGUGCACCACCAGACAGUCCGGUGCACCAAGACUCAGCAGAGUCUUGGCUGCUCGAGCCAAGACAUUUACAAUUGGAUUUUUCCUGUUUCUAGCACUUAGACACAAUACAUUAGUCCAUAAAACAAUGUACUAAGUCUGAGAAACAUACCUUUAUCCUUGAUUUGUACUUUGUCCACCUUUUUACACUUAGGCACUUGUGUUGGACACUAAAUCACCAAAAUACUUAGAAAUGGCCCAAGGGCACAUUUCCCUUUCACAAACGCACUCCUUUACUUUCCGUCCCACUAGGCAAACCACCAGUUUUUAACGGUGAGGAUUAUUGUAUGUGGAGUGAUAAAAUGAGGCACCAUCUAACCUCACUCCACACUAGCAUUUGGGACAUUGUUGAAUUUGGAGCGCAGGAACCAUCCGUGGGGGAUGAAGGCUAUGACUCGAAUGAGGUAGCCCAAAUUCGGCACUUCAACUCCCAAGCCACUACUAUACUCCUGAGAGCACCUAGAGGGGGGGGGGGUGAAUAGGUGAUCCUGUAAAAACUUGAAACUUAAUGCCACAAAACUUGAUUAGGAGUUAGCACAAUAAAGCCAAGUGGCUAGAAAGGAGUUCUUGCAAAACACAAUAACCACAAAGAUAUCAACACAGAGAGGCACAGUGGUUUAUCCCGUGGUUCGGCCAAGUCAACACUUGCCUACUCCACGUUGUGGCGUCCCAACGGACGAGGGUUGCAAUCAACCCCUCUCAAGUGAUCCAAUGAUCCACUUGAAUACCAUGGUGUUUCUUUUCCUUUCACUAUAUCCCGUUUGCGAGGAAUCUCCACAACUUGGAGUCUCUCGCCCUUACAAAAGAUGAUCACAAAUGAACAUGGAAGUAAGGAUGGGAUGAGCAACACACACAAGUCCACAGCAAAUACGCACACACAUGGUCAAGACUUGAGCUCUAAUGAAUAUCACAAAGUUCUCACUAGAACGGAGCUCAAAUCACUAAGAAAGUCAAACGAGUGCGUAAAUACGAAGUGUGAGUGAUCAAGAAUGGUCAAAGUGUGCUUGGUGUACUCCUCCAUGCGCCUAGGGGUCCCUUUUAUAGCCCCAAGGCAGCUAGGAGCCGUUGAGAGCAUUCCAGGAAGGCAAUUCUUGCCUUCUGUCGACUGGCGCAUCGGACAGUCCGGUGCACCACCGGACACUGUCCGGUGCGGAUUUCUUUCCUAUUUUGGCACAGCCGACCGUUGGCGAUUUGGAGCCGUUGGCGCACCGGACAGUCCGAUGCCCCCUUCAGACCGUUGGCCCGGCCACGCGUCACGCGCGGAUUGCGCGGCCGACCGUUGGCUUGGCCGACCGUUGGCUCACCGGACAGUCCGGUGCACACCGGACAGUCCGGUGAAUUUUAGCCGUACGCCGCCGACGAAUUCUCGAGAGCGGCCUUUUCACCAGAGCCAGCCUGGCGCACCGGACACUGUCUGGUGCACCACCGGACAGUCCGGUGCACCUAGACUGAGCAGAGUCUUGGCUGCUCGAGCCAAGUCUUUUCCAAUUGUCUUUUCUCUGAUUCUAGCACUUAGACAAAUAUGUUAGUACACAAAAACCAAUGUACUAAGUCUAGAAUCAUACCUUUGUAUUGAUUUGCACUUUGUCCACCCUUUGGCAUAUACUCAUUCCCUUAAUGUGUGUUGGGCACUUAAUCACCAAAAUCUUAUAGAAAUGGCCCAAGGGCACAUUUCCCUUUCAAUCUCCCCCUUUUUGGUGAUUUAUGCCAACACAACAAAAAGCAACUAAAAGAAGUGCAACAUCAAUGCACAUAAGAACACAAAUUUGUUUUGAUUCAAAUUUGGCAUAUUUGGAUCAUUCUUUGCCACCACUUGAUUUGUUUUUGCAAAUCAAACUCAAUUUCCUAUCUCUAAGUCAAAUUCACUUGUUGAGUCAUAGAGAAAGAUAUUCCAAGAGAAAUUGAUCACUAAUUCAAAAACUCCCCCCUAUUUCCCAUAAUCAAACAUUCCCAUAAUCAAACAUUCUCCCCACAAGAGACCAACUCUUGACAAAAAAGAGAUAAUAAGAAUUUUGACAAAUCAACAAGUUCUAACUCUACUAUUUUCAGAAUUCUCAAGUGGUAGCUGAUCCAUUUGUUGCUUUGGCCCUUAAUUUCUCCCCCUUUGGCAUCAAGCACCAAAACGGGAUCAUUUUUUGGCCUUUUAACCCCAUUGCCUCAUCAAAAUCUUCAACUAAGAGUAAAAAGGCAAUAAGAGUAUGAAGAUGAAAUUGGAGUUAGUUACUUUUUCAUCGGCGUGCAGUGGAAGUCUUUCAUGGUCCAAGUCCAACAUUCCCUUUCAAUCCACCUUUGAGACUAAAUCAAGCAAACUCAAGCACACAGUUAGUCUCAAAGGGUCAAGUUGUAGCACAUCUCCCCCUAAAUAUGUGCAUCACUUGCAAAUGGACUUGUGAGGUCCGGGGAGUGUUUGUACAACUUGAGCACCAUAAAUAAACAACAAAAUGCAUAAGGAUCAUGAUCAAGGCAUAAAACACAUGUAUGCUAUAAAUCAAUCCAGGUUCCGCGAAUCUAAGACAUUUAGCUCACUACGCAGCCUGCAAAAGGUCUUCUCAUCUAGAGGCUUGGUAAAGAUAUCGGCUAGCUAGUUCUCGAUGCUAACAUAAAACACUUCGAUAUCUCCCUUUUGCUGGUGGUCUCUCAAAAAGUGAUGUCGGAUGUCUAUGUGUUUUGUGCGGCUGUGUUCAACAGGAUUGUCCGCCAUGCGGAUAGCACUCUCAUUAUCACAUAGGAGUGGGACUUCGCUCAGAUUGUAGCCAAAGUCCCGGAGGGUUUGCCUCAUCCAAAGUAGUUGCGCGCAACACUGUCCUGCGGCAACAUACUCGGCCUCAGCGGUGGAUAGGGCAACAGAAGUUUGUUUCUUAGAGCUCCACGACACCAGGGACCUUCCUAAGAAUUGGCACGUCCCCAAUGUACUCUUCCUAUCGACCUUACAUCCAGCAUAGUCGGAGUCUGAAUAUCCAAUCAAGUCAAAGGUAGACCCCUUUGGAUACCAGAUCCCGAAGCAGGGCGUAGCGACUAAAUAUCUAAGAAUUCGCUUCACGGCCACUAAGUGACACUCCCUUGGAUCGGAUUGAAAUCUAGCACACAUGCAUACGCUAAGCAUAAUAUCCGGUCUACUAGCACAUAAAUAAAGUAAAGACCCUAUCAUAGACCGGUAUGCUUUUUGAUCAACGGACUUACCUCCUUUGUUGAGGUCGACGUGUCCGUCAGUUCCCAUUGGAGUCUUUGUGGGCUUGGCGUCCUUCAUCCCAAACCGCCUUAGCAAGUCUUGUGUGUACUUCGUUUGGGAGAUGAAGGUGUCGUCCUUGAGUUGCUUCACUUGGAACCCAAGGAAGUAGUUCAACUCGCCCAUCAUCGACAUCUCGAAUUUCUGCGUCAUCACCCUGCUAAACUCUUCACAAGACUUUUGGUUAGUAGAACCAAAUAUUAUGUCAUCGACAUAAAUUUGGCACAUAAAUAAGUCACCAUCACAAGUCUUAGUGAAUAAAGUUGGAUCGGCUUUCCCAACCUUGAAAGCAUUAGCAAUUAAAAAGUCUCUAAGGCAUUCAUACCAUGCUCUUGGGGCUUGCUUAAGUCCAUAGAGCGCCUUAGAGAGCUUACACACAUGGUCGGGGUACCGUUCAUCCUCAAAGCUAGGGGGUUGCUCCACGUACACCUCCUCCUUGAUUGGCCCGUUGAGGAAAGCGCUCUUCACAUCCAUUUGGAACAACCUGAAAGAAUGGUGAGCGGCAUAGCUAACAAAAUGCGAAUGGACUCUAGCCUAGCCACAGGAGCAAAAGUCUCCUCAAAGUCCAAACCUGCGACUUGGGCAUAACCUUUUGCCACAAGUCAUGCCUUGUUCCUUGUCACCACCCCGUGCUCGUCUUGUUUGUUGCAAAACACCCACUUGGUUCCCACAACGUUUUGCUUGGGACGAGGCACCAGUGUCCAAACUUCAUUUCGCUUGAAGUUGUUGAGCUCUUCCUGCAUGGCCAACACCCAGUCCGGAUCUAGCAAGGCCUCUUCUACCCUGAAAGGCUCAAUAGAAGAGACAAAAGAGUAAUGCUCACAAAAAUUAACUAAUCUAGAGCGAGUAGUUACUCCCUUGCUAAUGUCACCCAAAAUUUGGUCGACGGGAUGAUUCCUUUGAAUCGUUGCUCGAACUUGAGUUGGAGGUGCCGGUUGUGCUUCUUCCUCCAUAACAUGAUCAUCUUGUGCUCCCCCUUGAUCACGCGCCUCUUCUUGAUGAACCUGUUCAUCGUCUUGAGUUGGGGGAUGCACCAUUAUUGAGGAAGAAGGUUGAUCUUGCUCCUUUUGUUCCUGUGGUCACACAUCGCCAAUCGCCAUGGUACGUAUUGCGGCCGUUGGAACGUCUUCUUCAUCUACAUCAUCAAGAUCAACAACUUGCUCUCUUGGAGAGCCAUUAGUCUCAUCAAAUACAACGUCACUAGAGACUUCAACCAAACCCGAUGAUUUGUUGAAGACCCUAUACGCCUUUGUAUUUGAGUCAUAACCUAACAAAAACCCUUCUACAGCUUUGGGAGCAAAUUUUGAAUUUCUACCUUUCUUCACCAGAAUGUAGCAUUUACUCCCAAAAACUCGAAAAUAUGAAACGUUGGGUUUGUUAUCGGUUAGAAGCUCGUAUGAUGUCUUCUUGAGGAGGCGAUGAAGGUAGACCCGGUUUAUGGCGUGGCAAGCCGUGUUCACGGCUUCCGACCAAAACCGCUCGGGGGUCUUGAACUCUCCAAGCAUCGUCCUUGCCAUAUCGAUGAGCGUCCUGUUCUUCCUCUCUACCACACCAUUUUGCUGUGGUGUCUAGGGAGCGGAGAACUCGUGCUUGAUUCCUUCCUCCUCAAGGUACUCUUCUACUUGAAGAUUCUUGAACUCUGACCCGUUGUCGCUCCUUAUCUUCUUCACCUUGAGCUCAAACUCAUUUUGAGCUCUCCUUAGGAAGCGCUUGAGGGUCCCUUGGGUUUCAGAUUUGUCCUGCAAAAAGAAUACCCAAGUGAAGCAGGAAAAAUCAUCAACAAUUACUAAACCAUACUUACUUCCCCUAAUGCUGAGGUAGGCGACGGGUCCGAAGAGGUCCAUAUGCAGCAGCUCCAGGGGUCUUGAUGUGGUCAUCACAUUCUUGCUGUGAUGCAUACUUCCCACUUGUUUACCUGCUUGACAAGCUGCACAAGGUCUAUCUUUUUCGAAAUGCACAUUUGUUAGACCUAUCACAUGUUCUCCCUUUAGAAGUUUGUGAAGGUUCUUCAUCCCCACAUGUGCUAGACGACGAUGCCAUAACCAGCCCAUGCUAGUCUUAGCAAUUAAGCAUGCAUCUAGACCGGCCUCCUCUUUUGCAAAAUCAACUAAAUAAAGUUUGUUGUCUAAUACACCCUUAAAAGCUAAUGAACCAUCACUUCUUCUAAAGACAAACACAUCUACAUUUGUGAAUAAGCAAUUAUAUCCCAUAUUACAUAAUUGACUAACGGACAACAAAUUAUACCCGAGCGAUUCAACUAAAAACACAUUAGAGAUAGAAUGCUCGGAAGAAAUAGCUAUUUUUCCUAGUCCUUUAACCUUGCCUUGAUUCCCGUCACCGAAUAUGAUUGAGUCUUGGGAAUCUUUGUUCUUGACGUAGGAGGUGAACAUCUUCUUCUCCCCCGUCAUGUGGUUUGUGCAUCCGCUGUCGAUAAUCCAGCUUGAUCCCCCGGAUGCAUAAACCUGCAAGGCAAAUUAGGCUUGGGUCUUAGGUACGCAACUCUUGUUGGGUCCUACAAGGUUAGUAACAAUAGCCUUAGGGACCCAAAUGCAAGUCUUGUCUCCCUUGCAUUUGGCCCCCACCUUCUUAGCAAUCACCUUUUUAUUUUUGCAUGAAAGAACAAAUCUAGUAUUGCAUGCAAGAAAUACAGUGGUAGAUUCAUUACAAACUUUCCUAGGAGCAUGAACAAUAUUUUUCCUAGGCAUAUUUCUACCAUACACAUUAGCGGAACCUGAAGCAAUCAUGGCAUGUGAAACAAAAGCAUUAUAACUUCUAUUAUAAUGAACAUCCCUAGAAUGUCUCCUAUCAUGGUACAUGAAAGCAUGGUUCUUUUGAACACUAUUUGCCAUAGGGGCCUUCCCUUUCUCCUUGGCGGAGAUGGGAGCCUUAUGACUUGUCAAGUUCUUGGCUUCCCUCUUGAAGCCAAGCCCAUCCUUAAUUGAGGGGUGUCUACCAAUCGUUAGGCAUCCCUUGCAAAUUUUAGUUUAUCAAAUUCAUUUUUGCUAGUCUUAAGUUGAGCAUUAAGACUAGCCACUUCAUCAUUUAAUUUAGAAAUUGAAACUAGGUGUUCACUACAAGCAUCAAUAUUGGAAUCUUUACACCUAUUGCAAAUCAUAACAUGUUCUAUACAGGAGGUUGAUUUACUAGCUAUUUCUAACUUAGCAUUCAAGUCAUCAUUGAUACUCUUUAAGCUAGAAAUAGAUUCAUGGCAUGUAGACAAUUCAUAUGAAAGCAUUUCAUUUCUUUUAACUUCUAAAGCAAGAGAAUUUUGUGCACUUACAAAUUUAUCAUGCUCUUCAUAUAAAAGAUCUUCUUGAUUUUCUAAAAGUCUAUUUUUCUCAUUCAAUGCAUCAAUUAAUUCAUUGAUUUUAUCAAUUUUAGUUCUAUCUAACCCUUUGAAUAAACUAGCAUAGUCUACUUCAUCAUCGCUAGAUUCGUCAUCACUUGAAGAGGCAUAUGUAGUAGCAUUUCGAGUACUUAUCUUCUUCUCCUUUGCCAUGAGGCAGGUGUGAUGCUCGUUGGGGAAGAGAGACGAUUUGUUGAAGGCGGUGGCGGCGAGUCCUUCGUUGUCGGAGUCGGACGAAGAGCAAUCCUAAUCCCACUCCUUUCCAAGGUGUGCCUCGCCUUUAGCCUUCUUGUAGACCUUCUUGUUCUCUCUUUUCCCAUUCUUUCCUUGUUCCUGGUCACUAUCAUUAUCGGGACAGUUAGCUAUAAAGUGACCAAUCUUACCACACUUGAAGCAGGAGCGCUUUCCCUUCAUCUUGCUCUUUUUGGGAUGCUCCUUGCGACCCUUUAGUGCCGUCUUGAAGCGCUUGAUGAUGAGGGCCAUUUCUUCCUCAUUGAGCCCCACCGCCUCAACUUGUGCCACCUUGCUAGGUAGCGCCUCCUUGCUAUUUGUUGCCUUGAGAGCAAUGGCUUGAGGCUCAUGAAUUGGACCAUUCAAUGCCUCAUCGACGUAUCUUGCCUCCUUGAUCAUCAUCCGCCCGCUUACGAACUUUCCAAGUAUUUCUUCGGGUGACAUCUUGGUGUACCUAGGAUUUUCACAAAUAUUGUUUACAAGAUGUGGAUCAAGGACAGUGAAAGACCUUAGCAUUAGGCGGACGACGUCGUGGUCCGUCCAUCGCGUGCUUCCAUAGCUCCUUAUUUUGUUGACGAGGGUCUUGAGCUUGUUGUAUGUUUGGGUUAGCUCCUCCCCCUGAUCAUUGCGAACCUUCCUAGUUCGCCUUCCACCAAUUCCAUCUCGGUGAGCAUGGUGACGUCAUUCCCCUCAUGCGAGAUCUUGAGGGUGUCCCAAAUCUGCUUGGCGUUAUCCAAGCCGCUCACCUUAUGGUAUUCAUCCCUGCACAAUGAUGCUAAAAGAAUAGUAGUAGCUUGUGCAUUUUUGUGAAUUUGCUCAUUGAUAAAUAUGGGACUAUCCGUACUAUCAAAUUGCAUUCCAUUCUCUACUAUCUCACAUAUACUUGGAUGGAGAGAGAACAAGUGACUACACAUUUUGUGACUCCAAAAUCUGUAGUCCUCUCCAUCAAAGUGAGGAGGUUUGCCAAGUGGAAUGGAAAGCAAGUGAGCAUUUGAACUUUGCGGAAUACGAGAAUAAUCGAAAGAAAAGUUCGAGUUAACCGUUUUCUUUUUCUCCUCGUAUUCGUCGUCCUUUUGGGAAGAGGAAGACUCGUCGCUGUCAUAGUAGACUAUCUUCUUGAUCCGCCUCUUCUUCUUCACGUCCUUCUUCUUUUGACUCAAGCCAGAGUCAUUGGCUUUGUCAUCCCUCGGCUCGUUGAAGAUGGACUCCUUCUCCUUAUCGUUGACCACCAUCCCCUUUCCCUUAGGAUCCAUCUCUUCGGGCGAUUAGUCCCUUUGUGAAGAGAAUGGCUCCGAUACCAAUUGAGAGCACCUAGAGGGGGGGUGAAUAGGUGAUCCUAUAAAAACUUGAAACUUAAUGCCACAAAACUUGAUUAGGAGUUAGCACAAUAAAGCCAAGUGGCUAGAAAGGAGUUCUUGCAAAACACAAUAAUCACAAAGAUAUCAACACAGAGAGGCACAGUGGUUUAUCCCGUGGUUCGGCCAAGUCAACACUUGCCUACUCCACGUUGUGGCGUCCCAAUGGACGAGGGUUGCAAUCAACCCCUCUCAAGUGAUCCAACGAUCCACUUGAAUACCAUGGUGUUUCUUUUCCUUUCACUAUAUCCUGUUUGCGAGGAAUCUCCACAACUUGGAGUCUCUCGCCCUUACAAAAGAUGAUCACAAAUGAACACGGAAGUAAGGAUGGGAUGAGCAACACACACAAGUCCACAGCAAAUACGCACACACACGGUCAAGACUUGAGCUCUAAUGAAUAUCACAAAGUUCUCACUAGAACGGAGCUCAAAUCACUAAGAAAGUCAAACGAGUGCGUAAAGACGAAGUGUGAGUGAUCAAGAAUGCUCAAAGUGUGCUUGGUGUACUCCUCCAUGCGCCUAGGGGUCCCUUUUAUAGCCCCAAGGCAGCUAGGAGCCGUUGAGAGCAUUCCAGGAAGGCAAUUCUUGCCUUCUGUCGACUGGCGCACCGGACUGUCCGGUGCACCACCGGACACUGUCCGGUGCGGAUUUCUUUCCUAUUUUGGCGCAACCGACCGUUGGCGAUUUGGAGCCGUUGGCGCACUGGACACUGUCCGGUGCACACCGGACAGUCCGGUGCCCCCUUCAGACCGUUGGCCCAGCCACACGUCACACGCGGAUUGCGCGGCCGACCGUUGGCUUGGCCGACCGUUGGCUCACCGGACAGUCCGGUGAAUUUUAGCCAUACGCCGCCGACGAAUUCCCGAGAGCGGCCUUUUCACCAGAGCCAGCCUGGCGCACUGGACACUGUCCGGUGCACCUAGACUGAGCAGAGUCUUGGCUGCUCGAGUCAAGUCUUUUCCAAUUGUCUUUUCUCUGAUUCUAGCACUUAGACAAAUAUUUUAGUACACAAAAACCAAUGUACUAAGUCUAGAAUCAUAUCUUUGUAUUGAUUUGCACUUUGUCCACCCUUUGGCAUAUACUCAUUCCCUUAAUGUGUGUUGGGCACUUAAUCACCAAAAUCUUAUAGAAAUGGCCUAAGGGCACAUUUCCCUUUCAACUCCUCGCCUCUCUAAGUCGAGAGGAGUAUAAUAAGGUGCAAGGGUUGAAGAGUGCCAAAGAGAUUUGGGACGUGCUCAAGACCGCGCACGAAGGAGAUGAGGUUACCAAGAUCACCAAGCAGGAAACGAUCGAGGGGGAGCUCAGUCGAUUUAUGCUCAACCAAGGAGAGGAGCCACAAGCCAUGUACAACUGACUCAAGACCUUGGUGAACCAAGUGCGCAACCUCGGGAGACCAAAUGGGAUGAUCAUGAAAUGGUCAAGGUUAUUCUUAGAUCACUCGUUUUUCUUAACCCUACUCAAGUUCAAUUAAUUUGUGGUGAUCCUAGAUAUAAACUAAUGUCUCCCGAGGAAGUGAUAGGAAAGUUUGUGAUCUUUGAAUUGAUGAUCAAAGGCUCCAAACAAAUCAUCGAGCGAGGCGCCACCUCCACAUCCGAGGUGCAACCCGUUGCCUUCAAAGCAACGGAGGAGAAGAAAGAAGAGUCUACAUCAAGUAGGCUCCCCAUCGACACCUCCAAGCUCGAUAAUGAGGAGAUGGCGCUCAUCAUCAAGAGCUUCCGCCAAAUCCUCAAGCAAAGGAGGGGGAAGGAUUACAAGUCCCGCUCCAAGAAAGGUUGCUACAAGUGUGGUAAGCCCGGUCAUUUCAUUGCUAAAUGUCCAUUAUCAAGUGAUAGUGACAAGGGCGACGAUAAGAAGGGAAGAAGGAAGGAGAAGAAGUACUAUAAGAAGAAGGGCGGCGAUGCCCAUGUUUGCCGGGAGUGGGACUCCGAUGAGAGCUCCACCGACUCUUCCUCCGAUGAGGACACCACAAACAUCGCCGUCAACAAGGGUCUCCUCUUCCCCAACGUCGGCCACAAAUGCCUCAUGGCAAAAGACGGCAAAAAGAAGGUAAAAUCUAGAGCCUCCACUAAAUAUGCAACAUCCAGUGAUGAGGAUAACUCUAGUGAUGAUGAGGAUAAUUUACUUGCCCUUUUUGCCAACCUAAACAUGCAACAAAACGAAAAAUUAAAUGAGUUGAUAGGUUCUAUUCAUGAGAAGGAUGAACUCUUGGAUAGCCAAGAGGACUUCCUAAUUAAAGAAAAUAAGAAGCAUGUUAAGAUUAAGAAUGCUUAUGCUCAAGAGAUAGAAAAAUGUGAAAACUUGACUAGUGAGCUAAGCACUUGCCAUGAUAUUAUCUCAAACCUUAAAAAUUAAAAUGCAAAAUUAAUUGCUAAGGUUGAGAAGUUAGAUAUUUGUGAUGAUUCAAUUGUUAGUCUUAGAAAUGAUAAUGCUAGUUUGAUUACUAAGAUUGACAAGUUGAAUGCAUCACUCUCUAGCCUUAAAAUUGAGAAUGAAAAAUUAAUUGCUAAGGCUAAAGAUUUAAAUGUUUGAAAUAUUUCUAUUUCCAAUCUUAGAGAUGAGAUUGCUAUUUUACAUGCUAAUAUUGAUGAAUUAAAUGCUUGCAAACCCUCUACAUCUACCAUUGAGCAUGUUACUAUUUGUACCAGAUGUAGAGACAUUAAUGUUGAUGCUAUUCAUGAUGACCUAGCCUUAAUUAAACAACAAAAUGUUUUAUUCUUGUUAAAAGAGGUAGAAAAUCUAAAUUUGCUCCUAAGGUUGUAGAAGGUUUUUUACUUGGUUAUGACUCAAACACAAGGGCAUAUAGAGUCUUUAACAAGUCCACUGGACUAGUUGAAAUUUCUUGUGACAUUGUGUUUGAUGAGACUAAUGGCUCUCAAGUAGAGCAAGUUGAUCUUGAUGAGCUAGAUGAUAAAGAGGCUCCGUGCGUCGGGCUAAGGAACAUGUCCAUUGGGGAUGUGUGCCCUAAGGAAUCCGAAGAGCCUCCACAUGCACAAGAUCAACCAUCAUCUUCAAAUCAAGCAUCUCCACCAACCCAAGAUGAGGAUCAAGCUCAAGAUGAUGAAAAUGAAGAUCAAGAAGAGCCACCUCAAGAGGAAGACAAUGAUCAAGGGGGAGAUGCUAAUGAUCAAGACAAGGAAGAUGAUGAGGGUCCAAGACUGCCACACCCAAGAGUCCACCAAGCGAUACAACGAUAUCACCCCGUGAACUCCAUCCUCAGCGAUAUUCAUAAGGGGGUAACCACUCGAUCUCGUGUUGCUCAUUUUUGUGAACAUUACUCCUUUGUGUCUUCUAUUGAGCCAUACAGGGUGGAAGACGCAUUAAGGGAUUCGGAUUGGGUGUUGGCAAUGCAAGAGGAACUCAACAACUUCACGAGGAAUGAGGUAUGGCAUCUUGUUCCACGUCCUAACCAAAAUGUUGUAGGAACCAAAUGGGUUUUCCGCAACAAGAAAGAUGAGCAUGGUGUGGUGACAAGGAACAAAGCCCGACUUAUGGCCAAGGGAUAUUCACAAGUCGAAGAUUUGGAUUUCGGUGAAACCUAUGCACCCGUAGCUAGGCUUGAGUCAAUUCGUAUAUUACUUGCCUAUGCUACUUACCAUGGCUUUAAGCUUUAUCAAAUGGACGUGAAAAGUGCCUUCCUCAAUGGACCAAUCAAGGAAGACGUCUAUAUUGAGCAACCUCCCAGCUUUGAAGAUAGUGAGUACCCUAACCAUGUGUAUAAACUCUCUAAGGCGCUUUAUAGGCUCAAGCAAGCCCCAAGAGCAUGGUAUGAAUGCCUAAGAGAUUUUCUUAUCGCUAAUGGCUUCAAAGUCAGAAAAGCCGAUCCUACUCUCUUUACUAAAACAAUUGCAAAUGAUUUGUUUGUAUGCCAAAUUUAUGUUGAUGAUAUCAUAUUUGGGUCUACUAACAAAUCUACAUGUGAAGAGUUUAGUAGGAUCAUGGUUCAAAAAUUCGAGAUGUCUAUGAUGGGGGAGUUGAAGUAUUUUCUAGGAUUUCAAGUGAAGCAACUCCAAGAGGGCACCUUCAUCAGCCAAACGAAGUACAUUCAAGACAUACUCACCAAGUUUGGGAUGAAGGAUGCCAAGCCCAUCAAGACACCCAUGGGAACCAAUGGGCAUCUCGACCUCGACACGGGAGGUAAAUCUGUAGAUCAAAAGGUAUACCGGUCGAUGAUAGGAUCUCUACUCUAUUUAUGUGCAUCUCGACCGGACAUUAUGCUUUCCGUAUGCAUGUGUGCAAGAUUCCAAGUCGAUCCUAAGGAAGGUCACCUUAGGGCCGUAAAACGAAUCUUGAGAUAUUUAGUUCAUACUCCUAAGUUUGGUCUUUGGUACCCUAAGGGAUCCACUUUUGAUUUAAUAGGGUAUUCAGAUGCUGAUUGGGCAGGGUGUAAACAUGAUAGAAAGAGCACAUCAGGGACUUGUCAGUUCUUGGGAAGAUCCCUGGUGUCUUGGGCUCCAAAGAAACAAAAUUCUGUAGCUCUUUCUACCGCCGAAGCCGAGUACAUUGUCGUAGGUCAUUGUUGCGCGCAAUUGCUUUGGAUGAGGCAAACCCUUAGGGAAUAUGGUUACAAAUUAACCAAAGUUCCUCUCCUAUGUGAUAAUGAGAGUGCAUCCGCAUGGCGGAUAAUCCCGUUGAGCACAGUCGCACUAAGCACAUAGCCAUUCGGUAUCACUUUUUGAGAGAUCACCAACAAAGGGGGAUAUCGAGAUUGCAUAUGUUAGCACCAAAGAACAAUUAGCCGAUAUAUUUACCAAGCCAUUAGAUGAGAAAACUUUUACCAAACUUAGACAUGAGCUAAACAUUCUUGAUUCUAGGAAUUUUGAUUGAUAUUUUGCACACAUAGCUCAUUUAUAUACCUUUGAUCAUAUCUCUUUCAUGUGCUAUGACUAAUGUGUUUUUCAAGUGUAUUUCAUGCUAAGUCAUAGAUUGAAAGGGAAAUGGAGUCUUCGGCGAAGACAAGGCUUCCACUCCACUCCAUCGUAUUAUUCAUCCUUCGUCGUCACUCCACACCGCUCUCCAAUUUGGUAUAAUCUUCACUCAUAUAUUGUUUGCCAAAGGGAGAGAAAGUAAUGAGGGGCUUAUAUUUCACCCAAAGUAUCCGUUUUUGGCGAUUCAUGCCAAAGGGGGAGAAAGUAUUCGCCCAAAGCAAAAGGACCACACCACCACCAAUUUCAAAAAUGUAGUCUUUCAAGUUGUAUUAAAGAAUUCAAGUUGUAUUAAAGAAGUUUUUCAAUUGGUAUCUUAUUUUUGAUAUAAUUUCAAAUUGGUAUGACCUCUUUCAAAAUUAAUAUCUAAAACCCUCUUGAACACUAAGAGGAGAAUUUCAUUAAGGGGGAGUUUUGUUUAGGAAAAACAUUUGAAACAGUGGGAGAAAAUUUCAAAUCUUAAAAUGCUUCUCGAAAUCUUAUUUAUAUACCUUUGACUAUUUGCAAAAAGACUUUGAAAAGAAUUUCCAAAAGAUUUUGCAAAAACAAAACAAGUGGUGCAAGCAUGGUCCAAAAUGUUAAAAUGAAGAAAGCAAUCCAUGCAUAUCUUAUGAAAUGUAAAUUGGUUUAAUUCCAAGCAACCUUUGCACUUACAUUAUGCAAACUAGUAUAAUUCUGCACUUAUAUAUUUGCUUUGGUUUGUGUUGGCAUCAAUCACCAAAAAGGGGGAGAUUGAAAGGGAAAUAUGGUCAAACCUUUUCCUAAAUGAUUUUGGUGGUUGAAUUGCCCAACACAAAUAAUUGGACUAACUAGUUUGCUCUAGAUUAUAAGUUCUACAGGUGCCAAAGGUUCAACACAAACCAAUAAAAAGUCCAAGAAAGGGUUCAAAAAAAAGAGCAAAAGACAACCGAAGGCUGCCAUGGUUUGGCGCACCGGACAGUGUCCGGUGCACUAGGGUGGAUCAACUCCAACUUGCUAGCUUUGGGUUUUCGGGGAGCCUCUCCUCUAUAAUUCACCGGACUGUCCGGUGUGCCAUGCGGAGCAACGGCUAACAGCACCAACAGUCAUCUGUAAAAGGUGAAGAGUGAGCUACAGUGUGUGAACAGUUCACGCAGAAGUCAGAGCAGCGCCAGAAGGCGCACCGGACAGUGAACAGGACCGGUCCGGUGCACCACCGGACUGUCCGGUGGCCCCACAUGUCAGAGCUCCAACGGUCGAACCCUAACGGUUGGGUGAUGUGGCUGGCGCACCGGACCCUUCGACAGCAGCCUUCCCUAACGGCCACUUUGGUGGUUGGGGCUAUAAAUACCCCCAACCACCACACUUCAAGGCAUCCAAGUUUUCAGCCAACACAUUCAAUACAAGAUCUAGUGCAUUCAAUACAAGACACAAAUAGAGUGAAUAAAAAUCUCUCUAAGUCCCAAUUCCACUCAAAGCAAUAGUGACUAGAAGAGAGAAUUUUGUCGUGUUCUUUUGAGCUCUUGCGCUUGGAUCGCUUUUCUUCUUCCCCAUUUCUUGUUCCCAAGUCAUUUGUAAUCAAAGCAAGAGACACCAAUUGUGUGGUGGUCCUUGUGAGGACUAAGUGUCCCAAUUAAUUGAGAAGAGAAGCUCACUCGGUCUAGGUGACCGUUUGACAGAGGGAAAGGGUUGAAAGAGACCCGGUCUUUGUGACCACCUCAACGGGGAGUAGGUUUGCAAGAACCGAACCUCGUUAAAACAAAUCACCGUGUCAUCCACCUUAUUUGCUUGUGAUUUGUUUUUUGCCCUCUCUUUCGGACUCGACUUUAUUUCUAACGCUAACCCUGGCUUGUAGUUGUGCUUAAACUUUAUAAAUUUCAGAUUUGCCUAUUCACCCCCCCUCUAGGCGACUUUCAGGUGGCACAUCUGUACCCAUGAGUCACGAUUCCCUUCUAGCCCGGGUUAGCUAGACCCGUAUUCACUUCCGAGGUGAAUGGCUAGGGUCUCACUACGAGGCUUUUCCCUAGAGUUCUCAUUAUGCAAAUGCUGGAAAUGGUCAACUGCAUAAGGUACACCUAACGUAACCAAUUUAUAGUCUAGACUACAGGGUAAAGCUUUGGGAACUAUGCCCGUAUCCAAUCUGCCUGAGCCGAAACUAUAAGCGCUUGCAAGAUGCCCCCGUUCCGGUCGACCAUGACUGUAACGCCCCGAAUUUUGCAGUUGAAUUUUUUCUUUUCUUUACUCGCCAAAAUUCGGGCGUUACCUUUUCUUUUUCUUUUUCCCUUCGCUAAACCUUGACCUUUUCCAAAGUUCUAGCGGGAUUCGGUUUGGAAUUCCCGUGUAAGAAAAACCCUAAAUACUUUAUGUUGUUUGAUGCACCAUGCCGAACCUUGCAUUUCUUUUGAUUGCUUUGAAAGCGCAAUUGCAUUCAUGUAGAAAGAUCGGAUUUCGAAAAUGAGGAGAAGAUCUUUUCUUUCUUUUUUCUCUCUCUCUUUCUCUCUCCUCUUUUUCUCUCUCUCCCGCGCCGUGGGCCGACCCCGGCCGGCCCAGCCGCCCCUGGCGCCCCCUCUUGGGCCCAAAAAGGCCCAGCCGCCCCCCCCCCUCAUCCCCCCUUUUUUCCCCAAACCCUCUCCCUCUCCCUCUCAUUUUCUCUCAUUUUCUCUCCCCCACCCUAAGCCGCCGCCGCCUCUACCCCCUGCCCUAAGCCGCCGCCGCCCCCUGCUCGGCCGCCGCUCCCCGCCGUCGGCCAACCCCGCCGGUGAGCCCCCCCCCCUCCUCCCUCUCUCCCUCCUCCCUCCCUCUCCCCUCUCCCCUCCUCCCUCCCCUUGGCAGCCCAGCCGCCCGGCCCCCUGGCCGCGCGCCCUGGCCGGCCGCUGCCGCCCCCUGGCCGCGCGCCCUGGCCGGCCGCUGCCGCGCCCUGGCCGCGCCCAGCCGGCCGCUGCCGCGCCCUGGCCGGUCCCGGCCGCCCCCAGCCCGCCCUGGCCGCGCCCCCUGCGCAGGGCCGGUUCAACCGCCCCUAGGGCCGGUUCAACCGCCCCUAGGGCCGGUUCAACCGCCCCCCCCUCUGUUUUUUUUAUUUUUUUAUUUUAUUUUAUUUACUUUCUGUGAUCAUAGCUAUUUUAUUUUAGGUAAGCUAAUCAUUGUUCAUGCCAUUGAAAUAGGAAGUUUAAUUUAAAAUUCCGUUAUGCUAGUUGAUUCAUGUAGUUAAUUGUUUACCUCGUGCAAUGUUGAUCAACUUAAAAUGAUUAGGUUUCCAUUAGUGUAUAUGUAACAGAAUUCUUUUGUUAAGAACCAAUUGUAAUUGAUCGUUAGUGCAUAAGAUUUAACCCCCUGCGAGACCCUUUCCUGUUUCUUUCUAACCAUAACAAAUGCGAUAUCGAAUGUCAUACUUGAUGCAUACUCACUUUAUUUGUUCCCUUGUAUGGUGUACUGUUCUUUUGUAUUAAAUGUGGAUGGAUGUAUGUAUGUUUGCAAUCGCAUAGAGAACGAUCCGGUCGAAGAGCCCGAGGAAUUCGCAGGAGAAGCCCCUGAGCAGCAGUCAGGUGGUGGAGGCAAGUGUCCUUUGACCUAUCUCUGUCCUAUUCAUUAUUUAAUUCACCUCCCGCAUUACACCUUUAUACCUAAGGAUUGACUAGCUUUUGUUAUCCAUGUCCUUGUUUACCUAUUUGGGUUGGAUUAUUACUGUUUAGCCUUAUGCUAUUGCUCAACUCUAAUCAAUGAACAUGAUGAGAUUAUCUAUGAUACGCUGUUUUCCCUUCUCUUAUUAUGAUGUUGUACUUGUGGUAUUCAAGGGGGCUCGAGCGGUUUCUCGAGUGCCUCUCCGUAAGGACCUGUUCUAUGGAUGACCGCCCGGGAAAACAGUGCAACCAUGAGGGUGGAAUGGGAUGCCCUUAGCUGAAUAAUUAGAGGAUCCGGGGUGUAGUUCACUUAGCUGUCGUGCCGUCAAUGGGGCUCGGUGUAUGCGGCUCGCUCUGCCAAGUUUGGGUUCGCCCCUUGGGGAGGAGUGCGGUGCAUUUAGGAAACCUAACGGGUGGCUACAGCCCCGGGGAAUCUUUGUAAAGGCUACGUAGUGAAACCCUGCCUAUUCACCUUGGUAGUGUUUAAGGGUUUGAUCGGCCCGAGGCAAGAGGGAAUCACGGCUUGUGGGUAAAGUGCACAACCUCUGCAGAGUGUUAUGAAACUGAUAUAUCAGCCGUGCUCGCGGUUAUGAGCGGCCAAGGGAGCUCCAGUGAUUAGUGGUACUUGAUAAGAGACCUUUUGGUUUACAGGUGGCAAUGAGAUUGAUGGUUUUGGUUAUGACUAUGGUGCUGGUAAGUGGUAUUCUUUCCGUUUGGAAAGGGUACAUCGGGUUAAUAACUUGGGUUAAUGCUAAAACUUGGCUUUCUACUAGUAAAUAAUAAUCUGACCAACUAAAAGCAACUGCUUGACUUAUCCCCACAUAAAGCUAGUCCACUACAGCCAAACAGGAUACUUGCUGAGUAUGUUGAUGUGUACUCACCCUUGCUCUACACACCAAACCCCCCCCCCAGGUUGUCAGCAUUGCAACCACUGCUCAGGCGAAGAUGAAGCUGUGGAAGGAGACUUCCAGGAGUUCCAAGACUACGACGAGUUCUAGGUGUGGGUUAGCGGCAACCCCCAGUCGGCUGCCUGUGAAGGCCGCGUUAUCUACGUUUCUUUUCCGCACUUUGAUUUAUUGUAAGAACUAUAUGGACGUCUCAGACGUAUGAUGUAAUCGACUAUUUCCCUUAUUAAUACUAUUUUGAGCACUGUGUGAUGAUGUCCAUAUUAUGUAACUGCUGUGUACGUGAAUAACUGAUCCUGGCACGUACAUGGUUCGCAUUCGGUUUGCCUUCUAAAACCGGGUGUGACAUAAGUGGUAUCAAAGUCGUGCUGAUUGUAGGACCGCUAACCUAGAGUAGAAUGGCCGUUCUAAGGACUAUAGACCUCUGUCUCUGCCUUGACUUUGAUAUCCCUUCAAAAGUUGGUCAUAUCGACCAAACCUAUGUUCUACUAUAUAUUAUACCUUGCUGAAAACCAUGUUUUAUUCUAAUCCUUCAUCUAUUUAUGAUUCAUUACUUGCUGGUCAUAUUAAUUCUGUUCUCACCCUUUUGCUUGCGAUGUCUUUUGUAGAUGGCUCGACUUAGACACACUGCACGAAAGUCAGUCAUCCCCUUCUUACCCUCCCGCCUUGCUGAGCGUCCGCUUCGCCGUCCCGUGGCCGGACAGUCCAGCCACUUGGAGAGACUACACCACCGCCUGCAUGAGGAGCAGGAGCGUCGACGACAGGAGCAGCAGAGCUCUUCCUUCUCGCUCCACCAGGAGAUAGAGUCUGUGAGGAGCUGCUCCCCUGUGCUUCCUCUGGAGCCGCCCCCUGCACCACCACUGGGCACCCCAGCUUCUGGAGUAGCUGCUGGAGGAGACCCAGACGACGGAGAUGGCGACGACAGCUCGAGCCACGACACCGACUUCUCUACUAACCUUGAGCCGGAAGGAUGGGUUGCUUGACCCAUCACUCGCGACGCUGCUCGCGGGUGUCACUUCCACGAUGCGCUCGACACCCUGCUACGUCGGGCAUUUGACCGGCAUACUUGGUCCGUCGAGUAUCGCUGUGUGGUCUACCAGCAUAGUCGCGGGGUCUACCCGGACCGCUGGGAGGCGACUUGCUUGGUGCGCUGCCCGGAGAACAGUCUCCAGGGUGCAGAGGCCUGUUCAGAGCACUAUUCUAUUUCUGAGCGGGACUCAGCUGAGGCAGCCAUGCAAGAUGCUGCACGGCGUGCUCUUUCGCACUACUGCUCGGUUUUCGAUGGGGCAGCUGACGGUCUUGACCUGAAGUAUUACCCCCGCCGUCCAUCUGGCAGCACAGGAGGCGUGAUUGUCUCACCUGUCGGUGAGGGCAAUCCUAGGUUGAGCAGCACAGUCAACCUAGCCGCCGUGCUAAACACGGAGCUGGACCAUGCAUUAGACGAGCUGAGUAGGGCUCGUGCUGAGAUCGCCCUGCUGCGGGCUGAGCGCGCGGAACGUCGUCACUUGGAUGGUGGUUCCCCCGCUCCCGUUGGGACUCAGCACCCGUACCGCUCACCUCAGCGUGGACACCAGUCUUAUGGCAAUCCCGACUGCAAGACCAAGAUAACUCUAGAACCAUAGAUCGUUAGAGUUGGAUCUUGUAAUUAAUACGAAAAAUAUACGUAGAAGCUUCAGUCUUAGCGUUAGUCUCAGUCUUAGUUAGUCUUAGUUAGACAGGGUAGUUUGCUAUAUCCUGUGCAUUUAUGUUUGUCAUGAUGAACUAUGAUUGGUUUGGAUCUUUGUAAUGAUUGCCACCAGAGUGUGGGUAUCCCCUGCAUUUUGGUUUACCUAUUAUGUUAAUAAAGUUAGUUAUAUAGUUGGGAAACCUUUUAUUCCACUUUCCUUUCUAUCUGAGAAGUUGUGUGGUCUGUGUUGGAGAUCAGUGAAGAUGCUCAUCUGUUCAGUGCUGUUGAAGAAUUCUAUACUCUUCUCUUAUGCUGCAAGAUUUGCCAGAUCAGUUCUGAUGUGUGGUUGCAUUCUGCAGAUGUCAGAGAAUAGGCGCAGAGGAGGAAGGCGUGCUCAGCAGGAGCGAGCCGCUCAACAGGAGGAGGCGCCCCAGCAGCAGCAGCUGCCACCCCCGCCCCCGAUGUCCAUCGAGCAGAUGUUUCUGAUGCAGACUCAGGCAGUUCAAGCCAUCGGUCAGACUUUGGCCGCCAUUCAGCAGCAGCAGCAGCAACAGCAGCAAGCACCACCUCAGCCUCAGAUGCCUCAGAUGCCCAGAGACAAGCGUGCUGAAUUCAUGAGAGGUCAUCCACCAACGUUCGCUCACUCUUCUGACCCUAUGGAUGCUGAAGAUUGGCUGCGCACUGUGGAGCGGGAGUUGCAUACCGCUCAGUGCGAUGACAGGGAGAAAGUUCUGUAUGGUCCCCGUCUGUUGAGAGGAGCAGCCCAGUCAUGGUGGGAGUCUUACCUCGCCACCCAUGCCCACCCUGACACCAUCACCUGGGAAGAAUUCAGAGGUAGCUUUCGUCAGUACCAUGUUCCUGCAGGUCUGAUGACAGUGAAGAAAGAGGAGUUCCUGGCUCUCAAGCAAGGGCCAUUGUCGGUCAGUGAGUACCGAGACAGGUUUCUGCAACUGUCUCGUUAUGCUCCUGAAGAUGUCAAUACCGACGCCAAGCGACAGUACCGUUUUCUGAGAGGCUUGGUUGACCCUCUGCAGUAUCAGCUGAUGAACCACACCUUCCCGACAUUCCAGCACCUGAUUGAUAGAGCAAUCAUGACGGAGAGAAAGCGCAAGGAGAUGGAAGAUCGUAAGCGCAAGAUCAGUGGACCGCAGUCUGGAAGCAGCAGUCGUCCUCGUUUCUCAGGCAAUCAACCUCAGCAGUUCAGGCAGAACCAGCGUCCACCUCAGCAGCAUCAGCAGUUUCAAAGGCAGUAUCCUCAGAAUCAGUACCAGAACCGUCAGAGCAAUCAGUCAGGAGGUCAGUUUCAAAGGCAGAAUCAGCAGGCCCCUCGUCUUCCUGCCCCAGCAAACCAGCAGAACAGUCAGGCAGCACCAGCUCAGGUUGGAAACAGGGCAUGUUUCCACUGUGGAGAGCAAGGCCACUGGGUGAUGCAAUGUCCGAAGAAGGCAGCCCAGCAGCAGUCAGGCCCCAAUGCCCCAGCAAAGCAGAAUGUGUCUCAGCCUGGAGCAGGCAAUCGCUCUCAGCCGCGUUACAAUCAUGGGAGACUGAACCACUUGGAGGCGGAAGCAGUUCAGGAGACCCCCGACAUGAUAGUAGGUAUGUUCCCAGUCGACUCCCAUAUUGCAGAAGUGUUAUUUGAUACUGGAGCAACGCAUUCUUUCAUUACUGCAUCAUGGGUAGAAGCACAUAAUCUUCCAACUACUACCAUGUCAACCCCCAUUCAAAUUGACUCAGCCGGUGGUAGAAUUCGAGCCGAUAGCAUUUGUUUGAAUAUAAGUGUGAAAAUAAGGGGGAUAGCAUUUCCCGCCAACCUUAUAGUAAUGGGUACUCAGGGAAUAGAUGUCAUCCUGGGGAUGAAUUGGUUAGAUAAGUAUCAGGCAGUUAUCAGUUGUGAUAAAAGGACAAUCAAGUUGGUGUCCCCAGUAGGAAAGGAAGUGGUGACCGAACUAGUCCCGCCUGAGCCAAAGAAAGGAGGUUGUUAUCAGAUGGUUGUCGAUAGCAGUGAAGCAGAUCCAAUUGAGAGUAUCAAGGUUGUGUCUGAAUUCCCAGAUGUGUUUCCAAAGGACUUACCGGGUAUGCCACCAGAGCGGAAAGUUGAGUUUGCUAUAGAGCUUCUUCCUGGAACCGCCCCUAUCUUCAAGAGAGCUUACAGAAUAUCUGGACCAGAGUUGGUUGAGCUUAAGAAGCAAAUUGAUGAGCUGUCAGAGAAAGGUUACAUUCGGCCAAGCACCUCGCCUUGGGCCGCCCCUGUCCUAUUUGUGGAGAAGAAAGAUGGCACCAAGAGGAUGUGUAUUGAUUAUCGAGCUUUGAAUGAGGUCACGAUCAAGAACAAGUAUCCCUUGCCCAGAAUAGAAGAUCUGUUCGACCAGUUGAGAGGAGCCAGUGUGUUCUCCAAGAUUGAUCUGAGGUCAGGUUAUCAUCAGCUCAGGAUCCGACCUUCGGACAUUCCGGAGACGGCAUUCAUUUCCAAGUAUGGGUUGUAUGAGUUCACAGUGAUGUCUUUUGGUUUGACCAAUGCGCCAGCAUUCUUCAUGAACUUGAUGAACAGUGUAUUCAUGGAUUACCUUGAUAAGUUUGUGGUGGUAUUCAUUGAUGACAUUCUGGUUUAUUCUCAAAGCGAAGAAGAGCACGCAGAUCAUUUGAGGAUGGUGUUGCAGAGAUUGCGAGAGCACCAGUUGUACGCAAAGUUGAGCAAAUGUGAGUUCUGGAUCAGUGAAGUCCUGUUCUUGGGUCACGUAAUCAACAAAGAAGGAUUGGCUGUGGAUCCGAAGAAAGUGGCGGACAUUUUGAACUGGAAAGCGCCAACAGAUGCUAGAGGAAUCAAGAGCUUCAUUGGAAUGGCCGGAUAUUAUCGGCGAUUCAUUGAAGGGUUUUCGAAGAUUGCGAAACCAAUGACAGCGUUGCUAGGCAACAAAGUUGAGUUCAAGUGGACCCAGAAAUGUCAAGAGGCCUUUGAAGCGCUGAAAGAGAAGUUGACUACAGCGCCUGUCCUAGUCUUGCCCGAUGUGCACAAGCCCUUUUCGGUGUAUUGUGAUGCUUGUUACACAGGUUUGGGAUGUGUGUUGAUGCAAGAGGGAAGAGUUGUGGCUUACUCGUCCCGACAGCUGAAGGUUCAUGAGAAGAACUACCCAAUCCAUGACCUAGAGUUGGCAGCAGUGGUUCACGCACUGAAGACAUGGAGGCACUAUCUGUAUGGACAGAAAUGCGAUGUUUACACAGACCACAAGAGUCUGAAGUACAUAUUCACUCAGUCAGAGUUGAACAUGAGGCAACGAAGAUGGUUAGAGCUGAUCAAAGACUAUGAGUUGGAGAUUCAUUACCAUCCAGGCAAAGCAAACGUAGUGGCAGAUGCUUUAAGCAGAAAAAGUCAAGUCAAUCUGAUGGUUGCUCGUCCGAUGCCUUAUGAGUUGGCCAAGGAGUUCGACAGGUUGAGUCUCGGAUUUCUGAACAAUUCGCGAGGAGUCACAGUUGAGUUGGAACCUACCUUGGAGCGUGAAAUCAAAGGAGCGCAAAAGAAUGAUGAGAAAAUCAGUGAGAUCCGGCGACUGAUUCUAGAAGGCAAAGGCAAAGAUUUUCGAGAAGAUGCAGAAGGCGUGAUAUGGUUCAAAGACCGCUUAUGUGUUCCCAAUGUCCAGUCCAUUCGGGAGUUGAUUCUUAAGGAAGCUCAUGAGACAGCUUAUUCGAUUCACCCUGGCAGUGAGAAGAUGUAUCAGGAUCUGAAGAGGAAAUUCUGGUGGUACGGAAUGAAGAGGGAAAUCGCAGAGCAUGUGGCUAUGUGUGAUAGUUGUCGAAGAAUUAAGGCAGAACACCAGAGACCUGCUGGAUUGUUGCAACCGUUGCAGAUCCCUCAGUGGAAAUGGGAUGAAAUUGGUAUGGAUUUCAUAGUCGGAUUGCCUCGCACUCGAGCCGGCUACGAUUCUAUUUGGGUAGUGGUGGACCGUUUGACCAAGUCAGCCCACUUCAUACCUGUCAAGACCAGCUACAACAGUGCAGUAUUGGCAGAGUUGUACAUGUCUCGGAUCGUUUGUCUUCAUGGUGUGCCAAAGAAGAUAGUGUCAGACAGAGGAACACAGUUCACCUCUCAUUUCUGGCAGCAGUUGCAUGAAGCCUUGGGCACACAUCUGAAUUUCAGUUCAGCUUAUCACCCGUAGACAGAUGGUCAGACUGAAAGAACCAAUCAAAUUCUUGAAGACAUGUUGAGAGCCUGUGCGUUGCAAGAUCAGUCCGGAUGGGACAAGCGAUUGCCUUAUGCAGAGUUUUCCUAUAACAACAGUUACCAGGCCAGUUUGAAGAUGUCACCAUUUCAGGCGCUCUAUGGAAGGAGUUGCAGAACUCCGUUGCAAUGGGAUCAGCCUGGAGAGAAGCAAGUGUUUGGGCCAGACAUUUUGCUUGAAGCCGAAGAGAACAUCAAGAUGGUUCGAGAGAAUCUGAAGAUAGCGCAAUCGAGGCAGCGAAGCUAUGCAGACACAAGAAGAAGAGAGCUGAGUUUUGAAGUCGGAGAUUUUGUCUAUCUGAAAGUGUCACCGAUCAGAGGAGUCAGAAGAUUCGGAGUGAAAGGCAAGCUAGCACCCCGCUACAUUGGUCCGUAUCAGAUUCUUGCAAGACGUGGAGAAGUGGCCUAUCAGCUCAGUUUGCCCGAGAAUUUGUCUGCUGUGCAUGAUGUCUUUCAUGUGUCUCAGUUGAAGAAGUGCUUGCGUGUGCCAGAAGAGCAGUUGCCAGUGGAAGGUCUUGAAGUCCAGGAGGACUUGACCUAUGUUGAGAAGCCAGCUCAGAUCCUUGAGAUUGCAGACAGAGUCACCCGAAGGAAGACCAUCAGAAUGUGCAAAGUCAGAUGGAAUCACCACUCUGAGGAAGAAGCAACCUGGGAGCGUGAAGAUGAUCUGAUGGCCAAGUACCCAGAGCUCUUUGCUAGCCAGCCCUGAAUCUCGAGGGCGAGAUUCUUUUAAGGGGGAUAGGUUUGUAACGCCCCGAAUUUUGCAGUUGAAUUUUUUCUUUUCUUUACUCGCCAAAAUUCGGGCGUUACCUUUUCUUUUUCUUUUUCCCUUCGCUAAACCUUGACCUUUUCCAAAGUUCUAGCGGGAUUCGGUUUGGAAUUCCCGUGUAAGAAAAACCCUAAAUACUUUAUGUUGUUUGAUGCACCAUGCCGAACCUUGCAUUUCUUUUGAUUGCUUUGAAAGCGCAAUUGCAUUCAUGUAGAAAGAUCGGAUUUCGAAAAUGAGGAGAAGAUCUUUUCUUUCUUUUUUCUCUCUCUCUUUCUCUCUCCUCUUUUUCUCUCUCUCCCGCGCCGUGGGCCGACCCCGGCCGGCCCAGCCGCCCCUGGCGCCCCCUCUUGGGCUCAAAAAGGCCCAGCCGCCCCCCCCCCCCCUCAUCCCCCCUUUUUUCCCCAAACCCUCUCCCUCUCCCUCUCAUUUUCUCUCAUUUUCUCUCCCCCACCCUAAGCCGCCGCCGCCUCUACCCCCUGCCCUAAGCCGCCACCGCCCCCUGCUCGGCCGCCGCUCCCCGCCGUCGGCCAACCCCGCCGGUGAGCCCCCCCCCCCCCCCCUCCUCCCUCUCUCCCUCCUCCCUCCCUCUCCCCUCUCCCCUCUCCCCUCCUCCCUCCCCUUGGCAGCCCAGCCGCCCGGCCCCCUGGCCGCGCGCCCUGGCCGGCCGCUGCCGCCCCCUGGCCGCGCGCCCUGGCCGGCCGCUGCCGCGCCCUGGCCGGUCCCGGCCGCCCCCAGCCCGCCCUGGCCGCGCCCCCUGCGCAGGGCCGGUUCAACCGCCCCUAGGGCCGGUUCAACCGCCCCCCCUCUGUUUUUUUUAUUUUUUUUAUUUUAUUUUAUUUACUUUCUGUGAUCAUAGCUAUUUUAUUUUAGGUAAGCUAAUCAUUGUUUAUGCCAUUGAAAUAGGAAGUUUAAUUUAAAAUUCCGUUAUGCUAGUUGAUUCAUGUAGUUAAUUGUUUACCUCGUGCAAUGUUGAUCAACUUAAAAUGAUUAGGUUUCCAUUAGUGUAUAUGUAACAGAAUUCUUUUGUUAAGAACCAAUUGUAAUUGAUCGUUAGUGCAUAAGAUUUAACCCCCUGCGAGACCCUUUCCCGUUUCUUUCUAACCAUAACAAAUGCGAUAUCGAAUGUCAUACUUGAUGCAUACUCACUUUAUUUGUUCCCUUGUAUGGUGUACUGUUCUUUUGUAUUAAAUGUGGAUGGAUGUAUGUAUGUUUGCAAUCGCAUAGAGAACGAUCCGGUCGAAGAGCCCGAGGAAUUCGCAGGAGAAGCCCCUGAGCAGCAGUCGGGUGGUGGAGGCAAGUGUCCUUUGACCUAUCUCUGUCCUAUUCAUUAUUUAAUUCACCUCCCGCAUUACACCUUUAUACCUAAGGAUUGACUAGCUUUUGUUAUCCAUGUCCUUGUUUACCUAUUUGGGUUGGAUUAUUACUGUUUAGCCUUAUGCUAUUGCUCAACUCUAAUCAAUGAACAUGAUGAGAUUAUCUAUGAUACGCUGUUUUCCCUUCUCUUAUUAUGAUGUUGUACUUGUGGUAUUCAAGGGGGCUCGAGCGGUUUCUCGAGUGCCUCUCCGUAAGGACCUGUUCUAUGGAUGACCGCCCGGGAAAACAGUGCAACCAUGAGGGUGGAAUGGGAUGCCCUUAGCUGAAUAAUUAGAGGAUCCGGGGUGUAGUUCACUUAGCUGUCGUGCCGUCAAUGGGGCUCGGUGUAUGCGGCUCGCUCUGCCAAGUUUGGGUUCGCCCCUUGGGGAGGAGUGCGGUGCAUUUAGGAAACCUAACGGGUGGCUACAGCCCCGGGGAAUCUUUGUAAAGGCUACGUAGUGAAACCCUGCCUAUUCACCUUGGUAGUGUUUAAGGGUUUGAUCGGCCCGAGGCAAGAGGGAAUCACGGCUUGUGGGUAAAGUGCACAACCUCUGCAGAGUGUUAUGAAACUGAUAUAUCAGCCGUGCUCGCGGUUAUGAGCGGCCAAGGGAGCUCCAGUGAUUAGUGGUACUUGAUAAGAGACCUUUUGGUUUACAGGUGGCAAUGAGAUUGAUGGUUUUGGUUAUGACUAUGGUGCUGGUAAGUGGUAUUCUUUCCGUUUGGAAAGGGUACAUCGGGUUAAUAACUUGGGUUAAUGCUAAAACUUGGCUUUCUACUAGUAAAUAAUAAUCUGACCAACUAAAAGCAACUGCUUGACUUAUCCCCACAUAAAGCUAGUCCACUACAGCCAAACAGGAUACUUGCUGAGUAUGUUGAUGUGUACUCACCCUUGCUCUACACACCAAACCCCCCCCAGGUUGUCAGCAUUGCAACCACUGCUCAGGCGAAGAUGAAGCUGUGGAAGGAGACUUCCAGGAGUUCCAAGACUACGACGAGUUCUAGGUGUGGGUUAGCGGCAACCCCCAAUCGGCUGCCUGUGAAGGCCGCGUUAUCUACGUUUCUUUUCCGCACUUUGAUUUAUUGUAAGAACUAUAUGGACGUCUCAGACGUAUGAUGUAAUCGACUAUUUCCCUUAUUAAUACUAUUUUGAGCACUGUGUGAUGAUGUCCAUAUUAUGUAACUGCUGUGUACGUGAAUAACUGAUCCUGGCACGUACAUGGUUCGCAUUCGGUUUGCCUUCUAAAACCGGGUGUGACAAUGACCAACACCCAACAUAAGACUUCCCUAGUUAUUUAGCCAAGGGCGUUCCAUACCACCCUCAUGGUAGCACUGUUUUCCCGGGUGGUCACUCCAUGUUCCAGUUAAUAUGCAAUAAUCUUGUUUAACCAUCGGGUUAACAACAAUAAUGUAAACUUACCAUUUGGAACAUUAGUAUCAUACAGGAGUGACUGCAUAAAUUUAAAGUUGUAGCAAUAGCAUAGCUACUUGAUUAGAUCAUAAUCCCGGUUUAAACAAGGAGUAAGGUUGGAAAUGUUAGGUGUAUCUAAAUAGGUAACCCAUCAAAUUAUACAUAUAUAUCCAAGAAUAAACUUUAUUAAAUGUAUUGUUUGGGAUCAAAUAGAGUAUGCAGAGGGAGAAGUCCACUUGCCUUGCUUAUAGAAAACUUGAGGUUCUUCCACGGAUAGGAAUAGAUCUUGAUUCUUAACUACUAGAUCAACCACUGAAUAUCACACAAACAAACAAGAAGAAACAAACACCACUCAAUAACAUACAACAUUCACUAUACGCCAAGCUAAAAGAAAGCUUAACGAAAAGAGCAUUCGUUUUUCAAAAACGUCGCAAGUAAUGGUUAUAAUAAGGGGGUAUUCUUUUCAAAAAUGUGUGAUCUAUACUUUAUAAAACAAGACAUGAGCUUAAAAAUAUCUUAAUUAAAAUAUACAAGUAUUAGGUUCACCAAAUUAAUCUUUUAUAAAAUGUUAUAUGUGAUAUGUCUAAGAUUAAGGGUUUAUAAGAUGAUAAAACACGUUAUAACAAUAUUAAACCUUUUUAACCUUUUAGAAAAGAUAUAAGUUAUAUAUCUAAGGUUAAUGGGCUACGAAACACGUUAUUAAUUUUGGAAUCAUUAUGUAACAUCUUAUAAAUCAUUGUUAAACAUUCACUUAUGAUAAACUAAGAUAUAAGUCUAAAUAGGUUUUAUGUGAAAAGAUCAUUAUUAUUAAACACCUAUUUUAUGAAAAACUAGGUUAUAGGCCCUUAAGUGGAUUGUCGUGUAAAAGAUAAUGAACAAAUAACUAUCUUUUAAUUUCAUUAGAAAACACAUAGCCUAUAUUAUUAUAUUUGAAGUCAAUAUAUAAAGUAACAUUUUAAGUUAUAAAAGUGUCGGGGACCAUAAUUAGGGGUACCCCCAAGACUCCUAAUCUCAGCUGGUAACCCCCAUCAGCACAAAGCUACAAAGGCCUGAUGGGUGCGAUUAAGUCAAGGCUCGGUCCACUCAAGGGACACGACCUCGCCUCGCCCGAGCCCAGUCUCGGGCAAGGGCAGCCGACCCUGGAGGAUUCAUGUCUCGCCCGAAGACCCCCUCAAGCGACAAACACACCUUCGGCUCGCCCGAGGCCCAAUCUUUGCCAAGAAGCAACCUUGGCCAGAUCGCCACGCCAACCGACCGUAUCGCAGGAGCAUUUAAUGCAAAGGUGGCCUGACACCUUAUCUUGACACGCGCCCCUCAGUCGACAGAGCCGAAGUGACCGCAGUCACUUCGUCGCUCCACUGACCGACCUGACAAGAGGACAGCGCCGCCUGCGUCGCUCUGACUGCUGUGCCGCUCGAUAGAGUGAGGCGAACAGCAGCCAAGUCCGGCCUCGGGCGCCAUAGGAAGCUCCGCCUCGCCCGACCCCAGGGCUCGGACCCGGCCUCGGCCCCGGAAGACGAUGAACUCUGCCUCGCCCGACCCCAGGGCUCGGACUCGGCCUUGGCUCCGGAAGACGACGAACUCCGCCUCGCCCGACCCUAGGGCUCGGACUCAGCCCUAGCCUCAGCCGACGGUCUCCUCCUCGCCCGACCUGGGGCUCGGACUUGACCUCGACCUCGGAAGACAGACUCGACCUCGACCUCGGAGGAGCCUCCGCCUCGCCCGACCUAGGGCUCAGACUGACCACGUCACAAGGGGGGCCAUCAUUACCCUACCCCUAGCUAGCUCAGGCUACGGGGAACAAGACCGGCGUCCCAUCUGGCUCGCCCCGGUAAACAAAUAAUGAUGGCGCCCUGCGUGCUCCAUGACGACGGCGGCUCUCAGCCCCUUACGGAAGCAAGGAGACGUCAGCAAGGACUCGACAGCCCCAACUGCUGUCCUUCCGCAAGGCUCCAACGCUCCUCCGACGGCCACGACAUCACAUGAACAGGGUGCCAAAACCUCUCUAGCUGCCACGACGGCAUGUACUUAGGGCGCUAGCUCCUCUAUGCUAGACAUGUUAGCACAUUGCUACACUCCCCAUUGUACACCUGGACCCUCUCCUUACGCCUAUAAAAGGAAGGUCCAGGGCUCCCUUACGAGGAGGUUGGCCGCGCGGAGAGGACGGGACGGCGCGCGCAGGCCUCUCGCUCCCUCCCGCGCGGACGCUUGUAACCCCCUACUGCAAGCGCACCCGACCUGGGCGCGGGACAAACACGAAGGUCGCGGGUUUCCCCUUUACGCAUGUCUCCUUGUUUCCCCCCUUCGCGCUCCAUCUCGCGCCGACCCAUCUGGGCUGGGGCACGCGGCGAUAGUUUACUCGUCGGUCCAGGGACCCCCCAGGGUCGGAACGCCGACAGUUGGCGUGCCAGGUAGGGGCCUGCUGCGUGUUGACGAACAGCUUCCCGUCAAGCUCCAGAUGGGCAGUCUCCAGCAACCUCUCCAGCCCGGGAUGGUGCUCCGUUUCAGGAGUCUUGAGUUCAUGUCCCUCGACGGCAGCUACGACAUGAUACUCCUUCCUCCGCCGCACGACAGCGACAAUGGCGGUCGAUAACCCGCCCGCCGGCGGCGGAAUCGACGACGUCUUCCCCACGUGGCAGAAGAACAACAUUCGGGUUUGUCCCGUCGCCUCCCCCGCCGACGGAGGAGGAGGCGGGGCAACCAAGGCCAAGCAGGAGGCGGCACCUCAUCGGCUGUCGAGCGAAUCGACGGCGCCGGCGCCCCAACGGGGGACACGUCGGGCGUCGACCUCGCGUCUGAGACGAAGACGAGUGUCGUUUCCCCGCAACACGCCAACUCCAAGUGGACGGACGAUGCCAGCACACUCGCAAAGGGCUUGCUGGGCGUCACCCUCGUACCCGAGAUGAUGGUGCAGUCUGCCCCUGACGCGACUUCGUCACCGCCCGUCGACCAGGAGGUACCGACCGAUUCCCAUCUCGUGCCUUUUAGAUUCAGCCUCGACCCACCAAACGACUUCGCUUCGGUGGAAGCCUUCAUAGAGGCAUGUCCAAACCCUCCAGGGUACGGUAUGCGGUCACCCCGGGACCGGCUGACAGCCGUCUCGACCUGUGGGCCCUCGGGUUCCGAGGAAGAUGACGAGCCUGACUUUUGUUGGGAUUUCUUUGGACUUGGUAACCCCAGUGCCAUGCGGGACUUCAUGACCGCAUGCGACUACUGCCUUUCUGACUGUUCCGACGGUAGCCGCAGCCUCGGCGACGAGGACUACGGCCCAAGUCGUGAAUGUUUCCACGUCGAUCUAGGGGGUCCCGGCGAAGGCAACCAUCUUGGUAUACCAGAAAACGGUGAUGCCCCUAGGCCUGCGCCUCGCGUUGACAUCCUUCGGGAGCUAGCUGUGGUCCCAGUCCCUACGGGGGGUCAGGACGCACAGCUCGAGCAAAUCCACGAGAUGCAGGCCAGGCUCAACGAGGGAGCAGGAACACUUGAGCCGUUCCGCCGGGACAUCGGGCAGGAAUGGGCAGGCCAAGCCCCGGUCGGAGAAGCAUGUCAUCUACCCUAGGGCAUCCAGCACCGCAUCGCUGACGAUGUCAGGGCAAGGCCACCACCGGCUUCCAGUGGGGUCGGCCAGAACCUGGCUGCAGCAGCGAUACUUCUCCGCGCGAUGCCGGAGCCAUCAACCACCGAAGGGCGGCGUAUCCAGGGAGAGCUCAAGAAUCUUCUGGAGGAUGCCGCGGUCCGACGGGCCGAAAGCUCUGCCUCCCGAAGGCAGGGAUACCCCUCGGAGCAUCGCACCGCGACUUCCCGAUUCAUGUGGGAAGCCUCGGUCCACACCGGGCGCACGCGCAACACAGCGCCUGUGGCCCCGGGUCGCCUCGGCAACGAGCACCAUCACCGCAACCGUCAAGCCCACCUCGACGAGAAGGUGCGCCGAGGCUACCACCCCAGGCGUGGGGGACGCUACGACAGCGGGGAGGAUCGGAGUCCCUCGCCCGAACCACCCGGUCCACAGGCUUUCAGCCGGGCCAUACGACGGGCGCCGUUCUCGACCCGGUUCUGAACCCCGACUACUAUCACGAAGUACUCGGGGGAGACGAGGCCGGAACUGUGGCUCGCGGACUACCGGCUGGCCUGCCACCUGGGUGGAACGGACGAUGACAACCUCAUCAUCCGCAACCUCCCCCUGUUCCUCUCCGACACCGCUCGAGCCUGGCUGGAGCACCUGCCUCCCGGGCAGAUCUCCAACUGGGACGACCUGGUCCAAGCCUUCGCCGGUAAAUUCCAGGGCAUGUACGUGCGCUCUGGGAACUCCUGGGAUCUCUGAAGCUGUCGCCAGCAGCCGGGAGAGUCUCUCCGGGACUACAUCCGGCGAUUCUCGAAGCAGCGCACCGAGCUGCCCAACGUCACCGACUCGGAUGUCAUCGGCGCGUUCCUCGCCGGCACCACCUGCCGCGACCUGGUGAGCAAGCUAGGUCGCAAGACCCCCACCAGGGCAAGCGAGCUGAUGGACAUCGCCACCAAGUUCGCCUCUGGCCAGGAGGCGGUUGAGGCCAUCUUCCGGAAGGACAAGCAGCCCUAGGGCCGCCCGCCGGAAGAUGUCCCCGAGGCGUCUACUCAGCGCGGCACCAAGAAGAAGGGCAAGAAGAAGUCGCAAGCGAAACGCGACGCCGCCGACGCGGACCUUAUCGCCGCUGCUGAGUACAAGAACCCUCAGAAACCUCCCGGAGGCGCCAACCUCUUCGACAAAAUGCUCAAGGAACCGUGCCCUAUCAUCAGGGGCCCGUCAAGCACACCCUUGAGGAGUGCGUCAUGCUUCGGCGCCACUUUCACAAGGCCAGGCCACCUGCGGAAGGUGGCAGGGCCCACAACAACGGCAAGAGGGAGGAUCACAAGGCAGAGGAGUUCCCCGAGGUCCACGACUGCUUCAUGAUCUACGGUGGGCAAGUGGCGAACGCCUCGGCUCGGCACCGCAAGCAAGAGCGUCGGGAGGUCUGUUCGGUAAAGGUGGCGGCGCCAGUCUACCUAGACUGGUCCGACAAGCCCAUCACCUUCGACCAGGGCGACCACCCCAACCGCGUGCCGAGCCCGGGGAAAUACCCGCUCGUUGUCGACCCCGUCAUCGGCAACGUCAGGCUCACCAAGGUCCUCAUGGACGGAGGUAGCAGCCUCAACAUCAUCUACGCUGAGACCCUCGGGCUCCUGCGGAUCGAUCUAUCCUCGGUCCGGGCAGGCGCGGCGCCUUUCCACGGGAUCAUCCCCGGGAAACGCGUCCAGCCCCUCGGACAACUCGAUCUACCCAUCUGCUUUGGGACUCCCUCCAACUUCCGAAGGGAAACCCUCACGUUCGAGGUGGUCAGGUUCCGAGCAACCUACCAUGCAUUGCUGGGGAGGCCAUGCUACGCCAAGUUCAUGGCCGUCCCCAACUACACCUACCUCAAGCUCAAGAUGUCGGGCCCCAACGGGGUCAUCACCAUCGGCCCCACGUACCGACACACGUACGAAUGCGACGUGGAGUGCGUGGAGUACGCCGAGGCCCUCGCCGAAUCCGAAUCCCUCAUCGCCGACCUGGAGAGCCUCUCCAAGGAGGCGCCAGACGUGAAGAGCCAUGCCGGCAACUUCGAGCUAGCGGAGAAGGUUAAGUCUGUCCCUCUCGAUCCCAGCAACGACGCCUCCAAGCAGAUCCGGAUCGGCUCCGAGCUCGACCCCAAAUAGGAAGCAGUGCUCGUCGACUUUCUCCGCGCAAACGCCGACGUUUUCGCGUGGAGUCCCUCAGACAUGCCCAGGAUACUGAGGGAUGUCGCCGAGCACUCGCUGGAUAUCCGAGCUAGAGCCCGACCCAUGAAGCAGCCUCUGCGCCGAUUCAACGAAGAAAAGUGCAGAGCCAUAGGCGAGGAGAUCCACAAGCUGAUGGCUGCAGGGUUCAUCAAAGAGGUAUUCCAUCCCAAAUGGCUUGCCAACCCUGUGCUUGUGAGAAAGAAAGGAGGGAAAUGGCGGAUGUGUGUAGACUACACUGGUCUAAACAAAGCAUGUCCGAAGGUUCCCUACCCUCUGCCUCGCAUCGAUCAAAUCGUGGAUUCCACUGCUGGGUGCGAAACCUUGUCUUUCCUCGAUGCCUACUCAGGGUAUCACCAAAUCAGGAUGAAAGAGUCCGACCAGCUCGCGACUUCUUUCAUAACACCUUUUGGCAUGUACUGCUAUGUUACUAUGCCAUUUGGUCUGAGGAAUGCGGGUGCAACGUACCAAAGGUGUAUGAACCACGUGUUCGGCGAACACAUUGGUCGAACGGUCGAGGCUUACGUCGAUGACAUCGUAGUCAAGACGGGGAAAGCCUCCGACCUCCUUUCCGACCUUGAAACGACAUUCCGGUGUCUCAAGGCGAAAGGCGUAAAACUCAACCCCGAGAAGUGUGUCUUCGGAGUACCCCGAGGCAUGCUCUUGGGGUUCAUCGUCUCCGAGUGGGGCAUCGAGGCCAACCCGGAGAAAAUCGUGGCCAUCGCCAGCAUGGGGCCCAUCAAGGACUUGAAAGGCGUACAGAGGGUCAUGGGAUGCCUUGCGGCUCUGAGUCGCUUCAUCUCGCGCCUCGGCGAAAGAGGCCUACCUCUGUACCGCCUCUUAAGGAAGGCCGAGUGCUUCACUUGGACCCCUGAGGCUGAGGAAGCCCUCAAGAACCUGAAGGCGCUCCUCACGAACGCGCCCAUCUUGGUGCCCCCCGCUGCCGGAGAAGCCCUCUUGAUCUACGUCGCCGCUACCACUCAGGUGGUCAGCGCCGCGAUCGUGGUUGAGAGACGAGAAGAGGGGCAUGCAUUGCCCGUCCAGAGGCCAGUCUACUUCAUCAGUGAGGUACUGUCCGAGACCAAGAUCCGCUACCCACAAAUUCAGAAGCUGUUGUACGCGGUGAUCCUGACGCGGCGGAAGUUGCGACACUACUUCGAGUCUCAUCCGGUGACUGUGGUGUCAUCCUUCCCCUGGGGGAGAUCAUCCAGUGCCGAGAGGCCUCGGGUAGGAUUGCAAAGUGGGCGGUGGAAAUCAUGGGAGAGACAGUCUCGUUCGCCCCUCGGAAGGCCAUCAAGUCCCAAGUCUUGGCGGACUUUGUGGCUGAAUGGGUCGACACCCAGCUUCCAGCAGCUCCGAUCCAACUAGAACUCUGGACCAUGUUUUUCGACGGGUCGCUGAUGAAAACAGGGGCAGGCGCGGGCCUGCUCUUCAUCUCGCCCCUCGGGAAGCACCUACGCUACGUGCUACGCCUCCACUUCCCGGCGUCCAACAAUGUGGCCGAGUACGAGGCUCUAGUCAACGGGUUGCGCAUCGCCAUCGAGCUAGGGGUCUGACGCCUCGACGCUCGCGGUGACUCGCAGCUCAUCAUUGAUCAAGUCAUGAAGAACUCCCACUGCCGCGACCCGAAGAUGGAAGCCUACUGCGAUGAGGUUCGGCACCUGGAGGACAAGUUCUACGGGCUCGAGCUCAACCACAUCGCCCGACGACACCACGAGACUGCGGAUGAGCUGGCUAAGAUAGCCUUGGGGCAAACAACGGUUCCCCGGACGUCUUCUCCCGAGACCUACAUCAACCCUCAGUCAAGACCGACGACACGCCCGAGCCCGAGAAGGCCUCGGCCCAGCCCGAGGCACCCUCGGCCCCCGAGGGUGAGGCACUGCGCGUCGAGGAAGAGCGGAGCGGGGUCACGCCUAAUCGAAACUGGCAGACCCCAUACCUACAAUAUCUCCACCGAGGAGAGCUACCCCUCGACAGAACCAAGGCUCGGCGAUUGGCGCGGCGCGCCAAAUCGUUCGUCUUGCUGGGGGACGGGAAGGAGCUCUACCACUGCAGCCCCUCAGGCAUCCUCCAGCGAUGCAUAUCCAUCGCCGAAGGCCAGCAGCUCUUACAAGAAAUACACUCGAGGGCUUGCGGUCAUCACGCAGCGCCUCGAGCCCUUGUCGGAAACGCCUUCCGACAAGGUUUCUACUGGUCGACCGUGGUGGCCGACGCCACUAGAAUUGUCCGCACCUGCCAAGCGUGUCAAUUCUAUGCAAGGCAGACCCACCUGCCCGCUCAGGCUCUGCAGAUAAUACCCAUCACCUGGUCGUUUGCUGUGUGGGGCCUGGACCUCGUCGGUCCCUUGCAGAAGGCACUCGUGGGCUACACGCACCUACUGGUCGCCAUCGACAAAUUCUCCAAGUGGAUCGAGGUCCGGCCCCUAAACAGCAUCAGGUCCAAACAGGCGGUGGCGUUCUUCACCAACAUCAUACAUCGCUUUGGGGUCCCGAACUCCAUCAUCAUCGACAACGGCACCCAGUUCACCGGCAAAAAGUUCCUGGACUUCUGCGAGGAUCAUCACAUCCGGGUGGACUGGGCCGCCGUGGCUCACCCCAUGACGAAUGGGCAAGUAGAGCGUGCCAACGGCAUGAUUCUGCAAGGACUCAAGCCACGGAUCUACAACGACCUCAACAAGUUCGGCAAGCGAUGGAUGAAGGAGCUCCCCUCGGUGGUCUGGAGUCUGAGGACAACGUCGAGCCGAGCCACGAGCUUCACACCGUUCUUUCUAGUCUAUGGGGCCGCCAUCUUGCCCACAGACUUAGAAUACGGUUCCCCGAGGGCGAGGGCCUACGACGACCAAAGCAAUCGAGCUAACCGAGAAGACUCACUGGACCAGCUGGAAGAGGCUCGGGACAUGGCCUUACUACACUCGGCGCGGUAUCAGCAGUCCCUGCGACGCUGCCACGCCCGAGGGGUUCGGUCCCCAGACCUCCAGGUGGGCGACUUGGUGCUUCGGCUGCAACAAGACGCCCGAGGGUGGCACAAGCUCACGCCUCCCUGGGAAGGGCCGUUCGUCAUCGCUAAGGUUCUGAAGCCCGGGACAUACAAGCUGGCCAACAGUCAAGGCGAGGUCUACAGCAACGCUUGGAACAUCCGACAGCUACGUCGCUUCUACCCUUAAGAUGCUUUCAAGUUGUUCAUACACCUCGUUCACACACAAAGUCUAACCAUCAAGGAAGGGUCAGCCUUGCCUCGGCAAAGCCCGACCCUCCCUCGGGGGCUAGAAGGGGGGAACCCCCUCUGCGUCAAAAUUUCCCUCGGAAAAAGUCUUUUCUGCAAGAACGUCUUUCGUGCUUUCUGACUACUUCGAAAGUGGGAUCCUGAAAACGAUGGAGUACACAUAAGCAGCCAAGGCCUACCGAGCCGAGGGACUCCUACGCCUCCGGGAUACGGAUACCUCACUCGUCACCUUCUGCGAUAAGUAACUCACGCUCGGAUAAGCGUUUCCGCUGACCGAACAAGUCUUAAUGCUCGGAAACCCUUCUGCCAAAGCGAUUUUUUGGGCCUUCUCGACUACAUCGUUAGCAGAAUCCUACGGACGAGUAAGAGUACACGUAAGUGGCAAGGCUGACCGAACCGAGGGACUCCUACGCCUCCGGGAUACGGAUACCUCACUCAUCACCUUCCGUGAAAAGUAACUCUCGCUCGGACAAACAAUUCUGUUACCGACAAAUAAGUCCUGAUACUUGAAACAAGGGGGAAAAGAAAUACAGCUUUACAACACAACGACAGUAUGUUUGGGCCUCGGCGGCCGCAGAAAACAUACGGGCACUACAAGAUAAACCUGCAGGCUCGGACCUUGGCGGAGGGGGAGCAGCAGCACCCUCGGCGUCAACCACACCUUCGGCGAAGUCCGACCGAGCCUCGGACGGCAACGCGGUCGGAGGAUCUCUGCUCCGAAGGAUGACAUCAGCACCUCGUCCGGGCCAUCACCGCCAGGGUCUCCUCCAGGAAUCCGGCCCGAGCAGACGGCUCGGCCGGCCCGAAGCCUCAGCCAGCCGUGCCCCGAGGAUAUCAGCCCGGCUCAUGGCCUUGGCAACUCAACUCCGGCGCCGGUCCCACCGGUGGACGGUCCGGUCAGGCUCCGGCCGAUGAAGCCCUCUUUUCGAGCCAACUCUGCCUCUGUCCACACUGACACCGCUGCCUCCGGCUUCGGCUCAUCGAAGAGCGGCCGAGGGUUCCUUUAACCAAGCAAGAGAAGCCUCGGGCAGCAAGGCCGACCAAGCCGAGGGACUCCUACGCCUCCGGGAUACGGAUACCUCACUCGUCACCUUCGCACGAGGCAACUCACGCUUGGUGAAGCGGUUCAGAUAGCCGACAGGCGAGUCCUAGUGCUCGAAAUGAGGAAAAAACACGACUCCGUGCCGAAAAUACAUACAUGUUCAGGCCUCGACAGCCAUAAUGAACAGACACCGGCAUUCAAGGUGCCAUUACAAACGGAACUCCGGUUCCACCUCCGCAGGUACGAACAACCCCCCACGAUUGGAGGGCCUGUGGAGCAACAGAAGGCCGAUGGAUGGCUCGCCGUCGCCCGCUCCAGCAGCAGCGACAACGACUUCUGCUCCGAGCGGCCGAAUAGCAGCAGCGAUGACCUCAGGGCGGAUGCUGCUGCCAUAAGGCCCUCACCCACGUCCCCACUCGAGGGGCAAGGACGAGUAGAAGGCCGUAGAGUUGGAGGUCAGUCCGCGGGCGGCACCGACUAUCUCGUCGGCGAAGAAACCUCUUCCGACUGUCGCGGCGGAAGGUGGCACCGGAAGCAGCGCCGAAGCCACUCGGACCGAAGAGCCGGACACGCAGCAGCUGCCAGCGCCACGAACGGCAAACGCCUUUCCCCCCAAUCGCUAAGGGAAGGAGCGGGCCGCUGCCCGCGUGGAGACCGACCCCAACUCGGCGCACUCCCCUCCCCAGCACUGAUGAUGAACAUCCUUGAAGCUGAGGGAGGGGCAGAGGCCGCAGCCCGGCUUGCUUCUCCCCACCCAGGAGCUGGUGGUCACCGUCUUGGGUGACCACCGGCGAGGGGAUGCAGCGGGGCUGGCUGAUGAAAAUCCUUGAAGCCAAACGAUGGCUGAAAGGUACCAACUUCCGCAAAGUUGCGUUCCUCCAACGACGACGAGGCGGAAGAACCGCGGGCGCCCCCCAUCCGGGGGCUCGGAAGGUGGAAAGACGUGAUGCAUAAGGGGAGCGUGAAGACAUGGUUGCCUUUCAAGGGGGUCACCCUCCUUUUAAAGGCAACUCUCCCCACUUGCGUCCUCAGCCGUCGCGGGCUGAGUCUUCUCCAACACGCUCCAAGGUCCUCCCCCUACGACACAGGGGCUGGGUCCCACGCGUCGCGCAAGCCGGCCCAAGACAGAAGGAGCCAAAACCGCCGCGCGUGGUGCGCGUAACUGCCCGGUGGUUACGAGCAUUCCUCCACUUUCGCCUAGACCAGCGGGUGAAAGGGCGGACCGCCAUGCAGGCAGCAUGCAACCGCACCAAGGGGGUGCACCCUUUCGACUUCGACGCGUCCAGCAUGGAAGCCCAGGCCCACACGUCAUGUAACCGGCGCGCCGGUUACUACGUGCAAGAAACCGCACCGCCACUUGCGCCACUACCGUGCCUCCUCGACUGUGGAACCAGUACCGCGACUCGAGGCAACCCUGCGCAUGACCCAACGGUGCCAACAAGCACAUCGGCCACGGGUCAGUCAGCCGCGGGAGAAGGCGUGACGGCCGAUACGGCCAGAAAUGGGCCGGCAGUAAUGGUGGUGGCAGGCGGGCGGAAGCAGCGGUCAAGUCGUUAGCAAGCUCACGUCCCCUCCUGGGACAGCGAGAGAACCCUCUCCCACGGCGUGAAGACGACGCGCCCGUGUUCCGUCCCUCGAACGGCUCGCGCACACGCAACGGCUGCCCCACGAACCACUCGUCCCGUCGCAUUAACUCCGCGGCAGGGCAGGCGGCACCUUUGGCAGGCGAAGCAGGCGACACUUCGCCUCCGCUAUAAUGACCGCAUCAAAAAAGGUGUGCCACGUCGUUCGAUUUCGUAUCCUUUUUCUCUUUCUCUCUCUUACAACAGGGACCGGGAAAGGGGAUAUUCCGAAAGGGAUCCUUCUCCGUGAAGGAAGCGGGCCCCAAGCCCCCCUACUGAUCAGAGGUUCAAAGGCUGGCCCCUCAGAAGGGUUCAACAGCCGCCUCAGAGCACUCGGGCUCCGCGCCCACUACUAGUCAGAGGUUCGAAGGUCGGCCCCUCGAAAGGGUUCAACGGCCGCCUCAGGCCACUCGGGCUCCGCGCCCACUACUGAUCAGGGGUUCGUAGGCUGGCCCCCAAAGGGUUCGACAGUCGCCUCAGACGCAGAGCGAAGGAUGACCCUGGGUACGUUCGAUACAUAACCAAGGCUCGGGCUAUGCUCCCAAGGUACCCCAGGACAUUUCCGAGACCAACGGGAACGAUCUUGUAAUGGAAUCCCACCAGAGGGAGGCCUCGAGCCCUCAGACCCCGUCAAAAGGGGAUCGGGUCCGGCAAAUCACCCGCAGGUACUUUUGGAGCGCGCCUCCGGGCCACUAGCCGACCCCUAACGAAUGGGGCACGGGCGUCCACUCGGAUUACCCGUUAGCAGCUCACUGGAGACACCAUGUUCGGCGCCCUCCAAGGGCAACAUGGCGCUCUCCCCCCCCCCCUCCUCCUUGCGGAAAGGCGACGCAGGGGCGUAUGUAAAAAAGUCGAGUCUGUCCUUGACAGUUCUCUCACUCUGUGCGGAGGCUCGGGGGCUGCUCUCGCAAACCCGGCUCCGGCCAAACCGUUGACAGCGUCAACAUACCAGCCCGAGAACUUGAGACUCGACUGUGCACCCGGGCUACGGCCAGUUCGCAUGAGGGAACAACCAGACCGGCCGAAGCAUCACGAAACGCAUUAAGACCUCGAAGGAGUCACACCACUCCUCCGAGGCCUCGGGGGCUACACCUGGCGGGUGCGCUCGCGCGCACCCACCGGAACAAAACGCAACCGAGAAAGGUUGGUCCCCUUGCAAAAAAGUGUGACAAAAGCCUCCAAGCGAGUAUUAACACUCCCUUCGAGGCUCGGGGGCUACUGUCGGGGACCAUAAUUAGGGGUACCCCCAAGACUCCUAAUCUCAGCUGGUAACCCCCAUCAGCACAAAGCUGCAAAGGCCUGAUGGGUGCGAUUAAGUCAAGGCUCGGUCCACUCAAGGGACACGACCUCGCCUCGCCCGAGCCCAGUCUCGGGCAAGGGCAGCCGACCCCGGAGGAUUCAUGUCUCGCCCGAAGACCCCCCUCAAGCGACAGACACACCUUCGGCUCGCCCGAGGCCCAGUCUUCGCCAAGAAGCAACCUUGGCCAGAUCGUCAUGCCAACCGACCGUAUCGCAGGAGCAUUUAAUGCAAAGGUGGCCUGACACCUUAUCCUGACACGCGCCCCUCAGUCGACAGAGCCGAAGUGACCGCAGUCACUUCGCCGCUCCACUGACCGGCCUGACAAGAGGACAGCGCCGUCUGCAUCGCUCCGACUGCUGUGCCGCUCGACAGAGUGAGGCGGACAGCAGCCAAGUCCGGCCUCGGGCGGCAUAGGAAGCUCCGCCUCGCCCGACCCCAGGGCUCGGACCCGGCCUUGGCCCCGGAAGACGACGAACUCCGCCUCGCCCGACCCCAGGGCUCGGACUUGGCUCCGGAAGACGACGAACUCCGCCUCGUCCGACCCCAGGGCUCGGACUCAGCCCUGGCCUCAGCCGACGGUCUCCGCCUCGCCCGACCCGGGGCUCGGACUCGACCUCGACCUCGGAGGAGCCUCCGCCCCGCCCGACCCAGGGCUCGGACCAACCACGUCACAGGGGGGCCAUCAUUACCCUAUCCCUAGCUAGCUCAGGCUACGGGGAACAAGACCGGCGUCCCAUCUGGCUCGCCCCGAUAAACAAAUAAUGAUGGCGCCCCGCGUGCUCCAUGACGACGGCGGCUCUCAGCCCCUUACGGAAGCAAGGAGAUGUCAGCAAGGACUCGACAGCCCCAACAGUUGUCCUUCCGCAAGGCUCCAACGCUCCUCCGACGGCCACGACAUCACAUGAAUAGGGUGCCAAAACCUCUCUAGCUGCCACGACGGCAUGUACUUAGGGCGCUAGCUCCUCUCUGCUAGACACGUUAGCACAUUGCUACACUCCCCAUUGUACACCUGGACCCUCUCCUUACGCCUAUAAAAGGAAGGUCCAGGGCUCCCUUACGAGGAGGUUGGCCGCGCGGAGAGGACGGGACGGUGCGCGCAGGCCUCUCGCUCCCUCCCGCACGGACGCUUGUAACCCCCUACUGCAAGCGCACCCGACCUGGGUGUGGGACAAACACGAAGGCCGCGGGUUUCCCCUUUACGCCUGUCUCCUUGUUUCCCCCCUUCGCGCUUCGUCUCGCGCCGACCCAUCUGGGCUGGGGCACGCGACGACAGUUUACUCGUCGGUCCAGGGACCCCCGGGGUCGGAACGCCGACAAAAAGAACUUAAACUCUUAUUACUUUAUUUUAUCCUUUAGAAAAAGCUAAGUGAUUCGUAUAUAAGGUGGACUAAAUUCUAUGAAAUCAUUAAUCAUGCCAUAAAUCUAGUUAAGAACAAAUUGACUAUAGGUUUGAUUAAUAAAUUAUGAUAAAAGAUUAUUAAUAAAUUAUGAUAAAGGAUAAUUAAUCUAUUAAUUAUCUUUAAUUCUAUUGUAGGAACAAAUGAUCUAAUUCAUUAGAAAGGAAAUUAUGUAUAAACUAUCAUUUUAGUUUAUAAAAGCAAUGACCCUUGUUAUCUUUUAAUUAGGAAAAUAUAAAUAAUCUAUUAAUUGGACAUAUAUUUAUCUUCUAUUUUUAUUAAGAAACAUAUGGUCUACACAUUCUUUUAAGUUUCUAUUUAAUAUGGCUAUACUUAAACAUCUAUAACGAACCUUGUUAAAUAUGAUAUCUAUCAAAAGGUCAUUUUAAACUAGAAACAAGUUAUCUAAUUCUUUAGUAAGAAACCUAUGUUUACCGAUAUAACUAUCAAUUUCUUUAUUAGAAAAGUUAUAUGACAUGUUUUUAUUGUAAAGCAUGUAAUUAUGGAUACUUAAUAUGAGACUAAAUGAGUUUUAUGUGAAGGGAUAAAAAAUGAUUAUCAUUCUAUUAGGAAAACACUAAAUCUAUAUUUGUUGAGAAAACUACAUUCAAAUCGAUAGGUCCUCAUUUUAAAGAUAUGUACACAAAUUCUAUUAUUUUAGUAUCUUUAGAAAACUCUAUUCUUCCUGUUUUCUCCUUUCUUUUCUAAAUAGAAUUUAUACGUAUAACUAAAAAUUGUUUAUUUAUAAUUCUUUUGAUAUUAAUAUACUAAGAAUUAAUUGUAAAUUACCAAAUGGGACUUUUAAUAACAUAUUUAUGGUUAUUAUGACAUAGAUAAAUAUCUUACUAAUUCUAAGUAAUUAAGUGUUAUACUUAUGAAUACAUUUAUCAUAAAUAGUAAAAUCUAUAUUUCCAUUUGAUUGAAAUUACGUGCCUUAGUAUUUAUUCUAUUUCUUCAUGCAAAUAAAUUUACACUUAAAAUACUACUAACAAUUAUCGUUCCACACACUAAAGCGAAAUCAAAUUUGUAAACGUUUUCUAGUAUGAAAAUCAUCGUGGUAGUGAAUAGUGACGGUAUUCAUUUUUAAAAUUAUAAAAUCAUACAUAUUCAAAUUAUUGUCGCGGGGUUCGAUUUUGGCUACACGUAUACAUCGAAAUCUCUAAAAUCAUACACGUGAAUCGCCAAAUUGCAUCAUCUCAAUAUUACAACGAUAAUUCACAAGAUUCGUAAAUUAAUUCAAACAUGAUUUCAAAAAUGAAUUCAAAUUGUUUUGGAUUGUCUUCAACCUUGGGUGAACGGACGACGACGAACGGGCUCGAGCGCGCGACUAGGCGAUGGCUUGGCAUGGCGGGAUCAACGAGGCUUGGACGGGGUUUGGGCACGUCUCCGGCGAGGCACGACGGCGAGCUCCGGCGGCGAGCAGGGUGCUGCUCCGGCUUCGGUCCACAACGGCGACGGCAGUGAGCUCCGGCGGCGAGGGAGAGAACGAGGAGUGUGAUAGAGAGAGAGCUCGGGCAGGGAGAGGGAGAGGGCUCGGGCGUCGGUUUUUAUAGGGAGGGAGAGGCGCCGAGGGGGAGGUGGCCGGCCAUGGCACCAUUGAUGGCCAUCAAUGGGGGGUCGCCAUAAUGGGGUGGAAAUGGAGGGAGAGGGAGAGGGAGAGGGAGAAACGGUUGUCUUGAAGCUCCAUUAACUCAAAGACGAACGGUCGCGGGACUUGGGGGAGUUAGGUUUUUUUCUUUUUUCUAUUUUCUUUUCUAAUUUCAAAAACAUAUUUUAAAUAACCCUAAAAUUUAUAAUAAUUAAAUCAAAAUUAUUUUUAAAUAAAUUAUUUAUUUUUGUACUAAUUAUUAUAUUAUUUAUUUGGAUUUUUAUUUAAAAAGAAAUGUUAUUCAAUAACCAAAAUCACUUAUGAGCAAUAAAAAAUCAUUCCAAAUGCAAAUAAUGACAAACACAUAAAAGAAAAUUCAUUACCAUAAAUAUCAUUAAUAACGAAAUGUAAUAUUUUUAUUUGAUGAUUUUUAUGGUGUUAUAUAAAUCAACCAGUUUUUGGAAUGAUUGUUGGUGUGGGAAUAUUCCUCUCUCGGUAAGAUUUAAAAUACUGCAUGAUUUAUCUCUUGACAAAGAGAUAAGCAUAGAAAAGGUGCUGAGUACGAACUCUGAAUCCUUAAUCUUUAGGAGGCUAGUGGGAACUGGUGCUGACAAUCUUAAGGAUAUGAUAUCCUCAUAUGAGGACAUGUGCCUUAAUGAUUCAAGAGAUAAUGUUAUUUGGUUACUGGAUAAAAAGGAUAUUCUGUCAAAUCCCUUUACUUCUACUGUCGAAGUAAUUUGGGUCGGGUGCCUUAUAUGUUCAUCUGGAAAGCUAAAAUCCCCCAAAGGAUAAAGGUUUUCCUUUGUCUUCUUGUGAGAGACAGGAUUCUAUCCAAGGCAAAUCUUAGCAAAAAGAAUUGGCAAGGAAAUAUUAAUUGCACUUGGUGUGAUUGCCUAGAAACUACGGAACACUUCUUUGACUAUCAGAUAGCGAAAUUCACUAGGAGAGUGGUGCAGGCGGUACUACAUCUCAUCUAUAUUCCCAAGAACCCUAGUGAGAUGUUUAGCCGCUGGCUCCAUCUCUUCAAUAAGCGAGACAGGAAUUUGUUAAAAAUGGGAUGUAGUGAAGUUCUUUGGACUCUUUGGAAAAUAAGAAAUGAAGCUUGCGUUGAAGAUAAAAGAGUAGUCAAUACGUUAGAUAUCUUUAUAUUGUGUUGUUUUUGGAUGAACUCAUGGAUUUUAUUACAGAAAAAACGGCAAGAAAGAUGUUGGAGGAAAGAAACAACCAUAUCAGAAAAACGGCUAGUGAUUUCUUCAUUCAAGCUCGAGGGUGGUCUCGAGGAGGCUGGAGGAAAGAAACAACCAUAUCAGAAAAAAGGUGGUCUCGAGGAGGUUGGCGCACUGAUUGAAUGCCUGAGGAUCCUUUUUGGCGAAGAUGCUUCUUUCUAAUCUUGAACCUAGACUCUUAUGGUUCUUAUAUCAAGAUGUUGGUCUGUAAUAAUGUCUUUAUUAAACCACUUUUCCUAUCUUAAUCGUCUUUUAAUGGCAACAGUUUUUUUGAGUCAGGUCUGAUGCAAGCUAUAGCUAGAUUAGAUGUUGGGCUUUUGUUGCCAGUGGCAUGCUGCGACUAAGACAAUAUUAAUGUGUGUCGGUGGUAGAACAUCAUGUUUCCUGUUUCUUAAUGAAAUAGGGGGAUUUUCCUUUUCGUCAAAAAAAAGAGUGAAAAUGCAUAUAGAAAUAUGACGAGCCAAUUCCUCAGCCAAAAAACAUUAUCCAUGCAACAUCAUACAGGUUCGACUAACGGUAAACAGUCAUCCACAUAGAGCAAAAUUAAAGCUCGUCUUGACAAACACAGAAAACAGCAACACCACCCAGAGAGGACUAGCUUCAUGAUGGCCACCCGACAAGAGCCAGCAAAUGGCACGCAGAAGAGACGCCUACAGCCUCCUUCCCCUCCUACCGCCCUUUCUGCGAGUGCUGUCCGUGGGGACCGGGGUAACGUCCUCUGCACAUAGCACAAACGCUGCAUCAGUAUACAGAACCAAAGCAUUAUGAAACAAAGCAGGGCUAACUAGCACAGGCAAGCCAGCCCUUGAAAGAUCCAGGAUCUCCUUACCAAUGCGUCCGAUUUUCAUCCCGGAACGAGCAAGCGCCCUGAGGGCAGACUGGGCACCAGGUCCAGGGGUCUUGGUCUUGUUGCCUCCGG
rnacentral:lncRNA from 1 species